rnacentral:lncRNA from 1 species
AAAAAAAAAAAAAAAAGUUGAAAAAGGAAGCGAAUGAAAAAAAAAUCAUCACAAUUUUUUUUUUUUUUUUUAAUGAGUGAGCCAACUCCGGCCCAAUUGCUGCAGUUGGACCUUCUCGUGCAGAUNAAAUUAUUGAACCUUAACAGAUAUUAUUAAAUCCUAGCAGAUUUCAUGAAUAGGUAUUCGUGGAAAAAAAAAGUUAAAAAAAGAAGCGUAUAAGUAUAAUUUAUUGAACCCUAACAAACAUUAUUAAAAUCCUAGCAGAUUUCAUGAAUAGGUAUUUUUGAAAAAAAAAAAGUUAAAAAAAAGCGUAUGAAAAAAAAUCACUUUAUUUAUUUUUUUAAUGGGUGAGCCGACUCCGGCCCAACUGCAGCAGUUGGGCUUUCUCGUGCAGAUGCAACUACAGCAGUUGGGCCUAACUGCACCAAACCAAACAAAAAUUUAAUAAUUGCACUGCAGUUGGAAAUGCAUGCAACCAAAUAGCUCCUUAUAGGCACUUGUUGGGACUAUAAAAAAUUUUACCACUGAUACACAUGCUAUUGGAACCAAUAUCAUCUGCAUUUUUAAAGAUGCUUGAACAUUAAGUUGAUUAAUUGUAGAUUUGUUUGUUGCAGGGGAGCUAUCUGUUUAUGUGAAGUAUUUCAAAAUCCUUACAAAAUCUUUACUCCCUCUACCAGAUAAAUACCACGGCCUAAAUGAUGUGGAUAAACGGUACCGGCAGAGGUUGGAUAUUACCUUCUUACCUUUUUUAAUAAUAUGUAUGAUGUUCCUCUGCCUACAGCAUUAACUGCUAUUCCAAUACUAAACUUGUUCUUUCAAUGUUUAGGAAUGCUAAAAAUAUUCAUAGAAUUUAGGAAUGCUAAAAAUAUUCAUAGAAUUUCUAUGAUGCUUUGCCUAGAAAUGUGGCACCAUGUUUAUUCUUUAACUCUUAUGUCAACAUAAAAUCUCAGUAUAUCCUUGUUGUGGUCCAAGUGCCGCUUUGCCCUAACUCCUAGAAGUGCUUCUCUUCGGUGAGCAGCACCAACCUAACAUUUGGCUAGCAAAAAGGAAAGAAGCUUGUGUGAUCUCAUUUUUUUAGGAUGGUUCAAGAAAUGCUGAUAGACUAGUAAACAUACAUUUAAAAUUUGUGUUUCCUUUUUUUUUUGGGUGGCUGGUUGGGGCGAUGUUAUAGAUGCUUAUAGAAAUUUAGAGCUAAAACAAACGAGGCAAUCUGUAGCACAUUCAUGGAAUCUUCAUGGAAGAAUGUGCUAGAGCAACUUAUGGUUGGAAUAAACACUUUUAAGGCUCUAAGCAAAGAAUAUGCUAGCUGAUUUUCUAAUUUUUGGAAUAAGACAAGUUUGGAAACCAAUCUUAAACUCUUCGAAUGUUUGAAAAGAAGAUAGUUUCUAGCUGUAUCAUUGCUACGGGGCUUACACUUUGCCAACCGGCACAUUAAUCCUUCAUAAAUGUUCAGUUACUUAACAUCAUCCUCUACCAGUAUCUCUUUUUAGUAGGCUGCUUGUUUGCAUGCUCAGGAGGUAUGUGAUGCGAUGCUUUCCAGUGCCUUUCAUAUUGAUUCUGUUAUGCCUAUGCUAUAUCCUAUUGACUCAAUGUGGAGUUGACUGUUAUUAGUUUAGACAUCUAAAUUCUGCUGUUCAUGUGUUGCAAUAGCCACAUAAUACUUCGUCCUUUCAAGAAAUUAUGUUUAUUUCCUGGUUGAGCUUUUGUGAACCCUGUGUAAUCAUGAAUUUAUCUUCACACUCAGAUAUGUAGACAUGAUCGCAAAUCCUGAGGUUGCUGAUGUAUUCCGAAUACGAGCAAAGGUGGUGGACAUAUAGCAUACUGUAUUCAGAAUAAUUUCUUAUUGGUCCUAUUUGUAUGUCAGAAUAAGUUUUCCAAUGAUAUCCUAUUAGGUAUGAGGUUUUCUAUUAUGAUUGGAAGCUAAGAGUAUGGUCGAAUGGAAUAGCAUACUCGGCCUUCAAGUCAAUUUUUUCACAAUAAGAUAAAUCACCUUGUAGGUGAAAUAUACCAUCCUACCAAAUCGUGGAUGCCAAGGUGUGUAAAGCAGCAAAAUCAAACUCCUACUUUCCAAUUACAUAAGAAAUUCUUCAUACUAAAUAAGGAAUCAGCGGACAAUUUAUUCCAACAUCCAAACAAGGUUAAUGUAUUAUGGAAGUUUAUUACUUAUAUACCACGCCUAACUUUACGAAACUUCUUAUUUCAUUGGGUUUAUCCUUGUAGUCACUUUUGCACAUCUAUACGUAUAUGAAGAUAAACCAUCCUUGUUGUAGCUAUUGUGCAUCUUGAUUAUUUUACUGUUUAUCCUCGUUGUGUUCUUAUUUAAUAAGUGUUUGGAAGAUCUCAUAGUUUAUUAAUGUAGAUUGUGUCUGAGAUCCGCAAGACAAUGGAAUCUUUGGGGUUCAUUGAAGUUGAGACUCCAGUUCUGCAGGUCUACCACAUGUACUUGUCUUUCUGCUCCAAGUUUUUUUUACCUUUUAAUGAUGAACCUGUUAUCUGCCGUACUUAGUGAUGACGCUGGACAAGCAUUUUCAUGGAAAUAUGAAACCAAUACAGAGAUAAAUUCAAAUGAACGACUAUAGUUAUUCAAAAUUAGUCUUCACAUCUAUGAUGUUGUCUCAAAACUUUUGCAUGUUCAUGUUUAAAUUUUAAUUGAAAAGCUUAUAAUUGAGAGUUAGAGGUUGUUUUAUUGGAAGAAGAAGAAAGGAUAGAGAAACACAGAAAAAAGAUAAAGACGUAAGUGAGUGGAAAAAUAUAUUUGCUUACAUUUAUGCUCAUUGAGAUUAUUUUUUUUUUCUUACUGAUGAAGGUUUUUUGACUAAAAACUUGUUCUCAUGAGGUCUCUGACUGAAAAUAAAACCCAAUCUAGCCAUGCCUAUCUGUGAGGGAGGUGCUAACGUGAUACACUAGCUUAACUUUGUUGCAUUACUGUCUAACUGCUUGUGCAGAGCUUCAUGUGAAAUGUUGGAUCUUGGUUAAAGUUCUCAUUCAACUUUUGAUUUGUUUGGUCUAUUAAGAUGAUUGACUAAUCAUUAAGUAGAACAAGGCAAAUAAUUGCUGGAAAAAUUUCCAGUUGAGAAUAAGAUAUUUCAUAUUGUUUAUGACUGUUGUCAUGUUCAGCAGAGAUUUUUUGGCACACCAUGUAAGAGAUGGUUAAAUUCACGUGGAAGACCAUAAAGAAAACAGAAAAAGAAAAGAUUGGGUCAAAAUUAAAUACAAAACAGUCUAACGUUCUUUUAAUUAUGCACAUUACCAAGAUAGAGCUGAAGGGAGGAAAGUUAUUCAUAUAACUUAUGUGAAUUUAUUGAAUUAAGUUGUGGUAUUGAGUGUAUCAAUGUAACCUUAGACUCUUAGAGUAAACUUUGAGUGAAUUAGAAACACAAUGCAGAACUAUUUAGUUGAUUAAGAAAUUUUACUGGGUUGCGGAGGGUAUUUUAUCAUUGGCAUUUAGCUAUAUAAGUAUGCGAUAACAUCACUCUGGUCUCUGCAACUGGUGAUUUUAAGGGAAUAACACUGCAUUCUUAUAUUAUGGGCAUCCUUACAUACAAUUUUAAUUUUAUCUUGUUUAUAAUGCACAGAAGAAUGGUACUGUGAUUAUAUUGUAUUAAGUGUUCUUUGAAACUUGCAUAAUCUGAUAAGCAUGAUAAUCAUGCGGCACUUACUGGAUGCAAUUGAGGACUUCCCUGCAUAUAUUCUGUGUUUUAUCUAAAUUAGAACUUACGCACUUAGGCAGCAGUUAUUGCUUGUGAUUAACGAGCUUUCUCUUUCUUUCUUUCUUCUCUAAAUUAAAUGCUGCGUUUCUUAUAUUGGGAAACUUCUUCAGAUUUUAGAUUUUCUCUUUGACCAAUCUUUGCUGCUUUUUUGGUAAAUUACCAUAAUCAAAUAUUUAGGCCUACUUUCUUAUUUCUUAUAUACUUCAAAGUAAGAUCAACCGCUGUAGUGAUGUCAGAUUCACCUUAGUUUCUUGUGGCUGAAACUGUACAAGCUUGAAAUCUCUUGGAAACUUCUUCAGUGGUUUUUUUCAUAUCAAUAGAGCAGUAUUAUUUUCCCUGGACAAUUUAUGACUGUCGUUUACAAGACUUCAACUGGUAAAUCAGGGAGCAGCUGGUGGUGCAGAAGCGAGGCCUUUCGUCACUUACCAUAACUCACUUGGAAGAGAUCUUUAUUUGAGAAUCGCAACAGAGUUACACUUGAAGCGAAUGCUGGUGAGGUUGUAGUGCCUAUUUAAAUAAUUUUUCUCCAAUUACUUCCACAUUGAGAAGCUAAUAGUUUUUAUGUGUUGGGCAAACACUUGCUUUUAAACAGUAAUGAACCUUACAUUUAAACAGUAAUGACUUUGUCAUUCAAUAUGUGUACAUGAAGUUUCAGAUCUAUCAUGAAGUUGGCUUUGUAGAACAAUUGUUAGUAAGACAGUUUACCGGAAAAAGAGAUUCGUCCAUUCACGUUUGCAUGAUGAUUGAAAUAAACUUUACACACAAGAAUGGAUGAAUUAGCUCAUGCAUUCUAUACAUUAGUUGCAUGCUUGUGUAGAAGCAAGUUAUCCACUAUAACUCGUGUGAUAUGCCAUUUCAUUUUGUUAUUAUAACAUGAAAUUUUUGUUUUAUGCUAUCAUAAAAUCUGGAAUUCUGGAUUAUGCUUGAAUGUGGUUAACAACGACAUUAGGGCUUGAGUGAUGGGGGUUUGUCACACCCCAGUACCACAUUGGAAGAUGAUGGGAGGCUACUAGAGCCUUUACUGUAAAAUUGGUAGCUUGGAUUUAUGCAUUUUGUCCGACGUGGUUGAAACCCAAUAAGAUACUUGUCUUGAUGGGGCAUUUAGUGUCACGCCUCGGGUUACAGCAGAACCCCGCUGGGUAUGCCAAUAGACCCGCUAUAUGCAUGAGGAUGCACCCCGCAUACACGAAGCGUUGAACAAUCAAUCUAUCCAAAAUAUAUACAUAGUGUGUAUAUAUAAAAACUUGUAGCAGAGUGUACAUACAACUAUCUCACUAUAGCUACAACUGUAUAACCACAAUAUAAUACAUCAUCAUCUGCCCAACUGGGCCCAAUUUGUAUAGCUAGUUGUAUGUCCCAUGUUUGGUUCUCCUCUAGUACUCGUCCUAGGUAAGAGAUGCUAUUUAGCCUGCGAUCUUCUUAUCUCGAUCAACAGCUGGUAUUGAGGGCUCUAAAAGAAAAAUAAUAAUGGGGGGGCGUGAGAACUGAAAAAUUUUUUAGUGGGUAUAGUCGGCGAUAGCGACGACCUAUACCACUAGGUCUGCUCGACUAUACCCACUAGAAAAAUAUAUUUUCUAGUGGGUAUAGUCGGCGAUAGCGACGACCUAUACCACUAGGUCUGCUCGCGGCAUCAAUUGUAUAAACUGAACUAAAGAAGCAAUCACAUAGUAUAAUGAACUUUAAGCAAGUACCUACUAUCUUGCCUCCAUCAAUACGAAUUGUGAACUAUAUAGCAUCUCAUAUGUACCAACUUGAACAACUGAUACUAAAUGUCACAUCGCUCAAUCACAUCGACCGACAUAUCAGUCUGGUCUAGCCUGUGCCUCACCUAGUGGAACAGCGAACCAUUCCCAUUUGCACUACUAAGGCUCUCAACUAGGUAGCUCGAACCCUCGCAUAGUUACGCAGCUUGAUCACUCGCACAGCUGCCUGGUUUACCUUCAGAGGACCGUCUCACUGGGAAGCGACCCUAUGAGUAUACAAAUAUAUAGUUGAGCUCAUUCAACUCUAGCAGGCUAUAGUCAUAUGUUAUGGUCAACAGAUCAUAUGAGCUUUCACUUUCACCUUUACAUUCUACUUUCCACCUGCCUCUUGUCACUUUCACAUUUUCACAUUUGCUAAGCUCAUAUCAGUACCACAUGCACCACAACAUAUUGUAUAUCUCAAGGCAAUGGCUAAUGACUAGUAUCGGCUUUGAUUUCUAAUAUCACAGUAUAACGUUUAUUAUGUCAGUAUAGUGCCACCAAAUGCUAACUAUAGUCUGCUCUUCGUAGCAAGACAAAACAAUAAAUAGCACACUAGCAGGCUUAACAGAUCAUUAGAUCACACAAUCUCAACUGGAAUAUAUAGGCAUAGACAUAGUAAUUGAUCUGCCGAUUUCGGCAACAAAUACCUACCUGACCAAUAUUCCAAUCCGAAGUAUGUCGAUCUUGGCUUCUCGAAACCUCCCUAAAGCACCACACCAAAACAACUCCACAAACCAACGUCACCCUGUGCAGUGACCUCAAACUUUCGGGUGCACCAAUUAAUUUUGGGCGUAUAGUACUCCACCCAAAACUUUCAAGCGUUCGCAGCAGGGUUCAGAAUCUCCAAAACACCUCUCCUCAGCUCUACACUUUUGGGUGCCCAAAGUAACUUUUGGGGGUCUGAAAGUGCUUUGAAACUUCAGUUUCAGCGAAUUACGUUUUUGGAUUUCAUUUUCACAUUCAUUUUGCGCCAGAACAUAUCCAACUCAGCCCAGUAACAUCCAAAUACCAAUAAUAUGUUUCACCACCAACUCAAAUAGCAACUUUGCUAAUUGGCGAAGUUCUAGUAUUUGACAUUUAGAUUGUUAUAUAUGAUAUCAGAGGCAAAUUGUCACGCCCAGGAACCAUAGCGGAAGCUUACCCAGGCACGUGCACAGAGCCAUCGUGUGUACAAGGCCGCCCCACAAGGUGUCUAUAAUCAAUCAACAGUCACCAAAAUAUAAUAUAUAUCCUACAAGUUCGUUAUCCUGAGCAUAUGAAACACAAAUUAAAGUAACUUAAAAUAUUUAAUAUACAUCCACAUAACCUUAAUUCUACAUAGGAGAAAUACAAUCCAAUAUAAGCAUAACUCCAAGUACACCACAUCUCCAAAAUGGCUCUCACAUGUAUCUAGUCUAAAAAUACAUACAAUGCCUCUUUCACAUAAACUCCUAAAUGUAAAUAGGACAACCUCUAUGUAGUCCAAGUUGGUGGGAUGACUUUAGCUACUCGUAACACCUUUGCCGCGAUUUUAGGCCUUUCCCGCGCUAGACGGCUCUGAAAAGAAAACCAACAAACAAUAGGAGUGAAAUUGUGAAAAAUAGUUUCCAGUGGGUACUGCCGUCGAGAGGGGCGUACUCUUUUACUAGGUCAACUAAGGUAUGAAUAAUAAGGAAUACUGGAAUUACAAUAACUGAAAUAAAGGAACUAUAAUCAUAUGCUACUGCCAUCCUUCUAUGUUAGUAAAGUAUUAACUAUAUGAACUCAUCUAUCAUGAAAAUAGUUUUCAGGCCUUCCUCGUGCUAGACGGCUCUGAAAAGAAAACCAACAAACAAUAGUAGUGAGAACUGUGGAAAAUAGUUUCUAGUGGGUACUGUCGUCGAGAGGGGCGUACUUUUCUACCGGGUCAACUAAGGUGUGAAUAAUAAGGAAUACUGGAAUUGCAAUAACUGAAAUAAAGGAACUAAAACCAUAUGCUACUGCCAUCCCUCUAUGUUAGUAAAGUAUUAACUAUAUGAACUCAUCUAUCAUGUUUGCAUCAAUUAUCUUUUAAUGUUCAAGUACCAAUGUUUAACCCAAUCUCUUGGCUACCGUUUGGUUCGGGGUUAAGGAAAAAGUAGCUAUUCCAGGAAUAGGGUUAAGUUCACGGUUAAGGUGCAGUUAAAGUUUUUUUAUGUUUGGUUGGGGGUUGGAGUUAGUUUAGGAUAGUGAAAAAUAGUGUUUGGUUGGAGUAGGUGGGAUAAGAAGGAUAAUGAUUGAUAAAGAGAGUAAAAUUACUAAAAUACCCUCACUUUAAUCAUUUGAAUUAAAUAAUUUGCUUUUAUUUUAUAAAUUCUUUGAUGGCAAUUAGUUUUAAUGAGUAAAAUAAAUUUAAUUAUUUUAUAAAUUUUUUUAUUUUAUAAAUUCUUUUAUUGCAAAUAGUUUUGUGUAGUUAGUGUCUCCUAAUUUAAAAUCUCCCUAGCGUGCUUGAUUAAUUAUGAACUGAGAAUAUAUGUUAAAAAAGUAAGUUGUUGGUAUAAACUUAUUAUAUUAGCAGUUAAUUAUUCUAUAUUUAUUUAUUUUAUUAUAAAAUAUUUAAUUUAUGCGCUCCCUCUCCUCCUCGCCCCUCUUCCGACGACGAAACCCUAACCCCGUCCCGGAACUACGUCGUCCAGUUCACGGACUACGUACCGGCGCGCGGCAGAGCACCGCGCCUACCUGGAGGAGGAGCACCGGGCACCGCCGGGGGCGUGGCAAUGGAUCGAGCGGCGGAACCCCGCCGCGGCGUUCCCCACCGACUUUGGCGUCCUCGAGAUCCGGGAUGCGGGCCGGAGGGCGGUGAUCGGGGAGAUCGAGGGGCUGGCGCUGGUGAAGGAUGUGCAGGAGCUUCGGGCGGAGGUGGAGGAGCUUCGAGCGGACGUGGAGAGGCUUCGGGCGGAGGUGGAGGUGGAGGGGAAGGAGCUUUGGGCGGAGGUGAAGGGGAUCCGGAGGUUAAGCUUGGGGAGCAAGACGUGAAGCUUCGGGGUGAGAAUGGGAAGGAAGAAGAAGAAGCAACAGAGGAGAAAGAGAAAAGUGGAAUCUUGGGAAGCGUGCGGGAUUAAAGAUGGGAGGGAGGGUGGGGUUAGUAAACCCCACCCCUUAAGGGUGGUGUUUGGAUAUUAAUUGGGGGUUAAGGGGUUAUUCCACCCCUUAACCCCCAACCAAACGGUGGCUUGAGGACUUACUCAGGAUCAAGGUAUAGUCCUAGCCUAUGCCAUACCUCAUGGACCUAUGGUAGGUAGUAGGUACCCCAUAUAUGGAGCUGUGGCUCCCCCAUGGCGCCCAACUGGCGCUCAAAAAGUAAAGGCGAGCGUGUGUUGCUAUGGCAAUACCUUCGAAGGGCUUUGCUUGUAGGGAGCGACCCUAUCAAGCGAUGCACUAGAUGAGCAUAGUAGGCUCUUGCACGCGGUGGUCUCAUGCAUGAUGUCCAAAGACAAUCAAUCUUAUAUACUUGAUCCUUGGUGAUAAGAAUUCUCAUCUUUACCCAUAGAUGUCUCAACUCGCCAAUAAAAAGUUAUUUGAACAAGUAGUAUAACAAGUGUCCAUGACUAUAAGAAGUAUAUGCAUCUCAACUCAACAACAUCAUAUAUGGAGACUGAAGUACUUAUACAAUAAUUAAGUAGAUGGCCAAGCCUCAAUGAAGUUCAUGUACCAAUGAAGUUUAUGCAUCAUGCUAUGCAAGGCAUAUAAUAUAGAGUUUCCAACCAACAUGCAUAUAGUGGCAAUAUCAUGUAAUAGAUCAUCUUUCUAAUUUUAUGUUAAAACAAGAAUUAGAGUCAAUAAAGGGAGUAGAAGACAGAUGGGGGGGAGUUCACCGAUUUCUGUUAGGUCGAACCCAUUGGAUAGUUGGCGAAAACUCAUCGAUUUCAUGAACUAAAUUGUCCACUCUUCUCUCCUAACCCUAAAGAGAAUUUUUCAAGGGUUACAAUCUCCAAAAAUCUUCAUCCUAAGUUCACCAAAUAUCACAUAGAAAAUAGGUGAACAUAUCUUAAGCCAAGAAAUCCUUGCAAUUUCUUCAAAUCAAGUUGUUGGGGCUUCAAUUCCAACCUACAGUAAUGUUCCUAAGUCCUAACCCAUAAUUUCCAACAAUAAUCCUGACAUUAAGAGAUCCGCAAUUUUUGCCCUAGUUUAAUAUAAACUAGAAAAUCCUCAAUUUACUCUCAAAUCCAUCUAAUUUGAGAGUUUAGACUUGGUUACUAACCUUAUCGAAGCUCCAAACCAAGUUCGAGAUGCUAGGGUUGAGUAUUGGAAGCUCCAAGUUGCUUCUCUUCCAAGACUCUAGCUCCAACUCCUAGCUUGUGGUGGUUGCAUUUUCAAGGAGGAAAAAGAGAAGAAGACGAAGAAGAAGAGGGUGAGAGAAAAUAGGAGAAGAAAAUGAAGAGGAAGAAGAAGCAAGAGCUCUCCAAGCUAUCCUCAUAGUUGAGUAUUGGUACCCCAUAUUUCAAAUAUCAGUGCUAGCAGCAAACCUACAUUUUUGCAUAUUUUGUUUUUCGGAGUUUGUUUUCGUGCCGAAAACGCUCAAACCCCCCUCAAACACAGCCAGAAUCAUCAAAAUAGUCUUAAAUAUUAUUUCUCACUGGAAUUCUACUAUUUGCAAAGGUUCAAUACUUCAAUGCAACUGCGAGGAGAUUAGGAUACAUGUGAAUAUGCUUUACUAGGAUGUAAGAUCCUUAUGCGUGCUUGAAUAAAACUAUAGUAAUAAUUGGUUGUCCUGCAUCUAUGUGCCUAAAAGAAUUAAAUCGUAGUAAAAAUUACUUGUCACGCCUAUGUGCCUAAAAUAAUUAAAUCAUAGUAAUAAUUGGUUGUCAUGCCAUACAUGGGUGAAUUUCUAAGACCUCAAUACACAUUCUUGUGCAUGCUUAAGAAUUUUAGCAAGUAGCUGGUUUUUAUUUGUAAAUUAUACAAAGUAGGCAAAUUCUUAAUUGUUGAAACUGCCAGAAUGUGUGAGAAGCAUUUGCACUUAGUAUCGUUAUAUAGGAAGUUUAAUUAUUGAUAUCUUCCUUUGAGGAUGCAUAAAAAUAAAUUAAACAAUAUUCAUGUUUGAAUGUCCGAAACCUGUAUGUUUGUUCUUCUGCAUGCUUAUUUGGACUUGUUAUGUAAAAGGGAAGACCCUUCAGGCUGUAUUUCUUUGAUGAGGUCUUUUGUGAAACUAGAUACUGGUAACUUCUUCAUAUUUGAUGAAUUGUAGGUUCAUGGAGACUUCAUUUAGAUUAUAACUUGCAAUUUUGUUUGACAUUCCCUUUCUUUUAUAUUUGCGGACAUAAUGUCUAUGUACCUUUUAAUUAUUAUCUCUCCUUAUGAAUACAAAUGGCAGGUAGGGGGCCUUGAGAAGGUUUAUGAGAUUGGAAGAAUUUUCCGGAAUGAAGGCAUAUCUACUCGCCAUAAUCCUGAGUUUACCACUAUUGAGGUCCUCUUUCUAUACAAUUUAUCACUGGACUUGUUUGAAUCGGAAAGACACAUACAUACACACAAACACAUGAAUAUACAUGCAAGAAAUAGAAAAGUUAUUCUCUUUCGGAGUUCCUUCUCACAUAUAACAAGUGGUCUCAGAAUUUUUAUAAUUUUGGAUUGGUAUAAGCUGCUUGUUCAUUUGGGGAUUCAAAACGAAGUCAACUAGCUUUUUUUUUUUUUGGCUAGAAAUUACUUAUAACUAUCUGUAAAGAUAAAUUGCUUGCUUUCUCUAUUGAAGAUCUAAUUGUUACAAAACACUUAACUAAGCACACUAGAUUGAUUCUCAGUGGGAAUUAUCAAGAUCUAAAUUCUUUCGAAAUUUAGAGUACGUUGGGCUUUCCUUGGUCUUUGUACUUAGGUUAAUACUUCCCACAGAGUACCGAUAGUUGUUGAUCCUAUGAUGAAAUUCAGAUGUAUGAAGCAUAUUCAGACUAUGAAAGCAUGAUGACUAUGGCUGAGGAAAUCGUGACUCGAUGUGCUCUGGCGGUUCAUGGAAAGCUCAACAUUGAUUAUCAGGUAACUUUCUACUUAUGGUUUUACUUUCAGCCAUUCUACUUCUACAGUUUGCUAGUGUCAUUUCCCUGGAAAAACACUAACUGAGCUGGAUUAGCGCACGUGCAUAUGCGUUUGUAUAUGUUUUCGACAUAUGUUAUGCCCUUGAUCAAGGUUUAAAGUGCCGUGGCACGGGGGCGUGCCGUUACAGCCCUGGCACGGUACGGCACGGGCACGCUUGCGUGCCGACACGUGGCACGCUUGCGUGCCGACAGAUACGCACGACCUCCUACUGGCACGCUUUGGCACGAAUUUAUUUAAAUUUUUUUGGUUCCAGUAAGCUUUUAUAAUGUUAUUUUGAAAGAUUUAGGCAAGUUAUUAUUAAUUUUUGCUAUGUAUAGCUUAUUAUACUCAUCAAUUAACAUGCAUGUAAGCAUUUUGUAUAUAAAGUACAACUAUACCUGAUGUAGAAUAUAAAUUAAAAUUCUUUUGUUUUUAUUUUUUUUUAUUUGAAAAGUACAACUAUACUUGCUGUAACAAUUGAAAAUUCUUUUGUUUUUAAUUUUUUUAUAAUUUAAAAAAUUAUAACAGAUAAAAUGAUAGAAAAUUUUAUUUUUUCUAAAAACGUUUCAAAAUCUAUAUAUUGAUUCGAUUAGGAAGUAUAUAAUAACUAGAACAACGAGAAUAGUACCGCAAUUACAUCCAUAUUUUUUUUAUUCUUUUAAAAAAUAUCUAAUCAAAAUUUGUUUAGGAGAUCAAUUUUUGUUCCCCUGAUUCAUCGAAAACUUCGCGGUGCGACAAAUUUUGACAAAAUGAUUUGCGAAGAAAAAAUGGAUGUCUGUGGUGGAAGCGAAGCCCCCCGCGGUAUGGAUCGGAUUUAUCAACUAAAAAUUUGCUUUUAUAUUGUUAAAUAAGAAGUUAAAUUAUAAUUUUUAAUUUAACAAAAGAAAAAAGAAAAAGUCAAAAGAAAAAGCCAAAAGGCAAAAAAAAAAAAAAGGCAUCAGCCAAAAAGAAAAAAAAAAGUUGACAAAAAGACAACACAAUGUCAAAAAAAAUAAAAGAAAAGUGAACAAAAGGCAAUAUAGAUGGCCGGGCGAAGGCUCUGUAUCCCAGAGAACAAAAAAAAAGAGACAAAACCAAAAAAAAAAAAGCAAAAAAAACAAAAAAAAAAAAAGCUGGCACGGGCGGCACUGUGCCGCGGCACAUGCACCCGUGCCGCUCUGUCUCGAGCGGCACGGGGCAUGUGCCGAGGCACAUGGGGGGGGUCCGAGACCCCCCCUGUGCCGUGCCCCCUUCUUGGGGGCACGGCACGGCACGCCCCGUGCCGCACGGCACGGGGCGGCACUGCUAUCCUUGCCCUUGAUCAUAGAAGAUUUGCUUCUCUGAUCAGCUCCUGGUUAGUGUCGUCCUUAAAUAGAAAUGUCUUUGAUAUUGUGCAUUAAACAUUUUUGAUCUAAUCAUCUAAUAUUAUUUUUUCUUGUGUUUUCUUUCAUGAAAAUUUAACAUAUUCUCUUGAUCGGUGCACUCUGUGAAGUCUAUUAGACAGUAGUUCAUUUCAUUUGCAUAACAUCCUUUAUGCAUGUGUACCAUUAUUUUAUUAUAUAUUUCUAUCUUUUCUCCGGUUAUCUAUCUAAUUAGUGGUAACAACAAUUGUUUUUGAGUAUUUAAUUUUUUUUGUAACCUUAAAACCAUUUCUUGCCCAACAUCACUUGUGAAAGCAUAAGAUUAUAAGGUCUAGAAACAUCCUAGUCUCACUAAACAGUAUAUACAAAGAAGAAAAAGAGAUCUGCCAUAGGAUUGAUCUCUUGAUGCUUACUUAUUUAAAAUUGCUUUUGCCAUAGUGGCUCAACCCAAGCCAGGCUAUUUUCCAAUUAACUUUCCAUCUGAGUUGUGGUACAAAAAUUUCUGUGAGGACUUCUUUAAUUGAAAUAAUAGAAGUUGCAAAGCAACUUACACUUUGCUAACUUAACAAAAAAGUCUAUGACUAAUUUAUUAACCAUUCAAAGGUGUACAGCAUUGUUUUCAUAUAACUAAAAACUUCUGUUCUACUUUCUUCAAUCUUGGCACUUGUUUGGUUUAGCAAACGAAUAAUUUGAAGGGCUAUAAGUUCUUUCAUUGUAAUUUAAUCUAUUGUCUAUUUGUAUUCUACUAGUUCUGUCUAUUUGGGUUCAACUGUUGCAGUUGUUUAAUGUUCUGCAGGGAACUAAAAUAUCUCUUCAAAGACCAUGGAGGAGGCAAUCAAUGCAUAAUCUUGUGAAAGAAGCAACUGGAGUUGACUUCAAUGAGUUCGGGGACAACGUUGAAGCAGCUAAAGAAGUUGCACAAGGGAUACUCAGGACUAAAAUGGAAGAUAAAAGUGAUACAUUGUUAGGAACAUGUCCAUCAGUUGGACAUGUCCUUAAUGAGGUAAAUCAUAUCUCUUUAUUUGAUAAAAUAAUGUGCCUUAUACGCUUCAAUUGUGAAUAACAGUUAAUUCCAGUCACUUUCUCUCUCUCUCUCAAAAAAAAAGAGUUAAUUCCAGUCACUACAUAAAAGGAAUGUUUAUCACAUUAAUUAGCAUUUUGAACUGGCUUCUCUCUUCUUCUAUGGUAAGUCAUGAUGAUAUUUGGUCGGCAACAUGAUUUUAAAGAUGCAUUCUUCUCUCUUCAUAAAAUAAUAUGGAAGUUGUCUAUUAUGAUGCUAGCCAACCUGUUUCGAUUCAUUAAAUAGUAUAUUUAUAUAUAUGUUUAGUUUUAGGCUAAGCAAGGAAGUAUGUUAGCAUAUCUAAGUUGAAGACAGACAUGCUGCCAAAAUUUCAGAGUUGUUUUAUUUGGUAGAGGACACAUUUGAGCGAUUGUUAAUGUCAAAAAUGUAUAAUGGCCUACAGUUGAAAUUUGGAGAAGAUUGUGUCAAAAAUCAUCAAUUUUUAAUUGUAAUUUGUAAAAUUAGAAUCAUGUUGUGUGAGUAUUGGUUCCGAUCAUUUUGUGCGGCCGCUUUGCUAGUUUUUCAAAUCUACAAAAAGUUUGCGAUAGUUAUCUACAACCUACACAGUAUUCAUCAAUGCAAAAUAAGGACAAUCACUUUCGGUAGAAAAUUUUCUUCUGUUUUCUUUCAUAUCGUCUAAUUAGUCUUUCCAUUUUUUUAAAAAAUAAUUACUGUGAGGCAAGGUUUUAAGUGCCCGUCGACACGGGCCGUAUCCACCGUGCCGUACCGUGCCAAUAAGAUACCGGCACGAUACAGAUAGUAAGUAAUUUUCUCAAUAAAGUUCAAAAGAUGUGAUAAAAAGACAUAAUAACUAGUUAGUUAGAAUAUUUUGUUGCUAAAGAAAAUAAAUAUUUCAUGCCAUUAUGUGUCGGCACACAAGAAUUUUUUUGACCGGCACACAUCGGCACGGCUUGGCACGCACCGUGCCGUACCGUGCCGGCAAGUUUCCGGCACGACCCCGUGCCACGACACUUAAAUCCUUGCUGUGAGGAAGCCAGCAUGCUUGUUUGUAUCAAUUUAAUCAAAGAUUGAUUACGUAUGGAUCAAAAUGUCCAAGUUGUCAUUUUAUUGCUCAUUUAUCUAUUUUGACUUUGCAUGUAUGUUCUUAAAUUUGUUUCAGGUUUUUGAGACCAUUAUUGAAUCGACACUUAUUCAACCAACAUUUGUUCUUGACUACCCAAUAGAAAUAUCUCCUCUGGCGAAACCACACCGCAGGUAUAUGCUUGGCAACAACUAUUUUAGCGCAAUGUCCUUUGAUAUUGCUUCAUACAAUUAUAGAGUUAGUUAAAGAUGAUCACAUGAUUGUUUUUUCUUUAACACAUUGGUUUUUAUCCUUUGCUCAUUGUAAUGUUUAGCCAAAUAUUGCAUAAUGCUCAAGGAUAAAUUAAAAGAUAUUCCUAAACUAGUAGAUAUCUUAAAUAAAAUAUCUUUUCUAAUCUAUUAAGUAAAAUUAUUCUAAUCUAAUCAAGAAUAGACUACAUAUCCAAGUGUUCUAGAGUUUAGGGUGAACGUAAGAAUUCCUCUCCCUUAAAACACACCUUGUCCUAAAGAUGUGAGCCAAUUUAUUACAACAGUUGAUGAUGAAGUUCGAGCAAUUUUUGUCUGGCAGUAGGCUCAAUCAUCGGUGAACUCUAACGUCAUCAAGAAAAUAAGCUCUAUUAAAAAUCUAUUGAGAACUAAUAUUCUCAGAUGGUGUCACAAGCGAUGAAGGACUGUUGCUUAAGAGGAAGUAGAGAGGCUAGUGGCUCUGAAACAAUUAUUUUAUUAAUAGGAGAAUUAUGUGGUUGUGAUAGUGGCAGCGAUUUUGAAACAUUCGACGACAGACAAGAUAGCCAAACAGAUUUGGGCAACGAUAGCGUAAUCGAGAGUGGUAGCGGAAUUGAGGGGGCUAAAGUAGUUUGUAAAGACAACAAUAGAACUAGAAUGACUUAGAGGUGAUGGCUGGUUGUGCGGAGGAGCUUGAAAUUUUGUUUGUCGAUCCAUAAUGUGCAGAGUAGUUGGAUUGACACCAAAGUGAAUUUUGGACUCAAUAUCAACCAAUUGAGAUUUAUCUGGAUUGACUUACAAUUAAGGAUUAAAGUGCCCAUCAGCACGGGCCGUAUCUACCGUGCCAUAUCGUGCCAGCAAGAUAUCGGCACAAUAUAGGCCCCGUGCCAAUAGCACAACUCAAAACUCUCUAUUCUUGAAAUUAGUAAGUAAUUUUCUCAUUAAAAGUUCAAAAGAUUUAAUAAAAAUACAUAAUAAAUAAUUGGCAUAUUUUGUUGCUAAAGAAAAUAAAUUGCCAGUGUCAAUUGUGUCAGACAGAGACCCGAGGUUUGUAUCUCAAUUCUGGAGGAGUCUACAGACAGCCUUGGGCACUCAGCUGCAUUUCAGCAUGGCGUUUCACCUACAGACAGAUGGUCAGUCAGAGAGGACCAUACAGACUCUAAAGGACAUGCUGAGAGCAUGUGUCCUGGACUUUGGAGGAGGGUGGUAUUGACAUUUGAGACUGGUUGAGUUUGCGUACAACAACAGCUAUCAAACGAGCAUCCAGAUGGCUCUGUUUGAGGCGUUGUAUGGACGUAGAUGUCGAUUCCCUUUGUUUUGGAGCGAUGUGGGUGAGAGGACUUUAGGGCCUGAGAUUUUGCUGGAGGCUGAGGAAAAGGUGAGAGUUGUUCGACGACACCUUUUGACAGCCCAGAGCCGCCAGAGGAGCUACGCCGAUACCAGGAGACGAGACUUAGAGUUUCAGAUUGGAGAUCAUGUUUUCCUCAGAGUCUCGCCGUCCAGAGGGAUUCGCCGAUUUGGAGUACGUGGAAAGCUCAGUCCACGGUUUGUUGGCCCUUUCGAGGUAUUGGAGCGAGUUGGACCGGUUGACUACAGGAUCGCCCUACCCCCGCGACUAGUUGGCAUUCACGAUGUCUUUCAUGUCUCGGCAUUGAGGAGAUAUGUUUUUGAUCAUUCUCACGUGAUUGAUUUCACUCCACUUGAGAUUGGCGAGGAUCUGAGAUACGAGGAGCGACCGUUGCGGAUUCUUGCUCGGGAGACGAAAGAAUUGCGCAACCGGGUCAUCGCGUAUGUGAAGGUGCAGUGGAGUAAUCACGAAGAGCGGGAGACGACUUGGGAGCCUGAGACGGUGAUGAGGGAGUCCUACCCCUAUCUGUUCGAUGCCCGGAGCUGAGAUUUGUGCUAAGUUUCGAGGACGAAACUUUUUGUAGUGAGGGAGGAUGUGAGAUCCCUGGUGUUCUGCUGUUGAGGCUUGUCGACUACGCUGGAGAGUGUUGGGACAAGUCCGAGUCGCGUUGGGGCGAAACAGACUCAAAACGGACUUAGCCGGAACGCGAGAGCAGGACUUGGUAUCAAAAUCUGCGAAAUUUCAGAAUUUCUACUUGUUGUACUGGUACAACCAUCAAGGGCGUACCGGUACACUAUUUGUACCGGUACAACGACAGGGGUGUACUGGUACACUUUGACAGAUUUUGCACAGCUGCUCUCGGGUUGCCAUUUGUACCGGUACAUUUGCCCGUGUACCGGUACACUUGUGUAGGUAAGGGGCUUUUUGGUCUUUUUCUCACCUCGUUGUUGUCACCCUAUUCCCCACUCCUUCAUAUACGUGGAGAGAGGCUGAGAGAGGAGUUUUCAUGCAAACUUCUCCUCUCUCUCUCUCUAGGUUGAAGCCGAUCGAGUGGUGCUUGCCGAGGGAGUUGGUUCGCCGUCGACGUCGCGCCGCGGAGCCAUUUGAGCAUACGGUUGCCGCCGUAGCAUCGCAAGGAGGCCGGGCGAGGAUGCGUUUUCGCCGUUCUCGACGCCGCAUCGAGGUUCGAUUAACCUUUGAGGUGAGUGUUCCGUUGCAAUUGCUUCAAGUACUUCAAGCAUCAUCAUAUUCGAGUUAUGCGUUGUUUCGCAGAAUUUCGUUGUUGACCGUCAGCGUUUUGACUCGUACUCGACGUAGGAGCGUCGGAUUUUGACGAGAUUUGGUUCGUUGGAUUCGGGACUUCGAGAGGAAUCCACGAAAUCCUUAUUUGCUGGAUUUGGUGAAGGUUUGCUGGGUCGGAACUCUAGUCUUCUCUGCUGCUGUUUUUGAGGCAGAUUUAAUGCUUAUUGCCGGAUUCUACGUGUAGAGUUGGCGGGAGCUUGACUUCUGGCCUUUGGAGGUUUUCGGUUGAUCCAGCCGGGCGUUCCUUUGCUUCGGGACUUCCGUGGAGAGCAAGUCCAACCGGCAUGAGCGACACCAACGCGAAAGCACAGCGCCCGUCUCCGGAGUGGCACUCGUGGGAGCUACCCAACCGAGUAUGCAGCGUAUCUCUGUCGAGCUCAAUCAGGCUGUCAAAAGUCAAAGUCUAGUAACCGACUUAAACUGGUCUAGCAACCAACAGGUAACGUGCCCUCGGCACAAUCCGACGCCAAAAAGGCGAUACGGGUCCACCGUCAACCCCGACGGCACCCAACAGUCCGGAACAGCCUGAACGCUACUGUAAAAAAAAUACACUCGGCAUCCCAGCACGAGCGUAACUGAAAACUAAACUACCUGGAAUACUCACUAUGAGGAUACUGCAACAGUAUAAAAUAAUACAACGGCCCCUAGGGCUAAAUCAGGUAGUUUACAUGUGCCGGUCGUUAUCGCGUUUUCUCCGAACUCAAAUCCAAGUCUAACAUGUAUGUUUAGGGUUUACUAAUCAUGUUCUCAAAUCGGAUUUCAUCAAGAUAUAAUCGACGAAAUUGAGCUACACAUGAAAUACAAAACUGAAAAUCAUACAUGUCGACUAAUACGAUACGUAGGAAUAAACCGAUGUAACCUACCUCACGAGCUAAUCCCAGGUCCCGAAGCAAAGAAACGCCCGGCUGGAUCAACCAAAAACCUCCAAAGGCCAGAAGUCAAGCUCCCGCCAACUCUACACGUAGAAUCCGGCAAUAAGCAUCAAAUCUGCCUCAAAAACAGCAGCAGAGAAGACUAGAGUUCCGACCCAGCAAACCUUCACCAAAUCCAGCAAAUAAGGGCUUCGUGGAUUCCUCUCGAAGUCCUGAAUCCAACGAACUAAGUUUCGUCGCAAUCCGACACUCCUACGUCGAGAACGAGCUGAAACGCCAACGGUCGACGCUGGAAAAUCUGCAAAUCAGCACUUAGCUCGAAUUUGAUGAUGCUUGGAAAUGAAGAAGCAAUUCGACGGAACACCCACCUUGACAGUGACUAGCACCAGUGCGACGUCAAUAACGGCGAAGAUCCACGCUCGCCCGGCCUCCUUGCGAUGCUACGGCGGCAACCGUAUGCUCAAACGGCUCCGCGGCGCGACGUCGACGGCGAGCCAACUCCCUCGGCAAGCACCACCCGAUCGGCUUCAACCUAGAGAGAGAGAGAAGUUUACAUGAAAACUCCUCUCUCAGCCUCUCUCCACGUAUAUGAAGGAGUGGGGAAGAGGGUGACAACAACGAGGUAAGAAAAAGACCAAAAAGCCCCUUACCUACUCAAGUGUACCGGUACACGGGCAAAUGUACCGGUACAAAUGGCAACCCGAGAGCAGCUGCGCAAAAUCUGUCAAAGUGUACUGGUACACCCCUGUCGUUGUACCGGUACAAAUAGUGUACCGGUACGCCCUUGAUGGUUGUACCGGUACAACAAGCAGAAAUUCUGAAAUUUCGCAGAUUUUGAUACCAAGUCCUGCUCUCGCGUUCCGGCUGAGUCCGUUUUGCAUCUAUUUCACGCCAACGCGACUCGGACUUGUCCCGACACUCUCCAGAGUUGUCGACAAGCCUCAACAGCAGAACACCAGGGAUCUCACAUCCUUUUCCACUACAAAAAGUUUCGUCCUCGAAACUUAGCACAAACAUCAGCUCCGGGCAUCGAACAGAUAGGGGUAGGACUCCCUCAUCACCGUCUUAGGCUCCUAAGUCGCCUCCCGCUCCUCGUGAUUACUCCACUGCACCUUCACAUACGCGAUGACCCGGUUGCGCAAUUCUUUCGUCUCCCGAGCAAGAAUCUGCAACGGUCCUCUAUCUCAGAUCCUCGCCAAUCUCAAGUGGAGUGAAGUCAAUCAUGUGAGAAGGAUCGAAAACAUAUCUCCUCAAUGCCGAGACGUAAAAGACAUUGUGAAUGCCAGCUAGUCGCGGGGGUAGGGCGAUCCUGUAGGCAACCGGUCCAACUCGCUCCAAUACCUCGAAAGGGCCAACAAACCGUGGACUGAGCUUUCCACGUACUCCAAAUCGGCGAAUCCCUCUGGACGGCGAGACUUUGAGGAAAACAUGAUCUCCAAUCUGAAACUCUAAGCUUCAGGAUCUGAUGGAUAAGGGGUAUGUGAGACCCAGUGUAUCGCCUUGGGGAGCGCCAGUGCUGUUUGUAAAAAAGAAGGAUGGUUCGCUCAGGUUGUGCGUAGAUUACCGGGAGCUGAAUAAAGUGAUCAUCAAGAUUGAGGCGAUUCGGGAUUGGCCUAGACCGACGACGGUGAUUGAGGUGCGGAGUUUCCUAGGACUAGCAGGAUAUUACCGUCGGUUUGUGGAAGGUUUUGCGAAGCUUUCCACACCCCUUACUUAUUUGAUGCGGAAGGGGAUUAGAUUCAUCUGGAGUGAGGAUUGUCAGAGGAGCUUUGAUGAGUUGAGACUGAGGUUGACGUCAGCUCCUAUCCUUGCCCUUCCUGUGAUGGGGGAAGGAUUCAUGAUCUAUAGUGAUGCAUCGCACCGUGGACUGGGUUGUGUGUUGAUGCAGCAUGGUAGGGUAAUUGAUUAUGCUUCACGGCAGUUAAAGGAUUAUGAGAAGAAUUACCCUACGCAUGACUUGGAGCUUGCCGCGGUAGUCUUUGCUUUGAAGCUGUGGCGACAUUACUUGUAUGGCGAGCACUGCGAGAUUUUCACCGAUUAUAAAAGUCUCAAGUAUCUGUUCACUCAAAGGGAAUUGAAUCUGAGGCAGCGCCGGUGGUUAGAGUUACUGAAGGACUAUGACAUUAGUAUUCAGUAUCAUCCCGGCAGGGCGAAUGUAGUGGCAGAUGCGUUGAGCAGGAAAUCAGUGCAGAGCCUUAGUUUGAUGAUCACUGAGCAGAGGCCAUUACUCGAGGAGUUCCAGCGGCUGAGGCUUGACGUAGUGUCCCCUGGAGCUACUGCGAGACUGAUGUCUCUGGUUUUACAGCCCACUCUGUUGGAUAGGAUCCGGGAGAAACAGAGUGGAGAUCCGUACCUGUUGAGGAUUCGAGAGCAGUUAGACAGGGGGCAGGCUGAGGGUUUUGCUGUGGACAGUUCGGGAGUACUACGGUACAGGGACCGGCUGUGUGUGCCUGUGGAUUCAGAGAUCCGAGAGGCUAUUUUGAGAGAGGCUCAUUGUUCACCUUAUACGGUUCACCCUGGGGGAACCAAGAUGUAUAAGGAUUUAAAGGCAACUAUUACGUGUUGGCACACAUUUUUUGUGAUCGGCGCUCAUCGCUACGGCCCGGCACGCACCAUGCCGUACCGUGCCGGCAAGUUUCUGGCAUGACUCCGUGCCACGACAUUUAAAUCCUUGCUUACAAUUGUAUUUUUGGUGCUGAUGAUGAAAUACCAUAUUUUGGUCGAAAACUUGCUAUGAAAGUUUUAACUUCUUGCUCUAUCUGUUGGGUAGAAGUUUGUAAGGCUUGAAUCUGUUGAUUUUGCAGUUGCUCUAUGGCUUGUAAUUGGUUGCUUAUUUUGUUUCACCACACGUCAUUUGAUACUGCUCCGUCUCAAUGUGAUUCAUCAUUAUAAGACAAUGGUGAAUUUUGAGAGUUGUCUUUUAGAUGCCAUGCAUAGACUCCUUUUUUACAAUACAAUUUAAUUGAAAUAAAUUUAAUUAAGUUGAGAGCACUUCGUUGGAUCCAAAUCAUCUCAAAAUAGGUUAGAAUGAACUCGUUCAGGAGUCAACUGUUCGGUUUGGCUUGUAACUGUUCAAACAACUUCAAAAUCUUUCGUAAGGCACCCAUGGUGAUUGGAAGUUGACUUAGAGGAGUCCACAUGAAAGAAGAGAACUUCUUAUCAGUUUGUCAAUUCGCCACUAUUUCCUCUCGGGCAGAAACCGUAGUUCCUUCAUUUUUAUUCUUCUUAACUGAAUCCACCAAACAAAAACCAUAGCAAGCCUCUCUUUAGAUCGAAACCCUAGAUUUGGACAUGGGGACAUAGGGAGAAGAUUGUAUGUAGGAUGUCGAGUGCUUUGGAAUCCUUAAUCUCGAAUCAAACGCAGAUGCGAAGGAAAAAAUGAAAACUUCAACAUUGGUUUCCACAUGGCUCCUAACUAAAGCUUUGAUGCCAAGUUGUUAGGAUCUCUUGCUCCGAACAGUAGUUUUGAUACCAAUUGAUAGCAAAUGCCUCUUCCCUCCAAGGGGAAGAGGUACUUCCUUUUCUAACUCUGCUAGAAAUCAUUAAGAAGAAUUCACUUUUUUAUUAAUUAAAUUGACCAUUUUUACAAAAGAAGAGAGACCUCUUAUUUAUAGGCGUAGAAUUAAUAUUGUAAUUCUGAUAUGAUAAGAAAACCAAAUAAGAAUUGAAUAAAUCAAAAGAUAUUUCUAAUCUAGUAGAUAUUUUGGCUAAUUUGCAUAAAAAUCCAGUGGUUUUAAGAUUUUGCAAAGUGCGUCAUCUUUUUCGUUUUUGUAGAUUCGGUCCGAAUUUUAUGCUCUUGGAUGAAAAUGCCCUCCGUCUGCCCUACCCCCACCCUUUCAGAUACAUAGAAAAUACAGUUUGGCCCGCGGCCAUAGGCAUUAGAUGCCCGUUGUGGCGGGUCACGUUAGUUGUUUUUUCAGAAUGCGAACCACAUUGUGCGGCGCUAUUCAUUAGCUUCGUUGUUUGUUGUUCGGAUUAUUCCAAAGAAAUAUUUGCAAGAUAUAUUUAGAAGUAAAUGUGUACAACAAGGCAGACAAGUCGUGCAUCAUCUCCGCAACAGGUGAAAGAAAAAUUCAAAUAGUGCAUUAUGCAGACAUACCGGUGCAACGCUUGCUCCGGAGAGUGCAACGCGUGGUCAACCUGUGCAAUACGCCACUCCCUCAUCAUUCUUCAUCUGCUUAUCUCACACUCUACUUUGUCUUGUGCUGUUUCUUCUUCUUCCUAAACCCCCCCUCCUCUAUCUUGCCGGCCUUUUUCCUGAUGAAACAGCAUAUUACCAUCCUGAAGGAAGAUGAAAGGGAAACUUAGCAUAUGACGGAGAUAACGAAGAAUAACUACAGACGACAAUAUAUAAAAAGCAAGGAAGAUAUCUAAUAAUUAUUUUUAUAUCAUUAAAAAGAAUGAAACUAAGUCAUGCAAUGGACCGACAGACAGUAAGUGGAUAAUUCAACAAUCAGUGCUACCCGGCAUACAAAGGGUGCAACAUAAUCGAAAAUAGUGCAACAAAAGCCCAAACAUUGUAUUAUUCCCAAAACGUAGUCCAUUAUGCAGACAUCUUAGUGCAGCAUUUGCUCCAAAGAGUGCAAUGCGGGAUCAACCAGUGCAAUAUGCCACUCCCUCGUCAUUCUUCUUUCGCUCGUCCCACGCUCUCCUGUGUUUCAUCCCGUGCUGCUUCUUCUCCUUCUUAAACCUCCUCCAUGCCGCUGGUCUUCUUCUUGAUGAAAUAGUGUAUUACUAUCCUGAAGAAGAUGAAAGGGAAACUUGGCAUAUGACAGAGAUGACGAAGAAUAACUACAAAUGACAGUAUAUAAAAAGUAAGGAAAAUAUCUAAUAAUCGUGUUUAUAUUGUUAAAAAUAUGAAAUUAAGUCAUGCAACGUGACCGACAGACAGUUAGCGGAUAAUUCAAUUAGUGCUACCCUGUAGACAAGGGGUGCAACAUACUCGAAAAUGAUGCAACAAAAAUCCAAGGUGUAUUAUUCACGCAGACAUAUUAGUGCAAUGUUUGCUCCAAGGAGUGCAACACGGGAUCAACUAGUGUAAUAUACCACCCCCUCGUCAUUCUUCUUUCGCUCGUAAACCUCCUCCCCUAUGCCGCUGGACUUCUUCCUGAUGAAACAACAUAUUAACAUACGGAAGGAAGAUGAAAGGGAAACUUAGCAUAUGACGAAGAUAACAAAGAAUAACUAUAGAUGACAGUAUAUAAAAAGGAAAAUAUCUUAUAAUUAAGUUUAUAUCGUUAAAAAGUGUGAAACUAAGUCAUGCAACAGACUGACAGACAGUAAGUGGAUAAUUCAACAAUCAGUUCUAUCCGGUAGACAAAGGGUGCAACCUAAUCGAAAAUGGUGCAACAAAAGCCCAAACAGUGUAUUAUUCCCAAAAUGUAGUUCAUUAUGCAGACAUAUUAGUGCAACAUUUGCUCCAAAUAGUGUAAUAUGGGAUCAACUAGUGAAAUAUGCCACUCGUCAAUUCUUCUUUCGCUCGUCCCAUGAUCUCCUGUGCUUCAUCGCGUGCUACUUCUUUUCCUUCCUAAACCUCCUUCCCUAUGUCACUCGCCUUCUUCUUGAUGAAACAGUGCAUUACCAUCUUGAAGGAAGAUGAAAAGGAAACUUGGUAUAUGACGGAGAUGACAAAGAAUAACUACAUAUGACAGUAUAUAAGAAGUUAGGAAAAUAUCUAGUAAUUGUGUUUAUAUUGUUAACAAGCAUGAAACAAAGUUAUGCAACAUGAUCGACAGACAGUAAGUGGAUAAUUCAACAAUCAGUGCUAUUCGGCAGACCAGGGGUGCAGCAUAGGACCCGUUUGGCCUAGAUUCUAGAAAAGUGAUUUCUACAUAAUUGAUUUUGGUUUGGAAAAGUGAUUUCUGUCAAAAGUUGUAGAGCAUUUAGCUGAGUCUGAUAGAAAAGUGAUUUUGUUGAAGUGAUUUUAGAAAGCUAUUUGGCAAAUUUUUUUGCUGAAGUGAUUUUGUAAUGCUGUCUAACAUUAGUCAUUUUUAAAACUAAUUAAUAUUGUGUGCCAAUAUUUCAAGUUAUUAAUAACUAUUUAAUAUAACAAAAGUGUAUAAUGAUAAAUAUCCAUUAGGAUAACAAUUUAUCUAAAUGUGCUCAUCAAUGAUGCAGCAAUACGAUCGCAAGUUUGGGUCAUGAUGUAAUCAUCUGUUACUCCACUAUAAUUCUGUGUCGAGCUAGUUGUACUGCUUUCAUCUUCUUCAAUGUUGGGCAUAUAAUUCAUAUCUUGAUCAUAUUUGUUGAACUCUUCAUCUUGUGUCGAACUCAUCCUAAUAAAGUUGUGAAGUGCCAUAGCUGCAGACACUAUUUUUGAUUGAGUUGGCACUGGAUAACCUUGCAUCAUUUGUAAUAUACGUCAUAGUGCUUUAAGUACACCAAAUGAUCGUUCAAUAAAAUUCCUCAAGGAUGAAUGUGCAUGAUUAAACACCUCUUUAUAACCUCGUGGUUGAGACUUCUGCCUAAAGUCAGGAAUAUGAUAUCUCACAUUUCUGCCAAUGUAAGGUCCUAAAUAUCCUUUUAUAUUGGGAUACUCUGUGUCUACAAGAUAGUACUCACCUACAUAUGGACAGAAAAUAAUUAAAACUAUUAGAUAUUUACAAUAUAAAAAUAUAGAUAUAACUUACUAUUAAAAAGCAUAAUAUUACUAAUACAGUAGCAUACAACAUUAUAUUAAAAAGCAUAACAAACACACAGCAACAUUAUAUUACAAAUACACAACAACAAACGCACAACAACAUAAUAUUACUAAUACAAUAGCAUAUUAGAGCACAACAAACACACAAUAACACACAUUAAUGUUAAAACAAUAUUACUAGUACAACAACAGAGAUCUAAUGGAAAACAUCCUAAGUUGCCAGUUUUUUUGUCGCCAUAUAUUCUUCAAAUUCAUCCUUUAGCCACACGAGUCGCACUUCCGGUUCUUUCAAGUCUAUGAAUGCCUCUCGAUUAAUCGAUUUUUUAAAUAAGCGAAUGGCAAACAUAUAAAGUGCACUCAUUCGUGUAAUUUCAUUCAUCGUCAUCAACAAAUCCAUACAAUCUUUAAAACUAUAGGUCGAGCUCCUAGAUAUGACUGAACGGCUACUUUGAGAAUUAAAGCUCUCAACUGUAUCGCAUAUAAGGAUAACUAUUGUUGCAUAUAAGUAGCUGUCCCAAUUAUAUCUUUCUUGCCUUUUUUUUUUCUUGACUAUCUCUUACUCUUUUCUUUCCUUUAUCACUUAAAGGAGUAAUCUCAGAAUCACCAGAUUCAAGAUUUAUGGCUGCCACAUUGAUAUCGUCAUUCAAGUCCCCAUUACCUUCCUCUAAAUCACGUGAACGAUAUGGAUCGGGAGGCAUUGUCCCUAAAGCCGGUGUCCAUGCCAUGUCACCUAAAGCAACGGUUUUCGAAAACAUAACUUGUAGUAGUGCAGUAUUCUCCAACCCCGUGUCACGGAACUUUGCAGCUUCAGGUAGUAUCUACAUAUAUCAUAUGGUUACAUAAUAUUGUAAAGAAAACAUAUAGUAUGAAUAAGCUAAAAAAAUAAAUUUAUACUAACCUUUAAUUUCUCCUCGCACCAUACAGGACUGGCAUCAAUGGUACCCCUUGCAUGAUUCCAUCCUAAUCCUAUCUCUUUACCAACUAAUUGCAUACAUAAAACCCAAUCCCUUCUAAGAGAAUCCCAUUUAUUUUUCAAUUGUAUUUUGUCGUAAGCUCUUUGUUUUCUCUCUAAAUUUAUUAACCACAUUUUACCAUCCAAUUCUAUUAAAAUGAGUAUUAGGUCGGUUCCUGGCAUUGACCUCUUUAACACAUACUUCUUCAAAAAAAUUUAAGCAACGAUGCAUCCCACGUAGCUUUAAUUUUUUUUUCCUUUCUGGGUAGAUGGUUCUCCUUGUGAUGGAUUCAUCUUUCAACUUUCUAGUAAACAAAUAUAUGUUAAAAGAUAUAGGCAUAUGAAAACUCACUAAAUAAUUGAAACAUUCAUACUACAAAUUUGGCAAAUAAUUGAAACAUGCAUGCUACAAAAUAAAUAAAUAACCGAAACAUCGCAUACAAACUAGACAAUACUACAAACUAAAUAAAAUUUUAAAACAUUACAUACCACAAACUAAUCAAACAAUCAAAUACACAAUUUUUAAUUUUAAACAUCAAAGAAGGUUGCAAAUAGAAUAUUAUAUUAAUUUGUUAAUGUCACACCCCGAGCUCGCAGCAGAAGACUACAGGGCGCGAACAGACCCGCUGAACAGACAGAACAGUUUCCAAGAGUCGUGCGAGAUCGAACAAACUAUUCUCACAUCACAAGCAGCAAGAUGUAGUGCUGAAUAACAAACGACAUGUAUCAGACCACUAUCAACAGGCUAAACUGCCACACAACAUGUACUACAGAUAAAAACACAACCUUAGAACAAAGUACAAGGAGAAAGGGGCCUGGCCCUCGCCAAUACACGUAUGUAGUUAGGGGUGGAAACGAGCCGAGCUCGAGCGAGCUUAUGUCAGCUCAAAUUCGGCUUGAAAUUAAUUUCAAGCCUAAAUCUAGGCUCAAGCUCGGCUUGAAAUUAAUUCGAGCCGAGCUCGAGCUAGUCUAAUUUCGAGUCGAGCCGAGCUCGAGCUCUAAACGAGCCGAUUGAAAUUCUCGACAUUAUAUAAUCAAUAGUUUAAUUUUUAUAGAACAUUACCUACAAUUUGAUGCAACAUGUCCAAUAGUUCAAAAUACAAAAUAAUUAUAAGAAAUGUGAGCUAGGGUGACUUCCUGACUGGAUGAGGGUCUGUGAGAGAGAGAGAGAGAGAGAGAGAGAGAGAGAGAGAGAGAGGGAAAAAAAUAGGGAUUUGAAAAUUUGAAUGUUAUCAUGUUUUAGGGUUAUGUGCAACAGUAAAAGUCUGAAAGAGAAAGUGUGUUAUGUAAAUUUAGAGUUGGUCUCAAUUGCACGGUUGUACUUAUUGGGUUUAUUUUAUGGACCAACAAUAAUGGCUCAAAUUAAAUUAAAGCCUAUAUAUAAUUAAAAUACAUUAUAUNGCGAGCUCGAGCUGAGCUUUAAUUUACUCGACUCGAACUUGUUUUAUUUUCCGAGCUUUAAGUAAAGUUCGACUCGAACUCAUAAUGAGCCGAGCAAGCUUAAUCCGAACUUUUUGAGCUUUUCGAGUUUAUAUAUAUAUACGACCCCGAUGAUAUGAGAAUACACAUAUCUAGGGGAACGUGAGUAUUUAAAAAUUGGCAACUAACUACCCUACACACCAAUCCUACUACCACCAGGAGUGAAUCUUACUAUCACCAGGGGAUCCCAACUUACCCAUCAACCAAUUUAUCAUACUAGAUUGCCUACUUUUACUAAUUACCUUAUUUAGAUUCCUAGCUUUUGAAUACGGUGACAUACUUUCCUCGGGUAUGCGUACCUUAUUGGUAUCAUCGGCCUGAGAUAUAUAUAUAUAUAUAUAUAUACAUAUAUAUAUAUAUAUAAGUACAUAUAUGUAUAUAUACAUAUGUAUAUGUAUAUAUAUACAUACAUAUACAUAUGUAUAUACAUACAUAUACAUAUGUAUAUACAUACAUAUACAUAUGUAUAUAUACAUAUAUAUGUAUAUAUAUAUACAUAUAUAUAUAUAUGCAUAUAUAUAUACAUAUAUAUAUAUAUGCAUACAUAUACAUAUACAUAUGUAUAUAUGUAUAUAUGUACAUAUAUAUAAGCACCCAGCUCAGCCUCAGAACUUCUUCAAGCCUCGCCUCAUAACUUUUAGCUUCUUAGGUUCUGAAGCUUCUUAGCCUUUCCUGCGUUUUGUGCGUUUUGAACUUAGUGCUACGCAUCCAUUCAAAAUUUAGAACAAAUACCACUAAGUAUGAAUAAAUAUCUAGAAUCUUAGUAUAAAAGUUCAACAUUAACUAAUCUUUCAAAGAUUCUCAAACAUUUUGGGCUUUGUUACGUAAAAGUCGCUUUUAACAUAACGACAUGGCCAUGUUCCCAAAAGACAGGUCCCAUGUCAGCCGAAUAUCGAGCCGAACACGAGUCGAACGCGAGCCGGCUCGCUCGUUUGCCAGCCCCAUAUGUAGUACAACGGAGCACUUUAUCUGGUGGCCUUCUAAUGUAUAGAUAGGCUGGUAGAAGGUUCUAUCUACUACGCGAUCCUUCUCACCUCGAUUAACCGUCGGUGUAUGUACUCCUGAAAAAAAAAAACACAAUAGGGUGUGCGAACUACUGAACAGUAAUUCCCAGUGGGUACGGUCGGCGAUAACCACGAUCUUCCCGCUAGGUCUACUGGAGGCCAGACUAAUAUAAGAAUAGUAAAAGCUGCUGUAAAUGAGUAACUAAAUCUGAACAAAUAAAAGUAAAUAAUCUGAACAAAUGAACAAAUAAAGGUAAAGUGCAGUAAAUGACUACCUCGCUAUGACCUGUAUAGGGAAGUAUCAGGUAACAGUAACUAAAUAACUGCAUGUGUUAGAAAUAGACCUCCGUAUAGGUAAUGAGAGUUAAGAAAAGAAAAUUGUAUAGUGUCUACAUCAAUGCAACCACUACAACAAAUACUAUAAUCAUACCCAAUCGGAAUGACCGACUCGUAUGUCCGGUCAAGCCUGCGCUCGCCUAGUGUCGGAAUUGCACUCCCGUAGGUGCAUCGUCGACACUUAGGCUCUGCCCCUUGGGCACACAUAUCUCAACUAUACUGGCCAGCAUCCGGAGCGGCACUCGAAGGGGAACGACCCCUAUUGAGUCUCGUAACAAGUAGCACUGUCAAACUCAAAGUGGCCUUGCAGGCUAUGGUCUAUCUCAUAGUCAACAAUAUCACAAUGCCAAUCCUAUAUCCUCAGAGUAGGCAUGGAGUAAACAAUAGGUUAAUAUCACAGUAGCAUGUGCAUAAGCGCUCUCUAUGUCAAGUAGCUGUACUCUACCGCCGCACUACCCGCGGCCUCUAUCACAAAUGACAUGGCAGGUACAAGAGAAAUAGAUAAGAGAUGAUUCACCAAGAUGUAUAAAAUGUCAACUGGUCUCCCACAACCGACUAGCAUGGCUACAUUCAAAAAUACUAACAAUCAUUAUGUCACGACAAUGAAAUAAUGGAUUGAACAAAGGAUCACAAGACACAAUAAGAUCUCAACUUAAUGAUAAGAUGUCCAAAGGUUCGAGCCACAAAUGUCUCAUGAACCCUCGGUCUCAAAGAAUCUAACUCCUCGGUCUCUAUUACAUGUACAAUACAACGAGAAGAAAAGACCUCAUGUCAAUGCGUAGAAUGCCAAGAGAAGAAGUGUGGCCUCCAUUACCUGCUCUUCGAGAAUAAGUACUCAAUUUCGCACUAAUAACAUCUCUAUCGACAAAUCAAACCAUGUAUCGAAACCUACGUUAUGCUUCCGACACCAUGCUCAGGUAUAACUUGUUGUUCACAUAAAUGCUUAUGAGGAGUUAACAACCUAUGUGAUCAGGUAUCAAUGUUAAGUUCAUGCUUCAAUUCUCAUAAAAUGAGGAUCAAUAGGAGGUAAGUCAUGUGCACGAAUUUAAGUACUACAUCUCAUCCUCAAAUAGGUGUAGAAGGAAAUUCGCCAUUUUCGGCGACUCAGAACCCACCUCGACUCGCUAUGUCGACUCGAGCAAGAGAAAUGCUCCUCACGUGCUUUUCCCCCGGCUCACAAUCGCUUGGAACCACUAAUCAGAGCAAAGUUGUUAGAAUUACGAUCACAAUGCAAAUUUUCUACUCUGAGCUCAAUUCACUCUAGUUGGACGCCAUUUACCUUAAAUUGCAACUAACCGGAUGUGUAUAGCACUCUCAUUCACACUCCUGGACACCCUGCGAGCGUCGAUUGAAGUUUAGAGGUGCGAAUUACGCCAAUCACAAUGUCUAUUUCAUUCAAUUUCAUUCUUCCUUUUCCUUUCUUUUCUCCCUUCUUCCUCCCUUUCUUUUCUUUCAUUUUCAUCUCUUUCCUCGAAUUCUACUCUCUUUCUUUCCUUUUCUUUCUUUCUUUUUUUUUUCUCUUUUUCUUUCUCUUUACAUUGCUGCCCUGCAGCUGCUGCUGUUGCUAGCAGUAGCAGUAAGUGCUGCUGGUAGCAGCCUUGCUACUGCUGCUGCUGGGCACUCUGCAGUCUGCAGUCAGCAGCUGCUUGUCAGGGACUUAGUGAUUCUUCAGUGCGGCCAAGUCCCUGGCCCAGCUUCGCUAGCAGAGCGAGUUGUAAGGAGGCCCAAAACCAGCAACCUUUCAUGGGAGAUGAAGGGUUAUGUAACUGCUGCAAUUAAUGCCUCCAUAACUCCCAACGGAAAUCCAAGAGUCAUAGGUAACUCUUGGGAUCACCUAGCAUUCAUGAGGGCUCAUUACUAUGAGAUAGUGGGUGAGUUGUGUGGCUAGGUUCAUUGUAUCCUUAGGCCUAUAAGUAGUGGCGUUUGGCUAUGGCCAAAGCACACAAGAGGGGUUAUUUAAAGGAAAGGGGUCGGGAAGAGGGAGAAUAAGUGGGAGAAUUGAGAUAAGAUGAUUAGAAAGAUAAAAGAAAAAAAAAUUGUGCUCGGUGGACAAGCUAGAUGACAUCGGUUUGAUCAUUGACGUCCAAAUGAUCGGGAGGUGGCUCGGGCCUAGCAAUCGGUAGCAGCAAGGCAAGACGGUGGUGGAGAUGUCUGCGGGCGGCAACGGGGCGUCAUGAUAGGGUGGCAGUGUUGUAGGCGGUCGACUCCAAGUGACGGUGGCAGCGGUGGCAGAGAUGACAUCAAUGGUGGGGACGUUGGUGGCAGUGAAUGCACGGGCAAUAAAAUAAAAGAAAACAAAAGAAAGAUAAAGGGACUCGCUCCCCACGGACUCACUCCGGUCGACGCAUAAAUGCGAAGGAAAUUAGAGAACACAUCUCAAUGGUUAUCGCAAUAUUCAUCUUCAUAUUUUAAUCGUUCCAUACAUAGGCUUAUUUAAAAAGCUUUCCUAACAGAUGGAUAAGCUCAAAUAAAAUUUAACAACUAUCCUAACAAAAUUAAAAAAAAAUCUCAACCUAUCCUAACAGAAUAAAAAUCUCAACCCAUCCUAACAGAAUAACUAAAAUCUCAACUUACCCAAUGUCACGCUCCGGAUUACACGUUUCUUCGGGCACGCCAAUAGACCCGCUGUAUACAUAGGAAUUUUUCCUGUAUACGAAGCGAUAGCUGUACCUGUACCUGUAAUCAUACAAAACUAUAACUAGUAGUAUAGAGCUACUAGCAGAACUGUAAACAUAAGUAAAUAAACAUCAGGUUCACUAUACAUAGCCUCCAGAUACAACAUCACUCGCUCCAGCGAGUAUCUAAUAUCAAUAUGUACAUGAACCAAAAACCAAAACUACCUGUAGCUGGUACUCCUCUAAAACAGCAACAAAACUGGAAGGGAUCUAGCUCGCGACUUCCUGUCCACGAUCAGGAUCAGUAACAGCAGCAGCCACAGAAGAAGGCUCUACAAAAAGAGGUCAACAACUGGGUGUGAGAACUACUACAAAAAGUAGUCCUCAGUGGGUACCGCUACCGACCUCAACGGCUCACCUACUAAGUUUACAGAAGUAUGCAGGAAGAUGGUAAAGGAAGCUGGAAAAACUCUACACUAUAUGCCACUACACUAUUGCUAACCAACACUAUCUAUUUGUAGAUGUAACUCUGAUGCAAUCUCUGACCCAAUCUCACUAGGGACUGUGAACGCACCCGUCCCACCUGUCGAAACUACACCAACUACCACCAUGCUAGGUUGUUGGUGGAGAGCAAGUCCAACCAGGACACUACGACAUCAACGCAAAUGCAUUAAGCCCGACUCCGGAGUGGCACUCGUGGGCGCUACCCAACCGAGUAUGCAAGCGUGUCUCUACCGAGCUCAAUCAAGCUCUCAUAGGCUAUAAUCAAAGCAACUGGGUCUAACUGGUCUAACAGCCAAAGCUCACGUGCCCUCGGCACAAUCUGAUGCAAAGUACAGAAAUCUAGGUCCACCGUCAACUGCGACGGCACCCGACAGUCCGAAACAGUCUAUACACAACUGUAAAUUAAGCUCGACAUCUCAGCACGAGCGUAAAUUCAUCCUACACUAAUCUGAGUAUCCACCACGUACAAACUGCGACGAUACAAACAAACUACAGCUCUUAAAGCUAAAUCUGGUAAUUUUCAGAAAAUGACAGUGUAGAAUCUAAUAGUUUUCUAUGUCAAUUCCAAGUUCAACAUGUAAAAUUGAACUACUAGCUUAACUCCAAAUUCAAAUUUAAACACUAAUCCAUGAAUUCGAAUACUAGCAAGAAACUACACAAUUAAUACAUGUCGACUAUACUAAAACUUAGAAGAUAUUCCGAUGAUUUCGGUAAACUUCACCACCUCGAAAAGCUAGUCCAACGACGGUGAGAAGUCGGAAGGAGAGGACAACACGCGCUCGCUCGGCCUCCAAUUGUGUUACCACGAUGCGCGCACGCUCGAACGACUCCCCGGGGUAACGUCGACGUCGAUCCGAGCUCGAGCCACGAACACCACCUCAACCACAAUCAAAAACUAGAGAGAGAGAGGAAACAGCAAAUAAACUCUCCCUCUCAGGCUCUCAGCCUCUCAACACAUAUAUACACUAGGGAUAAGGGUGAAGUCCACGAUGUAGCAAUUGACCAAAAGGCCCUCACCUACCCUGGAGUAUCGGUACCAGCCCGAUGCUGUACCGGUACCCAGCAUCAAUAAUCGCAACCCGAGAGCAGCAGUCGAAAAAUUACACUGGGGUACCGGUACUCCUGCGUGGUACCGGUACUCAAUACUGACAACCUGCACUUUCUAGAUUUCAGUGUCAAAACCCUUCUCUCGCGUCACACUGAGUCCGUUUUGCGUCUAUUUCGCGUCAAAACUACUCGGACUUGUCUCGACACUCUCCAGAUGUGUCGACAAGCCUCAGAUGCUGAAAUCUCACGGCUGUAGAACGCCGGGGAUACUAUACCCAAAGAAAUAGAUUUUUAAAUAAAAUCACAUAAUCUUAGAUACUUCUAGAAACUAACCGGUGCGAUUCAAUCCGAACCCAGUCCUGAUUGAUUGAGCCACAUGCUCAAGUUGCGUUUACGGCAUCGACGGCGUUCGUACACCCGAAAGGGGACCCGUCCGCAUCAAUGCACCUAUUAGCCUACCACGGUCGAUGGAGGUCACUUAAUUUAUUUUAUGUUGAUAAUGCAACUGCACGUGAUAAUUAGCACAAUAAUGACCCUAAGAUCUUUUCUAAAAUUCUUCUAGCAAACAUAAUGUAAGAUACUCAAAAUCAAACCAAUAGUAACACUCUUAUGAAGGUUGCGUAGAAGCAGCGUUAUCAGAUAGAUGCCGUAAGGAGAAAUUCCUAAUAUUCAAUCCUAUCCGGAAUCCUCUCAAAUCAAUGAUUCAUUGUUGUUUGUGAAACCUUCCUGUGAAGUGAGGGCUUUUGGCUAAAUAUAGUUUUGUUGAUUAUAGGACUGAGUAUGGACAGCUUCUGGGGAUCAUGGGUGCAGUAGGCAAUCUUGGUUUUGCCUCAUUUUCGGUUCUUUGCUAGGAUAGACGGAAACUUUUUGAAAACAGUUGUGCACUGCAUUAUUCUAGAUUUAUGGAAUUUAAGGAUUGAUUUUGUUGUCUUAAAUAGGGUUGUUAUGCUGGUAAUUAUUGGUUACUGAUCUGUUCAAAAACAAAAAUAAAAUGCUUAUAUCACAUAAUUUUGUAAAAACCUUUGUCUUCCAUUAUUAUCUAUUGCAGCUAAAAAGAUUAAAAGGAUAGCAAAUCAACCUCGUUUUCCCUUUAACAUCACAAACUAUGACAUCCAUUUUAACUAUCUCCUCGACUGAAAACUUUCUCCUAUUAUAAUGCAGCAUCAUGACAGCUUUGAGCAUAUUUUGAGUACUAAAAUUUUCAUGCUAUCUCUAUUAUCAAGUAGGUGCAAUCUAGUAGCUAUGCUUUCUCUUGAAUUACGCAAAACAUCAUCAAUAAGUAUGUUCUCCAUUAUCUUUGCAGAUAUACAGGAUUGACUGAACGAUUUGAACUGUUCAUUUGUGGUCGUGAGAUUGCUAAUGCAUUCUCUGAACUUACAGAUCCAAUUGAUCAGGUAUCUUUUAUAUGAACUGAUUUCCAGUUACCUUUAUUCUUGCAAGCUCUUCUUACUUUAUUGCGACGAGUGCAUUCUUCUUUUGUCAUCUUUCCCAUAUAUGUAAUCUAAAAUGCAUGUAUCUUUUUGUAUACUUUGUUGUAUUGGAUACAGGGUUUAAAGUGGUGCCUAGUAUCGUACGGGAUAAGGCGGCACGUAUUGUGCCCCCAAGAUGGGGGCACGGUACGGGGGGUUCUAACAAGCCCCCCGCGGUGCCGCCCUGGGUGUUGCGCGAGAUAGCACAAUACCCGGGAGGUACCGCAGUAUGUAUCGUGUUGGUUCCCUUUUUCUUCUUUUUUUUUUUGCCUUUUGCUUUUUUUUUUUGCCUUUUUUUUCUUUUGGGGUACGCAAACAUCCUGGGUACCCACACCCCCCAAAGACAUUGCAAAUUGAAAAUCUAUUUGUUAGGUAGGUAAAAAAAAUUAUAAUUAAUUUUUUAUUUAUCAAUAUACGGGCAAGUUUUUAAUUUACAUAUCCGACCCACAUCGCCCGAGCCCUCCGCUUCCACCACAGGCAUUCAUUUUUUCUUCGCAAAUUAUUUUAUUAAAAUUUGUCGCAUCGUGAAAUUAUGGGAACAAAAUCAAACUCAAUAAAUAAAUUUUGAGGCACAUCAAAUAUAAAAUAUUUUUUUGCGUUAGAAGGUUGAAAAUACUAAUAAAAUUAAAAGCUAAAUUAAAUCAAUUGAUACUUUAAUUAAUUUAAUUUAUUUGUCAUGUAAUUUAUUGCUUAAUUUUUUUGAUAGAUUUAAUAAUUCUUUGAAAAAUUUAAUUAAAAAUAAAAUUUUCAAAUACUUUUUAAAAUAUUUUUUCAAAUAAUUUUAAAAUAAUUUAAAAAAUUAUUUUUUUCUAUUUUAUGAAAGAAAUACUGUAAAAUGAUCGAAAGAAAGAAAGAAAGAUGUCUUUGUAUUUAAAAAAUUCAAACCUGUAAAAAUUUUUAUUCUGCAUUAGGUAUAGUUGUACUUUACAUACAAAAAAGCUUACAAGUAUGUUAAUUGAUGAGUAUAGUAAGCUAGAUCCAAUAACUUAUUCGGUAUUCUAGAUCCAAUAACUUAUUGGGCCUAAUCCACUAGCCCAAAAUGUUAUAGGCUAGUUAUUACUGACAGAAAUACCUAUCCUUUAUAUACCAAUGCAUCAUGGGUUCAACAUCCAAUGUAGGAUUAGUUCCGGGGUGCUAUAGUUGGUAUCAGAGUCAAUCACUAGUCAAAAGUAUGAGAUGAGACUAGGCUGAGAUAGGGCCAUAUAACAGGCAAGAGUGCGGCUCCCCACUACUUAGCUAAGACUAGUGAGGUGAGUCUCAAAUUGUCUGAUGCUUGUGAAUAGGAAUGUGACACCCCCAGAAUUUGGAAUAGUCCUAACAUAAGGUAUAGUAGGACUAAACCUCUAAAUCAAAUUAUAAUAGUUUGGGCUGUGGCUAAGCCCAAAGGUUAAGACGGUUGAACGAGCCUAGGACUAGAGUAGUUUUGGAAUGGGUGAGCACCUUCAAAAGUGGGUGUCACAAUAUUAGUACGAAUCAAGGUUUAAAGUGCUGCCCUGUGUACGGUGCGGGGCGACACGUAGGUUGCACAAUACAGGGAUGGUCUCGGACCCCCCUCCGUGUUGCGGCACGGACCUGCGUAUCACGCAAGACAGUGAUACGCAGGUCCGUGCCACGGCACUGCCGUGCUAGCACACUUUUUUUUUUUUUGGUUUUUUGCUUUUUUUUUUUCCUUUUUGUUUUGUUCUUUGGGAUACCAUGAAGCAUCCCAAACCCCCCAAGGACAUUGCAAAUCGAAGAUCUACUUGGUCGGUAGGUCAAAAAAGUUAUGACUUAAUUUUUUUUGUUUAUCAAUAUACAGCAAAUUUUUAAUUUAUAUAUCCGAUCCAUACCGCAGGGGGCGAAGCCCCCCGCACCCCUUUUAUCAGCAUGAGCCCUUCGCUUCCACCACAGACAUCCAUUUUUUUCAUAAAUUAUUUUUCAAAAUCUGUCGCAUUGCAAAAUUUUUGACGAAUUAAGAGAACAAAAUCGAAUUCAAUAAAUAAAUUUUGAGACACAUCAAACAUAAAAAUUUAUUUUUUCGUUAGAAGAUUAAAAAUACUAAUAAAAUUAAAAGCUAAAUUAAAUCAAUUGAUACUUAAAUUUAUUUAAUUUGUUUGUCAUAUAAUUUAUUGCUUAAUUUUUUUGAUAGAUCUAAUAAUUUUUUAAAAAAAUUAAUAAAAAAAUAAUUUUUUCAAAUACUUUUUAAAAUAAUUUUUUCAAUUAAUUUUUAAAAUUAUUUAAAAAAUUAUUUUUUUGUAUUUUAUAAAAGAAAAACUAUAAUAUGGUCAAAAGAAAGAAGAAAGAUGUUUUUGCAUUUUUAACAUUCUAAGCUGUAAAAAUUUUUAUUCUGCAUCAGGUGUAGUUAUAUUUUACAUGCAAAAAAAUUAGUAAAUUAACAUAGCAAAUAUUCAUAAUGAUUUAAUUAAAUCUUUCAAAAUACUAUUAUGAGAGCUUAUUGGAACAAAAAAAACUGAAAUAAAUUUAUGCCAAAACGUGCCAGUAGGAGUUCAUACAUAUCCAUCGGCAUGCAAGUGUACCAUGUGUUUGCACGGAAGCGUGCUGGUGCCGUACCGUGCAAGGCAAACAGCGGCAUGCUUCCGUGCUAGGGCACUUUAAACCUUGGUACGAAUAAUUUGGAUUUAAGCAUUUCUGGCCAAUAGUUUGAACCCAAUAAGUUAUUACUGCUAGCAAGUUGAAUCGUUUGUAAAAACCCAACUUACUAAUACCACCAACUUUUUGGGCCUAAACUACCGGCCAAAAAUGUUUAAACCCAAGUUUUAAUGCUAAUGUGCUAGCUAUAUUUCUGUUUAGGCUAUGACAGCCUCGUCAGGACCAAUCACACAUAUAUUCCAAGAUCACUAGAUGAUUUGAGACUCAUUGCCCCAAAAUGUUGAAGUAAUGACUUAGUCUACUACUACUACAAACAACUUAUUGGUCCCAAACAACCAGUCCAAAAUGCUGAAGUCCAAUUAUUAGUAUUAAUAUGCCAGUAGUAUAAUCGAAGUGAUACAUAAAAUUACUCCUAUUUCUAUGCAUAUCCGCUGAGUUGAGUCAGCAACUAAAGAAGUGCUUGAACCAAUCAAGAACUCUCUCGCUCUCUCUCUAACACACGCAUCCUUAUAUAUGGAUUUCUUGUCUCUUCAAAGUAGAUUAAAUUUGUUGCUUGCAAGGAUUGCUUGUGCCACCCCAUGCCAUCUGUGCGGGGGGCCGUACCAACACGUGGUGGUGGUUCAUGCCACAGGAUACUGAAAACGCAUCUUUUUUAUUUUUUUAGUUUUGGGUUUAUUUUGAUUUUUCUGAAACGAAGAGGUCAUAUAAUGAUUGCGUAACUUAAAACAUGUAGAUUUGUAUAUCUGUCUACUUAUAGAGAUGAUUGGAUUUACACUGAUAUUGGUAAAUAAGCCCUCCAAUUACAUGACUGCAUAAAAGAUUUACGUACAUAUGCUUGCAUAUGUGUGGGCACUUGUCCUGGCUGAUAUGUAUACAAUGCCUGUUGUAUAUUUUUACCUCUUAUCUCUAUUGAUAACGUAACAUACAUAUGCAUGUUUUUAUUUACGUAUAUACGAAUAACCCUGGCUGUUUCCGUAGUUUAUUGCCCUUUUCUCUGAAAGCUGCCAUAUUGGGAUAUGAUCAUGUCAUCAUGCCGUGUCCAUAUGCCAUAUCAGUGUUCAGCUGUCCAUGUAACUUGGUUUCAUUAGUAUACUGAAGUACAGAUAAUUCCUAAACAUCCAAAAUCUUUAUGUAUUGUGUUUAUGAUUAUAACAUCCUUCGUUGCCAACUUGCCAUAAACCGUAAACAGGGCCCUACGCUUCAUUUUACCAUGGGAGAUAGAACUCUGGUUUGCCAUGCCAUGCCUUCUUUCUGAAGUUGUUUGUUGUUACUAACUAAGCGAAGAGUAGGUUCCCUAUUUUUGUUAGUACUAUGUUGGAAAUAGAAUGCUGUUUUCCCUGAGUGUAUCUAUGAGUCAAUAAUUUACUACUUGACUGCAACCUAGGUUUAUAACUUUAUAUGAUGAUGUUAGCAGCUGUCUUGGCUGAUGAAAAAUUAGGCAAUCAAUUGCAAGCGAAGCUCAACUUCUGAAUGCUUGUACAGAUUUAGGGUUUGGUUUCAUUGAGGCAAAAUCUCCUAUCUACUUUCUCCAUAAUGUAUGGUUCUAUACUGAACUUCCAUAGUGAAAUGCUCUAUUCGCAAAUUCCUGUCAAGCCAUGCAGUUAGGUCUCGAUGAUGGUUCAAACAUUGGCACAUCCUAGAAUAUCAAGAUCUGAGAAAUCAUCUCAAGUGGGCUCGAGUGCUUGGCAUAACUGCAAUUAAAACCAGUUUUAAUAUAUAUUUUGCUGAAGCUUGAAUGUUGUCCCAUUGAAGGUUGUGCAGAGGCUUUUUAAGUUUGCCUCACUUGGAUGGUGUAUGGUUCAACGUAUGACUGUAAAAAAAACAAAUUUCAGAUGAAAAGUGUUUUCCGUAAAAGGAAAAUUUAUGUUUUUAGGUGUUUGGGUUGGCGUAAAACAAAAACAAUUUCGAGUCAUAACGAGAAGAAAAUCAAGAGAGUGAGCGAGAGCGAGGGAAAAAGAGGUGUUUUUAAUUUUCAGUUUUAUUUUCUGCAAAAAAAAAGAAAGCCUGGAAAAUGAAAAUGGUUAUUCUUAGUAAAACGCUUAUCACAUGUAACCAAACACUGCCUAGUGUGUUGCAUGCUCUGAUCAAAUUUUGUUGUGAGUAGGCUCGUGGGUUGUGACGGCAUGAAACAUGCCUGUUGUUAUAUUUCAACAAUUGUUUAACAUUUUGGCAGCGACCAUGAUCUUCUAAUGAGGGUAGUCUGCUGUUGUCUUACAGAGGAGUCGCUUUGAAGAGCAAAUAAAACAGCACAAUGCGAAGCGCGCCGCCCUCACUGCAGAAUCAAAAUCUACCGAAGUACAAAGUGGUGUUGAUGAUUAUGCCUAUGAAGUUGCUCUUGAUGAAGACUUUGUAACUUCUUUAGAGUAUGGCAUGCCCCCAGCUUCAGGAAUGGUAUGAUAAAUUUGGCUGCUCGGAUCUCUCGUUUGCUGUGUUGUUAUUCCAUCUCGUAGUUACGUAGUUCACUUCUUGCAAUGUUUUUCAUACUGUAUCAAGUAAUGUACCACGUGAUAAUUAUCAGUAAUCGGUAUAUAACCGCCUCGAUAAAUAUGUAGUAUUUCGGCCUGGUCACAAGUAUACUUUCUGUAGUUUCUUUCACUACUACUGAAAUAUCAGCCACUGAAAUUCGAGUAGAAUUUGUGCGCUAAGAUUGUCCCUAGUAGCAUAAUCGGCGUUCUCACUAAACACAAAACGUGUUGAGGACUUAAUUGUGAAUCUUAUGCGUUUCAAACUGUUUUUUUUUUUUUUUUUUUUCCUGAGCUUUUCUUCUCAUUUUGCAGGGGCUUGGUAUCGAUAGGCUAGUAAUGCUUCUAACCAACUCGGCAAGUAUAAGGGAUGUUAUUGCUUUCCCUGUCCUCAAGAUUCAGCAAUAGGGUUUUUUAUUCAGAAAAAGGAAACAGGAAACAUUAGAGGUGAUUAAUUACUACUGGAGUGGUCCACUGUGGUUGCAUGUUGAAAGGCUUGUUUCUCUCAGGUACAUUGCAGUUAACUAACUUAAGCUACUCUUCAUGUUUGUUCUUUUUCAAAAUUUUGUCUCAUGCUCUCCCAUUGUAUUAUGAAGAGAUCUUUCCAAUUCUUUCAAGUAAUAAAAGACACUGUAAAGUAAAAUAAUUUUUCUGAGAAUAUUAUUUUUCGUAGUAAAUUAAUCUGAAAUCAAACCUUAGGGAACAUUUGGAUUGAUGUAGUUGCAAUUCAUUCGUAAAUCAAUUUUUUGAAGAGUAGAAAUAUUAGUUCAAUAGCGGAUCUUCGCUAAGUUAAAGAGAGUCACCCACAAGCCAUGAGUUAUGUAUCUUAAAACUAAUUUUUCUUCAAAAGAGUCUGGAGUCAUCUUUCCUAGUCAGAUCUUAGGGUUCCCUUUUUCUUUCUUUUUUUUUUUUUGCAUUGUGCCCCCUCAAAUUUUUUUUUUUUAUAAAUAGCCUAGCAAAAUUAUAUUUACUGUAAUUUUUUUUUUCUUCUUUAUUCAAAUACUAAGGAAUAUGGUAAACUAAUAGCUGUGUUUAAACGCGGUGAUUCGGCCAUCGUAUUCAAAAUACAGUAAAUUAUUUCUCUCUGUGUUCCAAUUUAGGCGCCGAGAUAGUUACACGUAAAGUGUGGUGAUUUUGUUUAAUUGAAAAGGUGAUUUUGUUUAAUUAAAAAUGGUUCUAUGGAGAAAUAUUCUCAACCCUUGCGGCGCCAUUUCACGCUUCUGUCAACUCUUCUCUUGGCAACGGAAAGGUAACGUCCUUUUGGAAUGCUAGAAGGCAUGGGGACUUCGCCCCGAGAAACCGCUUUCCUAACCUAUAUGCUGUAGCGACCCUUAAACAUCUCUCUGUCACAAAAAUGGAUUCAGCGCUUCACUUCACGUGCCAACCUGGGUUUUAACCCACCUCAAAUGCCUUGAGGAGCAGGAUAAACUUCAGCAGCUCGCAGCGUUGAUCCACAGCACUUGGCUACCCGACUCUAUUGAUGACUCAGCUCUUUUGGCGAUGGACCAAUACAGAGAAGUUUUCAGUUCAGAGCUCUAAUCUAUGAUGGUAUCAAUGAUUCUAAAAAAUCCCUUUCCUUUGGAAACUCAAGAUUCCUCUCAUAAUCAAACUUUUCAUGUGGCUAGCUGCGAGGAUUAGGAAUAGAGUUUUGACAGCUGAGACACUAACUAAGCGAGGCUGGGAUGGCGCCUCAAUCUGUGUGCUUUGCAACUCAAAUGCAGAUACCCUAGAUCACCUACUCUUUCGCUGCUCUUAUGCUAAGUCCCUGUGGAGCUGGCUGCUCCAAAGUAUCCUCCUACUCGCACAGCAGCUGAUGCCUAUUUCUGCUGGAGCGAUAGCAGAUCGAUGGUGUCGAGACGAUGGCACUGCCAGGGCAAUCCAAAACAACAUUUGAUCUCUGUUUUAUGACAGCGUGCUAGGACGUAUGGAAUGAGCAGCAGAACAUGAGAAUUUCCAACAACCGCCUUUGCCAAAGCGAAAAUUUGGAAAGAAGAGUUCUUUACACGGACGGUAGGGCUAUGGAAUUCUGUGUUAGGGAGUUGAGUCUUCUUGGUUGUUGUUUUUUUUUUUUUUUUUUUUUUUUUUUUUUUUGAUUUUUUAGUCACUGUUUUGUUGAGCUAUGUACUUGUUACGAACUAAAUUGGACUGGUGCCACUCUUUGCUUUUCUAAAAUAAGCUAUAUUCCUGUUUAAUCAAAAAAUAAGAAAAAGUUCUAUUACAUAGAAAUGCCCCAAGUUUUCAAAAAUUUCAUUAUAAUUUAAUCUAUCUUUCCAAAUUUAGGGCUUAGGGUUUAGUUAGAAUUUUAAAAAUUUAGAGUUUAUGGUUUACUUAUGUUAUUUUAAAAUAAUAUUAUUAUAAAAUUUGUGUUGCCAAAUGAUAAUUUUUAUUUAGGAAUUUGUGCGCAAUGGCGGGCGGCGGCGGGUUACCAAAAAAUUGGGCGGGCAGUGGGCGAUAGCAACUUCUAAAGUGAAGGAGAUAACAAAACGGGGACAAGCAAUGUUUUAUAUCUAUACGUAUCAAUCAAUAUUAUAUAUGAAAAGAGUAUAAAAAUUCUGACAAUGACAAACGAAAUCUAAAAAAGAAUAAAAUAAUAUUCCCUACAAACAAGUAUGAUCGGUUUAUUAAAAAAAUUUCAAAUAAGAACAAACGGUUAUUAUCAAUCUGUUAAAAAUAACAACAAACCGUUGUGUCAAUUAAAAAUGAAUUAAAAAUGAAUAGUUAUGAUCAAUAGUUAAAAAAUAGCAUUCCUAUCUAUCUAUUUUAAAUUAAUUUUGGAUAAUUUUAUCUAUCUAUAAAUCCAAUUUUACGAACAGUUGUAUUAAUUAAAAAUGAACGGUUAUCAUCAAUCUGUUAAAAAAUAAUAUUCAUAUCCAUCUAUUUUAAGUUAAUUUUGGAUAAUUUUAAUUUAUCGAAAAAAUAGCAUUCCUAUUCAACUAUUUUAAAUUAAUUUUGGAUAAUUUUUUAAAUCGGGAAUUGAAUUUAUUUAUAAAUUAAAAUUAAAAUUUUGAGUUUAAAUCGUGAAUUAAAUUUAAUUUUUGAUAUCAAAUUUGAACUAUACAUCUAUAAAUUCAAUUCUACAAACGGUUGUGAUUUGAAAUAAAUUAAAAUAAUUGUUACGUACAUUUGCACGUGCACUCAACUAGUAUAAAUAAAAUAUUAUAAUUAAUUUUUAUAAUUAGAUAUAAGAAAUAUAAAGUUAAAUAAUUUUUAUAAUUAGAUAUAAGUAAUAUAAAGUUAAAUACUAGCGUAUCCUUCUAAAAUUUAAAAGUAACUUAAUAUAUUCCUCCAAUAUUUAAGUCAACUUAUAUAUUUUUUUGUAACUUUUUAAUACCUUACCAAAAAAAAACCCUUCUAAAUAAAGUUUUAUCAAUUUUUUUUAACUUUUUAGCUUCCAAUCUGACCGAGCAAAAAAAAUAAUUCCAAUGAGAUCAUCUCACGCCAAAUUACAUCUCUCUUUUCUAUGGGAUUCCAAAUUCUUCUACAAUAAGAAGAGAAUUUUUCUAAAAAUUUAACUUUUUUGCUAUUAGAAAUGUUGUGUUAUAUAUUAAAUGUUAAGAAAAGUGUGUUAUAUAUCAAAUGUUUUUUUUUUUUUUUUUUUGGAGAGAAUGGUAGUAUGCUACCCAUACUACAAGAAAGUUUAGAUUUAGUUGCAUUUAUAAAUAUUGCUAGAUGAGUAAGAAAUAAAACUAAAUCUUUUAGCAAUACUUAAAUUUUACUGUUGCCUAUGCCCAUAUUGUAGAAUCUUUUAGCUACAUACGAAGAGAGUGUUGCUAAUGCUGAGAAAUUAGCAACAAUUAACAAAUAUUGCUACAUGAAAAAAUUUAGGGUUAAUUAUGCUAAUGGUCCCUAACCUUUACACUAUUUUUUAAUUUGGUUCCCAACUUUUUUUUUUUUUUUUGCAAUCAAGUCCCUAAUAUUUUGAUUUCAUUUCAAUUAAGUCACAGCCGUUAGAUAACUGUUUAAAAUUGACGAAAAAUCUAACGUCAGCACCACGUCAGUGCCACGGAGGUGCCAUGUCAGCGCCACGGUGGCGCCAUGUCAGCGAAUUGCAAAAAAAAAAAAAGGUUGGGGACCACAUUGAAAAACGGAGCAAAGGUUAAGGACCAAAUGGUGUAAUUAACCCAUUAAAGUUAUAAAUUCAAAAAAAAAUUUAAUUUAAUAUUUAAAUUUUAAAUUUAAAUUUUGAUUUUGGAUUCAAAUUUAAAUUGGAAUUCAAAUUCCGAUUUUGUAUUUAAUUUUAAAUUCAAAUUCACAUUUGGAAUUCUAAAUUCUUAUUUAAUUUCAAACUUCGAUUUGAAAUUUCAAAUUCAAAAUGUGAAUUUGAAUUCGAAGUUUAAAUUCAAAUUUAGAAUUAAAAUUAAAUCUUAAAUUCAAAUUUAAAUUUCUUCAAAUUUAAAAUUUAAAAUCAAAAUUUUGAAUAUGAUUUUAAAUUUAAAUUCCUAUUAUAAAUUUAAAUUUCGGUUUCAAAACUUUUAUUUUAAAUGUAAAUUGAGAUAUCAAAAUCAAAAUCAAAAUUUUAAGUUUGAAUUCAAAAUUUAGAUUCAAUUAAAAAUUUAAAUUUAAAAUUUGAAUUUCAAUUCAAAAUUUUAAUUAGACUUUAAAUUCAAAUUCAAAAUUCUAAUUUCUCGUUAGUUUAAAAUUUUAAUUUUAAUAUUAUUUUUAAAUUUAAAUUUAAAUUUUUGAAUAUUUAUUUUUAGGGACUAAAAUGACAAAAGUGCAAAGUUUAGGGACCUAAAUUGAAAUGCAAAAGGUUGCCAAAUAGAUACUGACCUGGCAAUUCCGUUAAUUUUAACCUUUUUUUUAACGGUUGGGACGUAAUUGUAAUAAAAUCAAGAGGUUAGGGACUCAAUUGCAUAGAAAAAAGGUCGGAGACUCAAGUGAGAAUUUGUGCGAAGGUUGGGGACUACCAGUGUAAUUAACCCAAAAAUUUAAAAGGGCAUUUACUAAAAGGCGGUAUAUAUUGGUUAAGUAAUUCUUGUAUUAAUUUAGCUAAUAUUUUCUAAAAGGUAGUGUAUAUUAACAAAUGUUGUUGGUCCGAGAGAGGGACCUUAACUCCCUCUGUCUCUCUCUCUCUCUCUCUGUGCGAACCAGAGAGAGGGAGGAGCAGGCACCCUCCUCCUAAGGCCCCUCUCUCUCCUUUUUUUCAUCCUUUUUUGAAUCCGCUGGUCCAAUUUAUAGUGAUUUUAGAAUCUCUUCGUUUUGAAAAUUAAUUCAAAAAAUUGUUGAAAACAAGGGAACAAUAUAGUUUUGUUUCCUUUCCUUUUUGAUGGUUAGUCAUUAAAGAAAAGUAUUAAUCACUCCAAUUUAUUUUAUUUUCUUUUUUCUAUAUUCUCAAUUUGAAUUUUUAAAUUUUUUAUCCGUAAACUGAUCAAUAUGCCCUUAUUCUUUUUUUCUCUUUCCUUUUCUCUUCCGUUCCGGUUUGUCUUCGUCCUCGUUUUUUUCAUCUUUUUCUUCUUCUCUUGUUUUUCUCCCUUCUCCUUCUCCUCCACCGCCCUCACAUUGACGCCGCACUCUCUUUUUUUUUCUUUUUUCUUUUUGCUUAUUUGUUUUUCUCCUUCCAUGCUAGUUGAUCUCCCUCGUCGUUUCUUCCUCUCCUUCUCCUCCCCCCCCUUCUACCAUCCUUACAUCGACACCACGCUUCGCUCUCUUACCUGUUCCACACCUCUGUCUACACCAGCUUGAAUAUGGUAUAAAUCACGGAGGCACAUGGCCGUAGAUGGCAACGGCGACAAGAAUACCGAUGGAUUAAGGAUGACGAGAGAGCGCAUCUAACGAGGGCGGUGGCUGCGGCGAAGGGCGAGGGAGGGGGCACGAUAGCAAAAAAAAGUUGUAGAUGAUGAAAGAAAAAAAAAGAAUAGAAAAAGAAUAAAAAGAAAAGAGUAAAGAAAAUUAUCUUUUUUCUUGAGAAGAUCAUUAUGUCUCAUCACUGCUACAAGAAAGACUAAUAAAUAGAGAAGAAAGAAAACAAAGAUAAAGUUGCACUGUUUGAUAAGCAAGUUGCACUUUUUAAGACGAAAAUUAUAUUCUUUGAGAUAAAAAUUGCACUUUUUGAAACGAAAAUUAUAUUGUUUGGACGAAAGUUGCACUCUUGAGCGAAAGUUGCGCUCUUGAGCGAAAAUUGCACUCUUUAAGUAAAAGUUAUACUAUUUGAAAAAAAGAUUGCACUUUUUGAGUGAAAGUUGCACUAUUUAAAACAAAAGUUACAUUCUUUGAGAGAAAGUUAGUAUUUUUUUCUCAAACAAUGCAACUUUCGCUUAAUGAGUACCACUUUUGCUUAAAGAGUACCACUUUCACUCAAAAAGUAUUACUUUCACCCAAACAGUGCAACUUUAGUUCAAAAAAUAUAAUUUUCAUUUCAAACAGUACAAUUUUUGCCUAAAAGACUACAAUUUAAGUCUUAAACAGUGUAACUUUCACUUAAAAAUUGUAAUUUUCUUCGCAAAUAGUUUAAUUUUCGCUUAAAAUGUGCAACUUUCGCUCAAAAAAUAUAAUUUUCAACCAAACAUUGCAACUUUCACUCAAAAAGUGUAAUUUUUAUCUCAAACAGUAUAAUUUUUGCCUCAAAGAGUCCAACUUUUAUCUCAAACUGCGCAACUUCAUCUUCAUCUUCUUUCUUCUCUAGUUCUUGGUCUUUCUUAUAGUAGCGACAACGUAUGAAAAAUAACCAUUAUUUAUUAUUAUUAUUAUUACUCUUUCUUCUUCUUUUUUUCUUUCUACCAUUUAUAUUUUUUUUUUGCUAUCACGCCCUCUCCCUCGCCUUUAGCCGCAGCUAUGCCCCCGCCCGAUGCACUCUCUCGUCGUCCUUAAAGAGUACAACUUUCACUUAAAGAGCACAACUUUCACUCGAUAAGUACAAAUUUCACUAAAAAAGUACAAAUUUUACCCAAACAGUAUUGCAACUUUAGCUCAAAUAUAUAAUUUUCAUCUCAAAAAAUAUAAUUUUUGCUUAAAAGACUGCAAUUUUAGUCUUAAACAGUACAAUUUUCACUCAAAAAUUAUAAUUUUCUUCUCAAACAAUUUAAUCUUCGCUUAAAAAGUGCAACUUUCACUCAAAGAAUGCAAUUCUCGGCCAAACAUUGCAACUUUCACUCAAAAAGUGUAAUUUUUAUCUCAAACAGUAUAAUUUUUGUCUAGUGCAACUUGUAUAUCACACACUGUGCAAUUUCAUCAUUUUCUUCUUUCUUCUCUGCUUCUUGGCCUUUCUUGUAGUAGCGACGACACAUGAAAAAUAAAUUUUUUUUAUUUUUUUCUUUUUACUCAUCUUCUUUUGUUUCUUUUACCCUCAGCAUUUAUUUUGCUAUCGUGCCCUCUCCCUCGCUUUCUGCCACAGCCACGCCCCCCCGCUCGAUGCGCUCUCCUAUCGUCCUUAAAGAGUACAACUUUUUCUUAAAGAGCACAACUUUCGCUCAAAAAGCGCAACUUUCACCCAAACAGUGCAACUUUAACUCAAAUAAUAUAAUUUUCAUCUCAAACAGUGCAAUUUUUACCUAAAAGACUGCAAUUUUAGUCUUAAAAAAUGCAACUUUCACUCAAAAAUUAUAAUUUUCUUCUCAAACAGUUCAAUUUUCGCUAAAAAAGUGCAACUCUCGCUCAAAGAAUACAACUUUCGGCCAAACAUUGUAACUUUCGCUCAAAGAGUGUAAUUUUUAUCUCAAACAGUAUAAUUUUUUUCUCAAACAGUGCAACUUUAAUCUCAAACUGUGCAACUUCAUCAUCUUCUUCUUUCUUCUCUGAUUCUUGGCCUCUCUUGUCUUUCUUGUAGUAGCGACAACACAUGAAAAAUAACUAUUUUUUAUUUUUUAUUUUUGCUCUUUCUUCUUUUGUUUCUUCUACUUUCUACAUUUUUUUUCAGUAUCGUGCCUUCUUCCUCGCUCUCUGCCGCAGCCAUGCCCCAGCCCGAUGCGCUCACCCGUCGUCCUUAAAGAGUACAACUUUCGUUUAAAGAGUAUAGCUUUCGUUCAAAAAGUGCAACUUUCAACCACACAGUGCAACUUUCGCUCAAAAAGUAUAAUUUUUGACCAAACAUUGCAACUUUUACUCAAAGAGUGUAAUUUUUAUCUCAAAUAGUAUAAUGUUUGCCUCAAAGAGUGCAACUGUUAUCUCAAACUGUGUAACUUCAUCACUUUCUUCUUUCUUCUCUGGUUUUUGGCCUUUCUUGUAGUAGCGACGACACAUGAAAAGCAAAUAUUUUUUAUUAUUUUUUCAUUUUACUCUUUCUUCUUUUUCUUCUUCGACCCUCUACAUCUUUUUUCGCUAUCACGUCCUCUUCCUCGCCAUCUGCCACAACCACCGCCUCUGCUCGAUGCGCUCUCCCUUCAUUCUUAAAUCCUUUGGUAUCCUUGUCGCCGUUGCCAUCCGCAGCCAUGCGCUCUACCGCAAGCUCACCUCCACGAUCUAUACCAUAUCCGAGCGAGCAUCGACAGAGGUAAGAGUGAGGUAAGAGAGCAGAGUAUGGCGUUGAUGUAGGAGUGGAGGAGGAGGAGAAAGAAGAUGCAGAAGGAAAAGAGAGAGAUAGAAAUAGCGUUGAGGGAGAUGAAUCGGAGCAGAAGGAAAAAAAAAAAAAAAAAAAAAAAAAAAAAAAAAAAAAAAAAAAAAAAAAAAAAAAAAAAAGGAGAGAGGGCGGCGUCGAUGUGGGGCAGUCGAGGAGGAAGAAAAGGGAGAGGAAACAAAGGGAGAAGGAGAGGAAGAAACAACGAGAACAAAGUUGAACCAGAACGGAAGAAAAAAAAUAAACUAGCGAAAAGAAAAUGAGAGAGAAAAAAGAAAUAACGAAUAUUUUAAUUUGUUUACUAAAAUUUCGCACUAAAUUUGUAAAAUUCAAAGAGUGGCCUAUUUUUAUAAAAUCUCAAAAUUGGUAGAUGUUUUGUGCAAGUCGGCCGGCCAUUAUUUUUAAACUUUAGAAGGGACUUUUUUCGAAAAUAACCCUGUGAAAUUUCAUAUUUGCCAAACUAACCCUGUGAAAAUUUUAUUUGUGAAACUAACCCUCCUCUCGCCACCUCAGCCGCCAGGUCAGCAUUUCUCAUAAAGACGGUGACUCGUUCACCGUCUUUAAGGAGGACUCUUGAAGGCGGUAAAUGGUUCACCGUCUUCUCAAGGCCUACCAUACCGCCUUUUCAGUAAUUCCCCGCGCACCCUACCGCCUUCUCAGCAAUUCCCCGCGUGGCGCAAGGUGGCUAGAGAAGACGGUCACUCGUUUACCGUCUUCACAAAGACGGUAAAUAGUUUACCGUCUUAUCUUGUCAUAAGCCAUUCUAGCCAGCCUAAUUUCGCCAAGUCCUCGAAAGGGGGCCUAAAACACAGAUAAGCCAUUCUAGCCAGCCUAAUUUCGCCAAGUCCUCGAGAAGGGGCCUAAAACACAGAUAAGACGGUGAGUGGUUCACCGUCUUAAUUAGGCGGUGAACUAUUCGCCGUCUUUAGAGUAAAUUGCCACCUGCCCUAAUUUGGCCAAGUCGUGGUGGGGCUAAAACACAGAUAAGACGGUGAGUGGUUCACCGUCUUAAUUAGGCGGUGAACUAUUCGCCGUCUUUAGAGUAAGGUGGGGCUACAGAUAAGACGGUGAAUGGUUUACCGUCUUAUCUGUACUGCCAUAAAGACGGUGAAUGGUUCACCAUCUUAUCUGUGUAAAAGAACCCAAUCCAGGACUUAGCCAUUUUCUUCGGGUUUCUGGAGUUUGCACUAAAGGCGGUGAACCAUUCACCGCCUUUAGUGUAACCAGUACCAGGUUGAGCUCAAUUCUAGCGCCUAUUUCAACAAGUUUGAGGCAAGUUUUUUCACGAUAAGAAAUAUUCAAACGAGAAACACAACAUCACGAGUGGAAUAACAAAAUACAAUCAACUGGAUAAAAAUAUCAAACAAAAUACUUACAAAUAUACAAAUAUGAAGCAAACAGAACCAGGUUGAGGCAAACUCAAUUUUGCUGCCAAUUUCAACAAGUUCGAGGCAAGUUUUUUCACGAUAAGAAAUAUUCAAACGAGAAACACAACAUCACGAGUGGAAUAACAAAAUACAAUCAACUGGAUAAAAAUAUCAAACAAAACACUUAGAAAUAUACAAAUAUGAACUAAAUCAUGUAUUAUAUAAUAUUAUACAAAGUAUAUUCUCAAAAUAAAAAAAAUACAAUCAGUCUCUCGAUCUUCCUCUCCCUCGACGUCCUCGGCCACAUCCUCGGCCACGGCCACGGCCACGUCCACGUCCACGUCUACGGCCACCCUAUACAUCGAGCUCAGCAAUAGGUACAUCAUCAAGAGCCUCGAUACCGGCCAUCUCAUCGAGAUCCGCAAUGAUAAUGCCCUCGAUAUGCUCCGGAAUCGCCUGAGUAUCCUCUGGCUCAGGUCGAUCACCCUCGAUAAUGGCCGGUGUAGAUGCUAGGCGGGCCUGUGAUGAUGACGCGACAUGACGUCGAGAGUAGACUGAUCUAAAGUGCUCUCGAGAGACUGGCGGCGGAAGUGAGUCCAAGUCCAGCGGCAAUAAAGUAAAUCUAGGGGCGGCGGGCAAAUCUGCAACAUCACUAGGAGAUGGAGAUGGUGAUACUCGUAGGCUCGAUCUCGAGUAUGAUCCAGUCGAUGUCGGUGAGUGUCUCCUGUGAUGACCCGAUGUCGAGGGUUGACCAAAAUCUCGACCUCCAACAUCAGCGGCGACAGGUAUGGAAGGAAUGUACUCCAGUACUGACUCAAUCUGGACAUCCAUGCUCGUUAAUGUCUCUAUCAUCGCAUCGUAAGAAGGUCGAUCAUGAACUAGCCCGCUGAUGCCCAUUUGAGCUUGUUGUAAUGCGUCCACCUGCAUUAUAGAAAAAAAACUCAUUAGAUGCAUUAUAUAUUAACUAUAAGAUAAUGUAUAUAAAAAAUUAACAUAUGAGUCAUCAUACCAGUGCUCUCUCGGUCUGGCCGCGAGGGUGUAUGUCAAUGGUAGACGCUGUACUGGACGAGAAAUCCAUCUUCUCGUAAUCUGCCAAUACCACUCCAUAUAUAUAGAGGUCGCCUGUACCGGGUCAUCACUGACAAUCGGAUCCUGGUCAAUAAUAGCCUGUAAUCGCUGUUCCCAUCUCUCGAUGUGUGCAGCAUGAAAGUGGCCCCAAUGCUCAUCUGGCCGCCCCUGAGAUGUGAAGCGACGGAUGGUCUCCACAUGAAUAGGUAUAUGCUGCAGGAGACCAAACUGCCGAAGGACUCGAUCGGGCACGUGAAGCUCGACGAUAUGAAAACAAAUCAGCGUGGUCCGCGAUCGCCAUACCUCACUGCCCUGUACACAGAAUGCUGGUAGCACCUCUAAUACAGCAUCUGUGUACGGCCGCCAUGUAAUCUGUGAAAAAGCCAAUAAUAGUCAGCAGAAUGCAUUAAUACGGUUGAAUAUUGAAAUAAUGGUUGCAUUAAUACGUACCUGUGUCUCUCGCUGCUGAUCUAGCUCAUCUCUAUAGAACUCUAUAUCGGUCGUCCUAACGUUGGCCCCAAAACGUAAACCGCCGGCAUUCGUCCAACUGAUAUUUGAAAAGUAUGUUAGUUGCAAAAUUUAUAGAAAUGUAAUAUGUAUCAAUUUAAUUGUUAUACCGCAACCUAAAGGGCAAUCAGCCAGUCGGCAAUAGCUCCAACGCCAGUAGGUCGGCCGACAUGAAUGGUCCCAUGCCCAAAUCUAUAAUAAAUUACAAUAAAUUAGACAUGUAAACUUAAAUAGGAGAAUUUUUAUAUAACAAUUAUUAUAUAUUACCUGUACUAAUGUCGCGAAAACAACAGCAUCGAACCUUGUCCUUUAAUGACGCCGUCCCAAUGCGCGAUAAAGAUAGGCCAAGCUGCGACGCCCCAGGCUAAACCACCACAUGCGUCAAAAUCCGCCAAAAGUGGUAGCCCCACUUAAGAUGAAUCUCUAUAUACCGGUGGGUUUGGAAACAGACUACAGCCAAUCUGAUAUAACGAUAUAUGCACGGGCUGUGGUUGCAAACUAAUCCCAGCCGGAGCAUCCAAUGUAUAUAUAUGCUGUAGAUCCAAGCUAAUCGAUCCUGACAGCAGGCUCGGAUGCCAUCCGACAGACCUCAACAGCUCCUGACAAAUCUCUAUCCGCGGAUGCUGUGUAGCGCCCGUGCAGGCGCUCCAUCGACACGAAGACCUGAAAUUAACCCGGCCACAGUCCUGAAGUGUAAUCGGCAUACUCUCCGUGCAAGAAGUGGGAAAGGUCUGUGGUCUCUCCCGUCGCACAUCUCUCGACCAGAGUCCCAGAUAGAGAGAUCGAGCUGGGCAGACGUUCAGAGAUAAGUCGAGAAAUGCCGUAGAAUCCUGACUGUGAAGCAAAUCUAAGCACCGCUGGAUGAAUCCAUAUUCCACAACUGGUUCAAUUUGCGCCAUGCUCUAUCGAACUCGAAGCGGUCAUCGCGUCGAUAUUCCCUACAGUUGACAAAAAAUAGUUAGCACAACAUUUAAUAUUCAUUAAUACUAAACAAAUUUAUAGAGAAAUAAAUUCUUACUUCACCAUCAGUCGGAUAAUAUAUGAAAGACCUAUGUAGAUGCUGGCUGCGUCAGGACGGACUGCAUCAAACUCGGUCUCCGCCUCCUCUAGAUCUGCCAUCUGGAAUUUUAAAGAAUUUGUAAUAGUAACUAUUAGGCAAAUAGCGUAUUGAAUAUUGGAAUAAUUGAAAGUUAUAAAUACUACCAGUAAGGUUAGUAACAAAUCCUACAUCGACGUCCUAUUGGUCUCAUCCUGUAUUCUGUGGACCAGGUAAUUUGUCUAUAAAUGACCGGCUGCGUUACAGAAUGCUGCAUUUUUGUUCGUCGACCACAUGGUUGGUGCGUCCACUUAUAUUACGAAUAGUGAUUGAUCGUGGUCGACCUUUCUUUCUUCUAAUUGGAGGCGGUACAAUGGUCGGGCCCAGGGUCGUUGGCGCAGUAGCGGCCGUCUGGAAACUGAUGGAAAGCGGUGCGUAUGUCUGGCGAUACCAAAAGCACAUCUACCAGUAACCAAUGGAACAAAGACUAGUGAUAAUCUUAAAUCUAAGUUGUGAAUAUCACUCGGCAACUACUCCCCCCCAAAAUAUCGCGAGCAAGGUAUGCCCGUUGAGCUUAUUCUCCCGAAUACAAUCCGCUGUCUGUUCCAUAUAUGGUAACAUUGAAUACGAUGUGUCCUUGUUGACUUCACAACUCACAUAGUCGCCAAAUCGAAUGACAUGUUCCCGCGCCGUCACAUAUUCAUCGUAAUCCAACUUUGUAUUUUUGUGCUAUACGUGUCGUAAGACUUUCACCAUUUUAUCGACGCUUUACAAAAUAACUAUUCAGUUGUGUAAAAAGUUUCCGGCGACAAAUGCGUUUUACUGGGAAGAGCAACGGAUACCCUUAAGACCCCCCAUUAAACUCUCGGAACAUAUUUGAGUCAUUCGAACCGCCGAAGCGUCGACCUCUAUCAAAUGCCGCCACCCCAAUAUCUUUGUAUACUUCGGCCUCAACUACUUCCACCAUCCCUCAUCUAGCGCGCAGUAACUCAUCUUUCAGUUUAUAAUAUUCUAAGCCGACGUGGAAGCACUGUACUGAUACUAUAAGAAAAUUUGUCUAAUAAUGAUUCAUUUUUAAACCGGGGCUUACCAAUUGCUUCAUGUGUGAAGACACCGGAGCGACGGGAGUGCAUGCCCUGUUGAGAGGAUGGAUAACUCAGCCACUAUUUCCUUUAAGCUUACUAAAAGUCUAAUCCGGAUAUAAACAAACGGCGACGCGAGUGCGCUAUAACAUAAUGGCCCAAUUAUGUNNNNNNNNNNNNNNNNNNNNNNNNNNNNNNNNNNNNNNNNNNNNNNNNNNNNNNNNNNNNNNNNNNNNNNNNNNNNNNNNNNNNNNNNNNNNNNNNNNNNNNNNNNNNNNNNNNNNNNNNNNNNNNNNNNNNNNNNNNNNNNNNNNNNNNNNNNNNNNNNNNNNNNNNNNNNNNNNNNNNNNNNNNNNNNNNNNNNNNNNNNNNNNNNNNNNNNNNNNNNNNNNNNNNNNNNNNNNNNNNNNNNNNNNNNNNNNNNNNNNNNNNNNNNNNNNNNNNNNNNNNNNNNNNNNNNNNNNNNNNNNNNNNNNNNNNNNNNNNNNNNNNNNNNNNNNNNNNNNNNNNNNNNNNNNNNNNNNNNNNNNNNNNNNNNNNNNNNNNNNNNNNNNNNNNNNNNNNNNNNNNNNNNNNNNNNNNNNNNNNNNNNNNNNNNNNNNNNNNNNNNNNNNNNNNNNNNNNNNNNNNNNNNNNNNNNNNNNNNNNNNNNNNNNNNNNNNNNNNNNNNNNNNNNNNNNNNNNNNNNNNNNNNNNNNNNNNNNNNNNNNNNNNNNNNNNNNNNNNNNNNNNNNNNNNNNNNNNNNNNNNNNNNNNNNNNNNNNNNNNNNNNNNNNNNNNNNNNNNNNNNNNNNNNNNNNNNNNNNNNNNNNNNNNNNNNNNNNNNNNNNNNNNNNNNNNNNNNNNNNNNNNNNNNNNNNNNNNNNNNNNNNNNNNNNNNNNNNNNNNNNNNNNNNNNNNNNNNNNNNNNNNNNNNNNNNNNNNNNNNNNNNNNNNNNNNNNNNNNNNNNNNNNNNNNNNNNNNNNNNNNNNNNNNNNNNNNNNNNNNNNNNNNNNNNNNNNNNNNNNNNNNNNNNNNNNNNNNNNNNNNNNNNNNNNNNNNNNNNNNNNNNNNNNNNNNNNNNNNNNNNNNNNNNNNNNNNNNNNNNNNNNNNNNNNNNNNNNNNNNNNNNNNNNNNNNNNNNNNNNNNNNNNNNNNNNNNNNNNNNNNNNNNNNNNNNNNNNNNNNNNNNNNNNNNNNNNNNNNNNNNNNNNNNNNNNNNNNNNNNNNNNNNNNNNNNNNNNNNNNNNNNNNNNNNNNNNNNNNNNNNNNNNNNNNNNNNNNNNNNNNNNNNNNNNNNNNNNNNNNNNNNNNNNNNNNNNNNNNNNNNNNNNNNNNNNNNNNNNNNNNNNNNNNNNNNNNNNNNNNNNNNNNNNNNNNNNNNNNNNNNNNNNNNNNNNNNNNNNNNNNNNNNNNNNNNNNNNNNNNNNNNNNNNNNNNNNNNNNNNNNNNNNNNNNNNNNNNNNNNNNNNNNNNNNNNNNNNNNNNNNNNNNNNNNNNNNNNNNNNNNNNNNNNNNNNNNNNNNNNNNNNNNNNNNNNNNNNNNNNNNNNNNNNNNNNNNNNNNNNNNNNNNNNNNNNNNNNNNNNNNNNNNNNNNNNNNNNNNNNNNNNNNNNNNNNNNNNNNNNNNNNNNNNNNNNNNNNNNNNNNNNNNNNNNNNNNNNNNNNNNNNNNNNNNNNNNNNNNNNNNNNNNNNNNNNNNNNNNNNNNNNNNNNNNNNNNNNNNNNNNNNNNNNNNNNNNNNNNNNNNNNNNNNNNNNNNNNNNNNNNNNNNNNNNNNNNNNNNNNNNNNNNNNNNNNNNNNNNNNNNNNNNNNNNNNNNNNNNNNNNNNNNNNNNNNNNNNNNNNNNNNNNNNNNNNNNNNNNNNNNNNNNNNNNNNNNNNNNNNNNNNNNNNNNNNNNNNNNNNNNNNNNNNNNNNNNNNNNNNNNNNNNNNNNNNNNNNNNNNNNNNNNNNNNNNNNNNNNNNNNNNNNNNNNNNNNNNNNNNNNNNNNNNNNNNNNNNNNNNNNNNNNNNNNNNNNNNNNNNNNNNNNNNNNNNNNNNNNNNNNNNNNNNNNNNNNNNNNNNNNNNNNNNNNNNNNNNNNNNNNNNNNNNNNNNNNNNNNNNNNNNNNNNNNNNNNNNNNNNNNNNNNNNNNNNNNNNNNNNNNNNNNNNNNNNNNNNNNNNNNNNNNNNNNNNNNNNNNNNNNNNNNNNNNNNNNNNNNNNNNNNNNNNNNNNNNNNNNNNNNNNNNNNNNNNNNNNNNNNNNNNNNNNNNNNNNNNNNNNNNNNNNNNNNNNNNNNNNNNNNNNNNNNNNNNNNNNNNNNNNNNNNNNNNNNNNNNNNNNNNNNNNNNNNNNNNNNNNNNNNNNNNNNNNNNNNNNNNNNNNNNNNNNNNNNNNNNNNNNNNNNNNNNNNNNNNNNNNNNNNNNNNNNNNNNNNNNNNNNNNNNNNNNNNNNNNNNNNNNNNNNNNNNNNNNNNNNNNNNNNNNNNNNNNNNNNNNNNNNNNNNNNNNNNNNNNNNNNNNNNNNNNNNNNNNNNNNNNNNNNNNNNNNNNNNNNNNNNNNNNNNNNNNNNNNNNNNNNNNNNNNNNNNNNNNNNNNNNNNNNNNNNNNNNNNNNNNNNNNNNNNNNNNNNNNNNNNNNNNNNNNNNNNNNNNNNNNNNNNNNNNNNNNNNNNNNNNNNNNNNNNNNNNNNNNNNNNNNNNNNNNNNNNNNNNNNNNNNNNNNNNNNNNNNNNNNNNNNNNNNNNNNNNNNNNNNNNNNNNNNNNNNNNNNNNNNNNNNNNNNNNNNNNNNNNNNNNNNNNNNNNNNNNNNNNNNNNNNNNNNNNNNNNNNNNNNNNNNNNNNNNNNNNNNNNNNNNNNNNNNNNNNNNNNNNNNNNNNNNNNNNNNNNNNNNNNNNNNNNNNNNNNNNNNNNNNNNNNNNNNNNNNNNNNNNNNNNNNNNNNNNNNNNNNNNNNNNNNNNNNNNNNNNNNNNNNNNNNNNNNNNNNNNNNNNNNNNNNNNNNNNNNNNNNNNNNNNNNNNNNNNNNNNNNNNNNNNNNNNNNNNNNNNNNNNNNNNNNNNNNNNNNNNNNNNNNNNNNNNNNNNNNNNNNNNNNNNNNNNNNNNNNNNNNNNNNNNNNNNNNNNNNNNNNNNNNNNNNNNNNNNNNNNNNNNNNNNNNNNNNNNNNNNNNNNNNNNNNNNNNNNNNNNNNNNNNNNNNNNNNNNNNNNNNNNNNNNNNNNNNNNNNNNNNNNNNNNNNNNNNNNNNNNNNNNNNNNNNNNNNNNNNNNNNNNNNNNNNNNNNNNNNNNNNNNNNNNNNNNNNNNNNNNNNNNNNNNNNNNNNNNNNNNNNNNNNNNNNNNNNNNNNNNNNNNNNNNNNNNNNNNNNNNNNNNNNNNNNNNNNNNNNNNNNNNNNNNNNNNNNNNNNNNNNNNNNNNNNNNNNNNNNNNNNNNNNNNNNNNNNNNNNNNNNNNNNNNNNNNNNNNNNNNNNNNNNNNNNNNNNNNNNNNNNNNNNNNNNNNNNNNNNNNNNNNNNNNNNNNNNNNNNNNNNNNNNNNNNNNNNNNNNNNNNNNNNNNNNNNNNNNNNNNNNNNNNNNNNNNNNNNNNNNNNNNNNNNNNNNNNNNNNNNNNNNNNNNNNNNNNNNNNNNNNNNNNNNNNNNNNNNNNNNNNNNNNNNNNNNNNNNNNNNNNNNNNNNNNNNNNNNNNNNNNNNNNNNNNNNNNNNNNNNNNNNNNNNNNNNNNNNNNNNNNNNNNNNNNNNNNNNNNNNNNNNNNNNNNNNNNNNNNNNNNNNNNNNNNNNNNNNNNNNNNNNNNNNNNNNNNNNNNNNNNNNNNNNNNNNNNNNNNNNNNNNNNNNNNNNNNNNNNNNNNNNNNNNNNNNNNNNNNNNNNNNNNNNNNNNNNNNNNNNNNNNNNNNNNNNNNNNNNNNNNNNNNNNNNNNNNNNNNNNNNNNNNNNNNNNNNNNNNNNNNNNNNNNNNNNNNNNNNNNNNNNNNNNNNNNNNNNNNNNNNNNNNNNNNNNNNNNNNNNNNNNNNNNNNNNNNNNNNNNNNNNNNNNNNNNNNNNNNNNNNNNNNNNNNNNNNNNNNNNNNNNNNNNNNNNNNNNNNNNNNNNNNNNNNNNNNNNNNNNNNNNNNNNNNNNNNNNNNNNNNNNNNNNNGGAUUUGAUCAAAUUAAUCAUAUUUGGGAUUUGGGAUUUGAGGGAUUUGAUCAAAUUGAUCAUAUUUGGGAUUUGGGAUUUGGAUCAAAUUUGAUCAAAUUUGAUUUGGGAUUUGGAUCAAAUUUGAUCACAUUUGAUUUGGGAUUUGGAAUUUGGGAUUUGGAUCAAAUUUCAUUGGGGUUUGGAUCAAAUUUGAUCAAAUUUGUUCAAAUUUGAUUUGGGAUUUGGGAAUUUGGAUCAAAUAUGAUCAAAUUUGAUUUGGGAUUUGGGAAUUUGGAUCAAAUUUGAUCCAAAUCACAAAUCCCAAAUCUGGAUCAAUUUCCAUAUGGGUAUAACAUAUACCUUAAACACCAAAGGUAACCACGUUUAGUUUAGUAGAUCUAAACAUUAUUCUUCGUUAAGGGGUAACCAUCGUUCACCAAUAAGUAAUUCGCCUCCUUUACCAUAGUAUUCUUCGUUUUUCCAAUACGAGGCGAAGAACUUUCUUGCCUGAAUGUCCCAGUCGAUGGAUCGGUUGAAAGUAUUAAUUUACGGCAGUGACAUACCUAUUGAGAAAAACACUUUUCUCGAUAAUGACAUCUAUCCAUCUGUUUAGGGUUUAUACUAGCUAAACUAGUUUAGGGAUUUUAGGGUUUAGGGUUUAUACUAAUUAAACUAGUUUAAACUAGGUUUAAACUUAGAAACUUGCUAAGAUAGAAUAUUACUUGUAAUGUGGGUUGCUGUGGCACGGGGGAAGGCUCGGUGGGUCAACAGCGACCGGCGGCGGCGACGUCGGCUGGGGCGGCGGCGACUGGCGGCGGCGAUGAUGGGGUGCGGCUCUUGGUUGGAGAGGGAUGGGCAGCAAGGGAGAGAGAGACAGAGAGAUAAGAGAGAAAGAGAGCGAAGAGUGAGGAAGAGGUGUCGGGGCUUCGGGUAUACCUAGGUAAGACGGUGAAUUGUUCACCGUCUUCAUAAAUAAAAGUGGAGACGGUGAACGAUUCACCGUCUUACCUUGGCCCACCUCCUGGGGGGUUACCAGUAAAGACGGUGAAUAGUUCACCGUCUUUACUGCAGCACAAAUAAGACGGUGAACUAUUCACCGUCUUAUCUGUGUUUUAUGUCUCCAGGACUUGGCCAAAGUUGGGGGCCAAAGUUGGGGGGUGUGGGGGGAUAAUGUACCGUCUUAGGUAAGACGGUGAACUGUUUACCGUCUUAUCGAGGGCACAGCAGCUCCAAAGGGGGUCUCGCUCUAAAGAUGGUGAAUAGUUCACCGUCUCAUGAAGGCGGUGAACUAUCCACCGUCUUCAUGAGAAAUACGCAUAGACGGUGAACGAUUCACCGUCUUUACGAAAAAAAUCCGACCUGGCGCCGACGUGGCGAAAGAAGGGUUAGUUUUACAAAUAAAAUUUUCAAAGGGUUAGUUGGCCAAAUAUAAAAUUCUAUAGGGUCAGUUUCAAAAAAAGUCCCUUUAGAAGGGUAAUCUGUUCUACUACUGUAUGGAAUGUAUAACUAACUCGGUAUCCUAAUCGUGUGGGUCGAAAGUAAGCCAAGCAAUCCCUUACAUUUAUUUAUGUCCCAACCCAAUUAAGCAGCCUAUCUACCUCUCUCUCUCUGUCCCCCUCGUUCUUCUUCGUUGAAACGAACAGCCAUGGCUGCUGCAGCUGCUGCUACACCACCGCUCCCACCGCCAUCAUCAUCAUCAUCAUCAUCAUCAUCAUCAUCAUUCCACAGCAGCAGCAGCAGCAGCAGCAGAAGCUGCAGCAUCGGUCCAAUCCCAGCACCCUUCUUCCCCUCCCAUCCCUCAUCAUUCUCGCUCACCCCCAGUAACCCGAGCAGGCAGCCGCCGAAUCCGAAGCCGAAGCCGAAGCCGAAGCCCUCCUCCUGGCCUUCCGCCCCGGCAGUCUCGGCGAAUGAGUCCAGGGAGCGGCGGGAGGAGGCGAACCGGCGGAUAGCGUCGCGGAAGGCCAUCUCCGUGGUGCUGCGGCGGGAGGCGACCAAGGCCGUCAUCGAGAAGAAGCGCGGCGCCACCAAUUCCCGGAAGCUCCUCCCCCGCACCGUCCUCGAGGCUCUCCACGACCGCGUCGCCGCCCUCCGAUGGGAAUCCGCUCUCCAGGUAUAUAGGUCCUCCUCAACCAACAAAUUCAAAUUCAAUUUCCCUUAUUAUUAUUAUUAUUAUUAUUAACAUCAUCAUCAUCAUCAUCAUCAUCAUCUUCUGGGAAGUUUCUUAGGCCCUUAAAUCAGAUAGACAGUCUCCCUUAUUUGUCGUUGAUUGCUUUGUUCAUUCUUGGAAUGCUUUGAUGAGCUUUUGGCUGAGGAUAGAAGAUGCAUAGAUAGAUAGAUUGUGUUUUCUAAACUUAAGGACUGUUCUGCAACACGUUAGUCGCACGCGGUCCUGAGUCUGCUGUGCUUCUCCCAGUGGAAGGCGAGAUAGCCAACAGUUGGCUUCUAACGCGACAGAGCAGUUUAACACUGAAAUUCCCUCCAAUGUAAUGAGAGUGUAAUGACAAAAACACACAUCUGAAUUCGGAUUGAGAUUGAGUUUGGUAUUGAGGGCCACUCAACAAUAUUGAGGGAACAAGGCUUAGGGAGGAAGCAAUGAUAGAUAUGUUUCUCCUUUCUCUACUCACACAGCAGAAAAAUAGGUGCGACCAAUCAUGCACUAUCAGCAAAAUGUGAGGUACGUUACAGAAACAAGCUCUCGUACAGCCCCAUGCACAAUCUGCCCACAAGAAGCACAAGCGAAAAAGCAACCUCGGAUGGGCUCUUAGUCUAAUCACAUCUACGAUCCUGGGUUUCGAUGUUCAUAACCAUUAGUUCCCCUCUGGAAUCUGCUAGAAACACACAAAUACGAGAGCAAAAAUAUGCAGCGGCAGUUAAUAUGAUGGAUGAUCAUGAAAAAAGGAGUUUGAGGAACAGAUGUAAACAAUGAAAACAAAGAGAUGGUGUAACGGUAAUUUGCUUGUAAGUCAGGUUUAAUGAGAGCAGAAACAUUAGGACCAUUGUUGGACCACGAUAGUACCGAGGAGAUCUGUCUCCUAGCUGUGGGCUAUAUUUUGAAUGUUUUAACGAGAGACAACUUUAGAUCAUUUUGAGAAAGAAAAUGUUCUCAAGGAAUUGAGCCAACAGGUAGGUGCCAGAUCUCCUCAACAUCAUUCUGCUUGAUGGCAGAGCUUAUGCUUUCGCUCUAUAAAACUUGAUUUAUGGCCAAAUUGUAACCCCACCAACCCAAAACACCCCUUUGUGUUAUCUAGUUCUCUCCUCUGUGGUUCAUGUGAAACCUUAGGCAUGACACCAAAUAGGGAUGGAAGGAUAAGUUCUUAAUUCAAGAAACUCUUGGAUUCAAAUCACUGUAUGAUCAAAGAGGUUGAUCAAAGAGGUUGUCAGGGCAAAGAGGUUGAUCAUUCUACUGUCAUGAUCGGCUCCUAAAGUCCAACCAAUCAACUGUCGCUGUUGUGCAAAAUCUAGCAUUCUAGUGAGCCACCAAAGGCUCUAUUGCUCCACCUUGUUGAAAGUUAAAUUUGACCAUGAAAAUGGUUUACCGAUAAUCCUCAAUUCACUGAUUGGUUUUACUGUUUUGACGACCAUUUACUAUAUUUUGACCAAGUAACUGUUACUGAUGGAUUUGACAGAUAUAACGUACUCUUUCUAAUUUUUAUGUUGACAAAUUUUAAAAGCCAUGGUAAAAUGAUUCUAGGCUGUAUAUACUUUUUCCCAUUCAUCACUGAUGCUCAUGUGAAUGUUUUUACUACAGUUUAUAACCUCUAUGGUGCAGGAGUUAUUGAACCUCAUAUAUUGAGCUGAAUACAUGCUUGUUCCUUGUUUGGUUAAAAAUUUGCCAAUGGUAUAAGUCAAAAUUCGAACAUAUCGAGAUGGGAGCAUAAUUUAAGAGCCACAUGCUUGAAGAGAUGAAGCAUUAUAAAUACUCUAUUAUGCAAUAUAAUGCAUUAUACAUAUAUAUAGUAAAAUAAAUACAUAUAGUCUACUGCAAAGUAGGGAAAAUACACCAUGUAAUGUUGUAGUUAUAUGUCGUAUGAUACACAAUUAUUUCCGUUGUAUUUAGUAAUGUUGCAGGAUUUAAAUGUAUGGUCAAUAUAUGGAAGUAUGGCCAUAUCCAACCAAACGGUUCCAAUUCAUCCACCAACAAAACUUGACAUCCAUCAACAACUAUAGUUGUCCUAUAAAUUCUUUGCUUGCUGUUCAAUACAAGCUUUAAAGUGUCAUGGCACGGGGGCGUGCCGCUGUCUGCCUGGCACGGUACGGCACCGGCACGCUUCCGUGCCGACACAUGGUACGCUUGCGUGCCGAUGGAUACGCAUGACAUUCUACUGGCACGCUUUGGCACGGACUAUUUCAGUUUUUUUUGUUUCAACAAACUCUUAUAAUAUUAUUUUGAAAGUUUUAAUCAAACAAUUAUGCAUAUUUGCUGUGUAUAGCUUAUAUACUCAUCAAUUAAUAUACCUGUAAACUUUUUUGCAUAUAAAUCACAACUAUAUCUGAUGCAGAAUAAAAAUUUUUACAAAUUAGAAUUUUUAAAAUGCAAAGGCAUCUUUUUUUUUUUCUUUUUUCUUUUGACCAUAUUACAAUCUUUCUUUUAUAAAAUACAAAAAAAUUAUUUUUAAAAUUAUUUUAAAAAUUAUUUGAAAAAAAUAUUUUUUGAUUAAUUUUUUUCCAAAAAUUAGUAGAUCUAUCAAAAAAAUUAAACGAUAAAUUAUAUGACAAAUAAAUUAAAUAAAUUUAAGUAUCAAUUAAUUUAAUUUAACUUUUAAUUUUAUCAGUAUUUUCAAUCUUUUAACGCAAAAAUAAAAUUUUAUAUUUGACGUGCCUUAAAAUUUGUUUAUUGAGUUCGAUUUUGUUUCCCUAAUUUGGCAAAAGUUUUGCGGUGCAAUAAAUUUUGAUAAAAUAAUUUGUGAAGAAAAAAUGGAUGUCUGUGGUGGAAGCGGAGGGAUUGGAUAUGUAAAUUAAAAAUUUGCCCUAUAUUGAUAAAUUAAAAAAAUUAAAUUAUAAUUUUUUUGACAUGCCUAAUAAAUAGAUCUUCGAUUUGCAAUAUUUUUUAGGCGUUGUAGGGUACCCAGAAUGCUUUGGGUACCCCAAAAAAAAAACCAAAAAGCAAAAAAAAAAAAAAAAAAUUGCAGUGCCGGCACGGCACAACCGGCACUGUGCCGCAGCACGCAUCGCCGUGCCGCUCUAUCUCAUGUGGCACGUCCCCUUGUGCCGCGGCACGAAGGGGGAGGUCCGAAACCCCCUUGUACAGUGCCCCUUUCUUGGUGGCACGGUACGUGCCGCAUAGUGCGGCACGGCCGGCACUUGAAUCCUUGGUUCAAUAUUAUAGCAUUAAACCAGCUCGUUGAUAAAAUCUUAAUCAAGUUUUUCUUUAUACCUGCUUUUUCUUGUUGAACUCCAUGUUCUUGUCAUUUGAGUCAGGUGUUUGAACUACUGCGGGAACAGCUCUGGUACAGACCCAAUGCUGGCAUAUACAUCAAACUCAUUGUUAUGCUAGGAAAAUGCAAGCAGCCAGAGAAAGCUCAUGAACUUUUCCAAGCAAUGGUUGAUGAAGGUUGUAUCAUAAACCAUGAAUCCUACACGGCCCUUGUUUCGGCCUACAGUCGGAGUGGCCUCUUUGACAAAGCAUUCUGUUUGCUUGACAAGAUGAAGAUCACUGAUGGCUGCGAACCUGAUGUCCAGACCUAUUCCAUUCUUAUAAAGUCAUGCUUGCAAGUCUUUGCAUUCGACAAAGUACACAUAUUGUUGGCUGAUAUGGAGAGUCGAGCUAUAAAGCCAAACACCAUCACAUACAAUACCCUGAUUGAUGCUUAUGGAAAAGCAGGCAGGUAAUAACUUAACUUUUUUUUUUUCUCUUUUUUAUGUUCUUGGGUUUCUUUAUCAUGCAUCAAAAGUUCUUUCAUUUUACCUGUCACUGAAAUUGCCUGUACUGACCACUAUUAACUCAUGCAUAAUUUGUAUGCAUAAAACUGGAGAUAUCAUAUUCUUUUCACUCUCUCCCCUAUAAAUCCACUUUGAUUUUUGGUAUCUUUGAAGUUGGUGGUGUAGUUGGUGAUCCAUUAUAUUCGACCCAAAACCAGCUUCCUUCACCAUUCUACAGAAUGUUACCCAAUAAUUUACGGAUCUACAAAAUGUUACCCAAUAAUUUACGGAUCACAGGUUGACCAUUUGGUGACGCAUUUCGCAAAUAAUCUUAAUACUCAGAUAACAUAUCUCAGGACUUGGCUUGUCCAUUGGAAAUUUCUGCUCCAGUUGUUUGUUCAAGUUGCACAAAUUGUAGAUACACUUAGGGCAUGUUUGUUUGGGUGGAAGUGGGGUGGAAGUGGAGAGGAGGGAAGUCGUUUUCGCCCUAAACGGUCACUUUCGUUGUUUGGUUCGCCGUAAAAAAGUUACGGUCGAAACUCGAGUUAACCUCAAACGGCGUAAUUGACUUCGCCCCAUCGUGGGGCGAAGUCAAUUACAGUGGAAAGAGGUGAAGAAAAAAUAAUAAAAUAAUAUAAUAGAUAAAGAUAGUUAUAUUUAAAUAUAUUUAAUUAUGUUACUAAUUAUUUUUUUUAUUCAGUUAAUAUAUCUAAAAUAUGAUAAAAAUUGAUUAGUUAAGUUUUAAUAUUUUCUUUAUUUAGUUUGUACAAUUAAAAUAUGAUAAAAAUUGAUUAAUUAAGUAUUAAUAUUUUUUUUACUUUAUAAUUUUAUUAUUGUAUUACUAUAAUUUAUGUAUAAAAAAAUUAUUUAGUUGUUUUGAAUUAAAUUUUAAUUAUAUAAAAAUAUACUUAUAUUAUUUUUAUUUAUUAAAAUAUUUAUUAUUUAUAUAUAAAUUACACUUUUACAUCAUACACUUCCUACCAAACAAACAGCAUAACUAAUGAAACUUCACUUCCAUAGCUACGAAACAAACAGUGGAGAAUAAGUAGUUUUCACCGAAGUCCACUUCAACCCAAAGUCUAGUUUCGGUGAAACAAACAUGCCCUUAGUGUGUUGCUUCAACAAGUUCAUAACGGUUUCAAGUGUGAGAAUGCAUUCAUAUAUUCCUUUUUUUGUUAAUAUCUUUAUUUUUCGUUAAAAAAAAGGUUUGCAGAAAUGGAGUCAACACUCAUGAAUAUGCUCUCCAAUCAUGGGUGCGAGCCCGACGUGUGGACGAUGAACGCCACCCUCCGAGCCUUUGGCAGCAGCGGCCAGAUCGAGACGAUGGAAAAGUGCUACGACAAGUUCCAGAACUCUGGCAUCUCCCCUGACAUCAAGACCUUCAACAUACUCCUUGAUUCAUAUGGCAAGUCCAAAAUGUACCAGAAAAUGGGUGCUGUAAUGGAAUACAUGCAGAAAUACUACUAUUCAUGGACGGUCGUUACUUACAACGUGGUCAUCGAUGCAUUUGGGAAAGCGGGGGACUUGAAACAGAUGGAAUACAUCUUUAGGUUGAUGAAGUCCGAAAAGAUCAAACCCAACUGCGUUACCCUUUGCUCGCUCGUUAAAGCGUAUGGAAGGGCAGGGGCUGUCGAAAAGAUAAAAUCAGUAGUGAGGUUUAUUGAGAACUCGGACGUGAUGCUGGAUACCGUGUUCUUCAACUGUUUGGUGGAUGCAUAUGGGAAGGCGGGGUGCUUGGCAGAGAUGCGGGAAGUGCUGGAGAUGAUGAAGACGCGGGGGUGCACGCCGGACAAGGUAACCUACAGUACCAUGAUCAAAGCAUAUCUUAGCAAAGGAAUCAACGAUCAUCGUGUUCAGGAUCUAUGUGAGCUGAGAAAUGGGGAGUCAUUAUAUUUGAGAGAGGAAUCUAAUUUGCACGCAUGAGGGCGAUGCUGUAGCAGGAGGUUUAUUUUUCCAUUGUUUAUGCUCUUUAGUGUGAGAGGCGAGCAGAGGAGAAAAUAAAGAAUCAUGAAAGAUGCCACCUUGACUCAAUAAUGCAAUUUUUUUGUGGUUUAAUUUUAGUGUUGAGAACAUCGAGCGGCAUUACUGGUUUUGUUGGCGGCAACAGAGGGGGCAACAGUAGUGAAUAAGUUAAAUAAAUGAAGAACAGCUUCACUGAUGAGGAGCCUGCUUCGGCCACCUAAUUUCUCAUCAAGCAUUAGAGCAUCAUCUGAAGAUGCUUUCGCUGCGACGGAUGUUUGCGAAGGGCCGUUGGAAUGGUUUGUUCGGGUGAAUUACCGGCGCGAACCUGGUGCAGGUGGAAUGGUUCGGGUUCGUCUCUUUGUUAUGUGUUUUUAUUUUAGCGGUUGGCUGUAACUUCUGUGGGGAAAGGAAGUUAUCUGUUACUGAAUGAUGUCUCAUGUAAUGAACUUACCAAGUUCAGGUGCAGGUUAUUGGACUGUUGAUUGUUUUUUUUACCCCAAAGGAUCCUUUCUUUUCUAUUCUUUUUUUCUCAUUUCACAUAUUGUAGUAAAAUAACCUCGGAAAAUGAGUUAUGCUCCGUUGCUUUUUGUAGAACCAGAAACUUUGUUCUUUUCACGCAAUUUGAUACUAGUGAAAAUCUUUUGCUUCGCUGCGGGUAAGUAGAUUAAGUUUAAUAUAAAUAAAUCAACCGUAAAAUCAUACAAAAUAAUUUUUUUUAGAAAAAAAAAUUUAUACUGAAAUCAAACGAUUGAAUUGCAAGAUAGCUUUCAAAUAAAAAGAUUAUUAAACCAUAAAAAAUAGCUCUCAAAUAGAGAAAUCAUCAAAUCAUGAAAUUCUUCAAGUGAAAUUUUUUUUUUCUAUAGGGUGGUUUUCUCAAAUACUUCUUUCGAAGUGCGAUAUACCUCUCAAAUACUUCAUCCUGAAAAGUUAAGAAGAAAGGUGAAAAAAUUUAUAUAAAAUUAAAAUUUAAAUCAAAUAUAUUAUUGCUAUUUUUUAUCUAAAAGCAAAAUUUUCAAAAAUUGUGCAAAUUCAAGAAAAUACCAAAAAUUUUAUGAAAAAAAUCUGAUUCGACGCCAAAAAAUUGCAAAAAAAAUUUCGAAAAAAAAUCAGAAACCUCAAUAUACCCACUUCCUUGGCCAUCAUCAAGGCCAAAUUGAUGUCACUAAGCCGUGCCCCGCGCCGCCCAAGCCUCUGCCGCCGUCAUCAUCAUCAGGCAAGAAGUAAAAAAUUAAAAAAAAAAAACGGGAAGAAGUAAAAAAAAAAAAAAAGAAGAGAGGAAUGUAAGGAUAAGCAGAAAAAGAGGAGAAGAGUUAACAAAAAAAAAAAAAAAAAAAAAAAAAAAAAAAAAAAAAAAAAAAAAAAAAUGACAUAGGCUUUUUUUUUUUUUGUUUUUUUGUUUGAUGAAGCUGCUGUCAUGUCCCCCGCUAAUGUCGCCUAAUUCGCCGUCUCCCCAUGAUCGUCGCCUGUUGCAGCAGUGACCGUCGUUGACGCCGCCGUCGCAUCGGCCGUCAUUGCCCCCAAGUCACCGAAGCCCACUUCAAAUUCCCUCACAUAAGAGAGAAAGAGUGUGCGGGUACUAUAGAAAAGAGAUGGGGAGAGAGAAGGGAGAAAGAGAGUAGGGAAGAGGGAGCGAGGGAAAGGGAGGGCCAGCUGUAGGAAGGAAGAGAGAGAAAAGGAAAGAGAGAAAGUGGGGCCACUUAGAGGGGGAGAAAUAGAGGAGAAAGGUGAAGAGAGAGAGAGGUGGGGCCGAGAGAAUGAGAGAGGGGAAGAGAGAGAGAUGGGGCCACCUUAGAAGGGAAGAGAGAAAGAGAGGAGUAAAAAGAAUUAUCGAGAACCCGUCACGUGGAAUAGACAAAUAUAGGUACGUCAUGUGUUUAGAAAGUACAUUCAAAUUAUAUAGUGUAAGAUGUUAGGACAUUGGAAUCAAUAAUUUGUAGCUGGUACCUCUAGAAAUGAUUUAAUUUUAUGGCUUAGAAAUUAAAAGUUAUUAUUAUUUUCAUAGUCAAUUUAAAUGUUCUAAGAUUUAUUUUACAAAGAAUGUCAAAUUCUUCUUAGAAUAUUAUUGAUAUUUUUUAAUUAUAUUUUUACCCAACGCCUUUGGGGAUCCAAAAGCUUUUUUUUAGUUAAAAUUUUAAGUAAUUCAUUAAAAAGUAAAGAUUGAUUAUAUUAUUAUAUAAUUUGAGAAAAUUAAAAAAAUAUUUUCACAUAAAGAAAAAAAGGAAAACGCAUAUAUCCUCAAAAAUAAAUAAAAGAAGAAAAUAAGGAUGAGUCUCCUAACCAAAAAAAGAAAAAAGAAAUAUAUUAAUUGGUCCCCAAAUUUAAAUAUUAUUUAACAAAUGAAUCAAGCUCAUGAACAUAAACGAUAAAGCUGGAAACAAAAUAUAGAGAACAUUACCAAAAAAAAAAAAUUUCAUAUUUUGUUUUUGUUCUGACUCCGAUUGGAACAAAAAGAAGAAUCAUCCAUAUUGGAAUACUUCUACUUCGAGACUUACCAAAUUCCUAUUUAAAGAAAAUUUAUAAAAUCUAUAUUGCCUGACAGAAGAAAAGAAAAGAAAAAAACAUGAGUGGCAAAAGAGAGUAGCAAGUAGGAGGUACACAAACUAGGCUAGGGCUACUAUACUCUUAUGAGUAUAGAGCCCUUCAUACUCAUAAGUUAUUUUCAAUGAUUGAGCUUUCGAAUCGACGAUCCAAUCCAUUAAAUAUGAUUUAGAGUAUUUAAAACUUCUAGAAAAUAAAUUUCGUAAUUUUUUGAAAUCAUAAUAAAGUUCAUCAAGCGGAUAUAAAAUGAACGGUCAAAAUUAAACGACGUCUUAAAAAUGAAUGCUCAGAUCCUUCAAUUUAAGAUCGGAGUUAUUAACCUUUAUCUAUGUAGUGAAUAUAAUUUUCUAUCAAAAAUUCAACUGAUUCAAUUCUUUUACACCGUUAAACUAGCAAAUAUCUCAUACCAACUGUUAAAAAUUGUCAAUUUUGUGACAUUUUGAUCGUAAGGUAAAUGAUGUUAAAAAAUUAUAAAAUUUGAUUUCUAGAUGUUUUAAAUGCUCUAGAUAAUGUUUAACGGUGUGGAUCGUCGAUUCGGAAGCUCUAUCAUCGAAAACAAUUUAUGAGUACGAGGGCGAUCGUUCUCAUAAGAGUAUAGCAGCCGAACUCCAUAAACUAAAUAAUUAUAAUAAAAAUUUGAGAGAAAAUCAUUAUAUAUAUAUAUAUAGAGAGAGAGAGAGAGAGAGAGAGAGAGAGUCCGGCUGGGAUACUAUUGACAGCACCAAGCACUUGUGCUAUCGAGUUUUCCGCCGUUAGAUUUAACUCUUUGAUUAUUUUCACUCGUUCGAUUAUACUAUUCAACCAACAACUCACUCAACCCUAAGGGGCCUACAUCAUCCUAACUGUACAUUUCUUUAUCCAAGGGCCGAAAACCUAAUAGCACCAACAGGUUGGUGUUGGAUAUAUUGUUAUUGGAUAUUUUGUUAUAAUAUAAUCCAAAUAAUAUGUUCACAUACAAGCCCAAUAAGUGAAAGCGUAUUAAGGCCCAUAUCUCUGGAGCCCAAUAGCUUAUUUAUCAAAUCUAGGGUUUCCUACGCUGGAGGUAACACUGUUGAGCGUUCCAAACUUGACGUCUCUUGGUGUAAUACUUUAAGCACCCAAAAACCCUAACCUCCAACAAUCUUAAAGUAUUACGAUCCUAUAUCGGAUUUGAGCGAGUAAGUUAUCGAUUCGAAGAUCUCGUCAAGACGAAUUCACCGGUAUAAUUUAUUUUCGAUUUCGACGAUCGGAUUGGCCGGGAUCUGAGUUUGAAAGUCAGGCGGCGGAAUUCUUUGAUUCAAAAAUCCAGAAAUUACAGCCAAUUUCAGAGGGUGAAACCACUUGGGUUCUGUUCUACUCGUCGAUACGAACGUUUUGACUGGUUACUCGUCUCGAACGGAGGUCGGACGACGAAGUUACGGCCAUCUGAAGUUUUCAGCAGUUUCCGGCGACGAGGGCAGUUCAUCUUAAGGUUUUUGGGCACUACGGAUCCAAUUUUGGGUUUGUUUUUGGCAAAUUCCACCUCUACAAAGCACUUUGAUUCAGAUCAGGGGCUUUAUUCAACUUUGCGAGAUCUGCGGACUACAAGGUGCACUCUUUCUAACACUUUGCUCUGAUUAAAUGGCAAAGCGUAGUUCUUUUGAUAUUAUAAAAUUGCAAUCAUUUGAUGUUACUGAAUUUCAUGGUUGGAAAUUACAUGUUCAAUUUGGCAUGAAAGAACAGAUGGGACUGGAUGAAUUAAAGAGGUAUAUUCACAUUGAGGAUCAAAACAGUACUAGAAAGAAUUUAGAACAAGUAGGACAACAAAAGUCAGUUGCCAACUUAGUUUCACACUUCAAUAAACCUCAGAAAAGAUCCAAGUCACCAAAAGGUGAAUCUUCUUCACAGCUAGAGGUCAAAAAGACUAUCUCCAAAAAGAAAAAGAAAGAAAAGUGCCAUAACUGUGAAAAAUGGGGUCACUGGGCAGCAGAGUGUAGACUACCAAAGAAGCCAAAGAAUAACACACCACAAAGUGAGGCUAAUAUGCUAAAUAGUGAAUCUGAGCCUCAAGCUUUCAUUGGAAUGAUGAAAAUUGGAAAGGCUAGUAUUUCUACUGAGUGGUGGUUGGAUAGUGGCACUACUUGUCAUGCUACAAAUGACAAGAACCUACUCACAGAGGUCACAGAAGUGAAAGACACCGUAGAAAAUUGCAAUGGUGGUGAGGCAGAAGUGACUCAUACUGGAACUGCAAAUUUGGUGCUUUCUUCAGGUAAAUUACUAACUCUGAAACAUGUUAGAGUAGUACCUUUACUUAAAAAGAAUUUGAUAUCUAUGAGCUUACUUGAUAAAGCUGGUAUGUCCUUUUCAACUAUGAAUGGUAGAGUAACCUUAUCAGUUAACUCAUGUUAUUUUGGUUGUGCAUUCAUGGUUAAUGGUAUGUAUAGGUUGAGUUUAGAUACUGAUAGCAAAAACCAUGUGAGUUCUAUUCUGAUUGAUCCAAAGUUGUUGCACAAUAGACUUGGACAUGUGAACUACAGGAAAAUGCAACUUCUAGCUAAAACUCACAACAUUCCAUUGGAUACUUCUAUUCGAUUUGACAAAUGUGAAGUGUGUGCACAAGCUAAGAUCACUAGAAAACCUUUUAAAAUGGUUUCUAAAAGCACACAACUUCUUGAGCUAAUACAUUCUGAUCUUUGUGAUUUUAGAAAUUACGUCACUAGAGGUGGUCGAAAGUAUUUGAUAACAUUCAUAGACGAUUUUUCUAGAUAUUGUCAUGUCUAUUUGUUGAAAUCGAAAGAUGNUAGAUACAGAGAGAGAGAGAGAGAGAGAGAGAGAGAGAGAGAGAGAGAGAGAGAUAGAUGAGUUAGAAUAUUAUUGGUAGCAAAUAGGCUCCGUUGCCACUCAUUUGUUUUGAUGAUGGAGCCUUCAAUUUGAGAUUUGCAGUGUUGAAUAUGAUCUAUACCACUUGAAACAUCUAGAAACCAAAUUUUAUGUUUUUCCGAUAUUAUUCUCUUGUCCAUCAAGUGGAGACAAAAAUAAACAAUGCAAAAUGAAUAUCCUUUAAAAGUGAUAAUAGGAGUCAUGUAAUCAAGAUCAAGAGUAUAGAUCACGUUUUAAAUAGUUUAAAGAAUUUUCUAAUCUAAAUUCAAUUUAUUUGGAUAUCUUUACGCCGUUAAAUGAAAAAAUGUCUCACAUUGACCAUUAAAAGGCUAAUUAUAAAAAAAAAUCUCUCUGUCAAUACCCGUUUUUUCACUUUUUCCUCCUGUCAUUUAGAAACCUAUACUUUGUCCCCUUGAAAAAUAAAAAAUGCUCACAGUGGGGUACAGUGUUAACUGUGAUGAUAAAAUAACCAAAUUGCACCUCACCAUCUUCAUCUUCUCCCCAAUCUUGCUCAGCCGUCGUCUUUUCUCUUCCAUUCUUCGUGCCUCGCUCAACCGCAGCUCCGACUCUAUUUCCUCCAUAUGCUCCCCACUCCUCUUGCACACUCGUCGCCCCUCCAUUUCGGCGAUGGUAGAGAGGAGAUUAGGGUAGGUAUGGACGAAGAGGCGGGCGAGGGUGAGGGCGAGAUGGCAAAGGAGCGCGAGAGCGCGUGUGUAGGCACAGAUGGAGGGGUGGGCGAGCGCGAGGCGGCGGAGGAGAGCGAGGUGGCAGAAUCGGGCGAGGCCACAUGGGCGGCGAGGAAGGAAGCAGCAAUGUUGAGAAGAGGAGGCUGAGGGUAUUUGGGUAUAAAAAAAUAAUAAUAAGAUAUAAAUGGAACUCUAAAAUGGAAUAGUAACGGCGGGGGCUAAAGUGAACAUUUCUUAUCUUUCAAAUGGGCAAAGUGUAGAUUUUUAAAUUACAGGAGGGGAGAGUUAAAAAAGCAGGUAUUGACAAAGAGGGUUUUCUAUAAUUUAUGCUUAGAAUUAUAAAUUUUAAAACCCUUUGAUCAAUAGGGUAAUGAUAUAAAAAAGAUUUAAAAUUGAUUUCUAGAUGCUUCAAGUGGUAUAAAUCAUAUUCAAUGGUGUUGAUCAUCAAUUUGAAACUUUCAGCUUCUAAUUUUGUUAGAACUUUCUCUUUAGAGUUGGUUGGGAGACUCAAGAGCUCAAAAGACAUCUUCGCUGAGGUAUUAACAAGCAAAGGUGAGAAAUAUCACCGAAAUAGAUUUGAUUUCUCCUCUGUCUAAAUAAUUCCUAUUUCCUUGUAUGUAGCUUAAACCUCAUAAUUUUCCUCGGUAAGAAUGGAUUAAAUCUUUGAUGGAUUUGUAUAAAGCAAGGUUUGGAAAUUUAUUAGGGGUUAUGAGUAUAUGACCUAGCACGUAAAUGCCUUCACCUCUAUUGUAUACCUUCUUUUUUUUUUUUUUUUAAGAGAUAGAUAGCAUGCCACCCGCUUCGUUUUAUUUCUUUUAAGAAGUAAACUUAGCUAGAAAUGUGAAUCAACUAGGAUUCGAACUUGGGACCUCGGGUAUCAACCACCAAGCCCUUUGCCACUUACGUCAGGAACGGUCGGUUGUAUGCCAUAUUAUUAUUAUUGUAUUCUUUGUAAACAAGUAGAACACUAAGUUAUUCGAGCAUAUGGACUUUGCUGACAUAAUGGUGACACUUGACAUAGAAGAAAACUUUUAUGGUAUCAUUUGGUUCGAGGAUAAGCAAAAAGUGGGUAUUCCGGGGAUAGGUAUAAAUUGAGGUAUAAGCGGGAAUUAGAUCAAUUUUGCGUUUGGAUGAAAAUUUGGUUAUUCCUGAAAAUAAGAAAAAUAGCAUUUGGUUAGGUAAGAUGGAAUAAGAAUUAAAGUGGGUGGUUAUAAAUAAAAAAUAAUAAUAUUAUUCUUUUCUUUAUAUUAGAAUUUGAAUUUUUAUAUUUUAUAUUUAUAUUUUAAAAUUUAAAAUAAUAUAUAUUUUGAAAUUAUAAAUUAAAAAUUAAGUUUAAAUUUAAAUUUUGAAUUUAUAAUUAAAAUUUGAGUCCGAAAUCAGAAUUAAUAAGUAGGUUUUAGUUACUUCUGAUUUUUUGAUUCACGAAAAUCAAAAUAUUAAUUUUAAAAAUUAAAAAUUUUAAUUUUUAAACUUACGAAAUUUAAAUUUUAUAAUAAAUUAAAAAUUCUCUCACUCACUCACACUCUCAUACUCUCUCUCUCUCUCUCCUCUCUUCACGGGUGGAACAAGCUGGGUUAUCCCAGCUUGUUCCACCUUGAGGUGGGAACACUAAUUCCCUUCUUAACGGGCUAUUCUAGUUCUCACCCCUUAACAGGCUAUUCUAGAAUAGCGCGUUAAGGAGGGAAUUAGUGUUCCCACCAUUUUUUGUUUGUAUUUGGAGGAUAAGGGUGGAAUAAGCCCUUUAUUCCACCCUUAUCCCCCAACCAAACAUAGCCUAUUAGGGGAUAAAUAUAGUGGUAUAUAGAUAAAUUUUAAGAACUUGUUUGUAAGUGGCAUGUAAACAUAAAAAAAAAAAAAACCUCAUGAGACAGGCUCUAAAAUUGAUUGUGACCUGGGGUAUAAAGUAAGAGAUAAACUAAGCUAUGACCUUCCGAAAGAGCCAUUAUGAAAAGUCUCAAUUACAUUUGACUGCUUAUUCCUAUAUUGGGGAAAUCUAAGAUUCCCGACCUCUUGUGCUUACCCAUUGAGGUGGAUCACCAUCAUUUUCGUCUCUCUAUGAGGUGUUUAUAAGUGAAUUGAAAUCGGACCUUCGAAUCGGCUAGAGUAAGGUAAUGAUAUGAGUAGAUCUUUUCUUGGACAUUAACUUAGCAACAUCUAACUUUGGCACAUUAGCAUCUUGAUAAAGGCAUGGUAGUUGCAUGCCUUCUUAUAUAUGCUUUCUUUUAUUAUAACAGCGGUUCCUUUUACUUGUUACCGUACUACUUAUGCCUCUUUUGAACCGAGUGAAUAUAGAACGCCACUUUCGACGGUUGCAUCCAUUAAAAAUUUAUUUCAAGUCUCGCUGCUUGUUAUUGAUGCUUUUAUAGAGCCAUCCACGGCCGGCGAGGCUCGUGACCGCCGUCAAUAUCACUUCUGUACACUAUGAUAUUUAAAUAUUUUUGGAGAGGUGUAAAGCUUGAUAAUAGAAGUUACAUCUCCGCUGAAAGAACAGAGCUCCACAAGGAGGAAGACUUGCAGUGCCGAAACAAAAACACUAGUGAAGGAAGAGUGACAAGUACGUGAAAUUCCAGCAUAGCCUGGCUCAUUACAUACCAGAAUAACUAAAAAUGCAGCAACAGUAAUGAUCUAACUUCAAAGACAACGAACAGCUGUGAAAGAUAUCACUUUCUUAAGAUCCCUCGAUCAAAUAUAAGAUCCUUCUCCGUAAAGGAUUAAACGCUUCAUCAAACCACCAAAUUAUGUAAAUACUUGCACACGUAAGAUGCCGAAACUCGAUUAGACCGAGCUUUCCUUGAGAUCAAAACACUUGAAUGGAAAAAAAGAAAAGAAAAGAAAAGAAAAGAAAAGAAAAAUUAAAUUACCUGCAUGCAGAAGCGGCAAACAGCAAACAGAAAAUUGUCUAGCCACCUACUCCACCUCUACAGCAUUUGCAAAGGUGAUUUUCAGUCUAUUAUAACUAAACCUUCCCUUAUUCCUGUACAAGAUCAUCUACAUUUCCCCCACCAAAUUUCUCAAUCAAAUAUACACGACACACCGCUCGGUAACUAAUAGAAUGCGAACACAAAUGUCCAAUAGCAUUUGCAACUCCUCUAUGAACGACAACUAUGUUUAAAGUUUAAAAGUCGAGAUAAUUGUAUGCAUGCCGCCUUUUGUACUGAAGCAAGCUGGCAUAUACCCGAUCCCACACCCCAACAAAGAGAGACUCGUCGUCUGGACUCAGAGAUGCUCCCGAAAUUUCGCCAAAGAAGUCCAGCUCUUGCCGCUUCUUGUAGUUGGCGGCCGUGUCGUAGAUGUGGACAAAGUCGGCAGGCUCCGCGAAGAACAUGAACCGUCCGUCGGUCGAGUAGCGGAUGGACCGGAUUGCACCCAAGUUGCCCUUUAGGACGGCCAGCGAAGACGACAGGUUCCGCACAUCCCAAACACGGCAGGUUUUGUCUUGAUUCCCAGUGGCAAAACUGCGGCCGUCAGGAUGCCACGCUGAAGCAAAUGAAUAGUCAAGAUGCCCUACAAGCGUUGAGAUCCCCUGUGCAUCAUACAGAUAAUUGGUUCUAGAUAUUAGUCGGCAGUGUUAGAUAUUAGUUGGCUGUUCAACCCAAAGCCUUUUGCAUAUUAGCUUAGGUGGAUGUGCGACAUUGUUUAUUCUUUCAGCUUUCAGUUUCCUCCAGUUCCCAUGUAAUUGAUGGGACAAAGGGAUAACAGACCAACAUAGGUGCAGACAUCAAUUCGAUAUGGAAGUGAGUCGUUGGUAUGGCGUAGCCCAACAGCAUUGUAUAUAAAGGGAUGCCCUUGCUAAUUUUUUUGCUAUUACGGAUUGUUUGUAAAAUGACAAGUUUUUUAUUCUGUUUAACAACAGAAAACAAAUAUAUGGUAGUAAACUUUUCUUGCUUUAAUUACUAUUUAUUGUAAGAUGAGUUUGCAAACUAACCAAAGGGAGUGAAACGUGUUGAAUAGUAUACAUCUAAUCAAACUUCCAAAUUCUGAUUCUGGCAAAGCCAGUUUAGAUCUCCCUACCCUUAUUGAAUCCGGAUUCUAUCUUGAUGCUUCUAAAUAUUUUUUGGUCGAGUCUGAUCAGUUUGUUCUUUUGUUCUUCUCAGUCAUACUUAUAUGCAUUUUAAGACAACUAAGGAAAUAUCCGAGUUUCAACUUGUUUCUUUAUCCAUAUUUUUCAAGAACUAUAUCCAUUCUAAUACCAGUAGUUAAAAGAUGUUAAAAAAUAUGCUUUAGUCUCUAUCUGACUUGCUUCCAACCCAUUCACCCAACUAACCAAGAAUAACAAGAAUAGCUCAUCCCUAUACACCUUCAAUAACACGGAACUUUAACAAAAUAAAUUUGAGAUAAAAUAAUAAUAAUAAUAAGCAAUAGAAAAUGAGCACUUAGUUAUAGUAAAGGGCAAGAAACUGAAACUUUGGAAGGGUAAGGAAACAAGUACCUUGCCAUUUCCAGCAUCCACAAGCAAUCCUUCGCAAUCAUCUCCCACCACUGUAACAAGCUUUCUGUCUGGACUUAUGGAUGUGUGCUGCCGUUAAACAAAAACCAAAACACGAAAUGAAAUUGCACAUAAUCAGCAAUGCCAGCAAGACUCGGAGUAGCAAAAGAACCAAAAAUACUUCAUCAGGUCAAAGAUUGGUAAACGCCACUCUGCUAUUACCGGGUGAAGAGCCUCAAGAAUUUUACUAUCAACGCUUAAAAAAGCAGAGAACUCACAUUCACUGACCACGGGAAACGGAAGUGAUUCAAUUGCUGAAACCUUUCUACAUCGAACUCGCGCACACAACAAUCAUUAUUGGAUACCAUAAAGCGGAUAUUGCCACUGCGAUAGAUAAUUUUGAACAAGUCAGCUUUGUGAAAGAGCCCAUCUUUUUAACAGCCAGAGUGAAACUGUUUUUUACCUCAAAGCAUUGUAUAUGUCUAUAGCAUUGGUGAUAGCAUUGUCAUCAAACGUUGUCCUCGUACAGAAGCUAACACCUGGCCGAUCCAAUAGCUGCAUCAGGAAUAUAAGGUAAGUUCAAUUAAUAAAGAUGCAUAAUGAUUUUAAUUAAGCAGCAAAUUUGGAAUAAUUGUAAAAGGUGCUAUUGCUGUCAAGAAAUGUUCCAUCCAACCACAGUUUCGCAAGUAAUGAAGAAGAGUAUACUUGUUACUGUAACAAAAUCUAAGGCCCCGUUUGUUUGCAGGAUAAAAUGGGAAUAGCCCAUUUUAUCCUUGCUAAUUCACCCAAACAGUGAGAAAGUUUGUGGGUUUAAUUUAGCUGGGUCUUAACGGUUAUCCAAGGAUAACCCGUUAAGACCAAUUCCUCUUCACCCACGGAAUAGCCCACUUUCGCUAGGGUUAUCCCAAGGGCAAGGGUUGGAAAAUUAGGGGGUGACUCUUCAUCACCUCCGUUAAUGCGCGAUACCUACCUUCCUCUUUGCUCAUUACUCCUUUGCUGCUCUCCUGCCUCCUCGCGUCGGACGCCUUCUUCCUCCUCUCCACUUCUCUCGACUCAAUCUGCGGCGACCAUAAUCAAUAAGCGUUGGUAAUCCCUCUCUUAACUUGCUUUCUUCCUCUCUACUCCUCUGGCAGUCUCUCUCAACUACUGCUAUCAAUGAGGAAGAUCUCACCUGAGAUCCAUCCUCAUCCCUAACUCAUCUCUCAAACCCUCCGAUAUGAAUGGUAAUAAUGGCUACUUCCUCCUCUCAACAAACAUAUGGGCUUGUGAUGUACGAAAUCUCCUCCUUGCUUCUUGCCGACUACACUAUGUUGUCAAGUCGCCCAUUAAGUGCGACAGAUAUCCUCGCAAGUAAAAGGCAUGAAGUAGUUGUGCCCCUUUCCUCUUUAAAUCGGGUGGGACUCGAAGGUAGUGCUUCUCUUCACAACUUGCUUCAAACCCUAUCUCUGUUACUAUUUUGUUGGCUGUCAUUGUUGGACUCGAAUUGUUCACCGUUGAAAUUUUCAGCCUCUUUCUUAUCUCAUCGAGGUGAGAUUUUAUACGAUUAUCUUCUACUAUUAUCUAUUUUUGUAGAUUUGCCUUUGACAUUUUCUACUAGUUGAGGAUACUGUUUGUUGUUUUAUACAAGUAGAGCCUAGCUUUUAUAUACUCAUUACUUUACAAUUCAACCACGGAUCAAAGUAUGGUAAGAUAUUUAACAUAGCUACAAAUUGGACAAUAUGAUGAAUAGCAGACAACUCUGCUAUAUAUAUGGACGCCAAGUAUGCCGAUUUCAAAGAAGCUGGCAACAUCCAUAUUAGAACUUGUUUGGAGGGAAAGUUUUUUAAAAAAAUUAUGCAAUGAUGUAGGGAAAGGAUAAUUACAUAUCCAUGUAGGGAAAGGAAAAUUAUGCAAAAUCGUUUGAAAAUCUUGAAGCGUCAAUAUUUGAUAUAUCAAACUUUAGCCAACAAAAGUGGAUGUGGGUCAGAUUACACACAAAAUAUUCCAACUGCCGGUGACCCUAGUGAUUGGGAUGCCAUUAUAGCGGUUAUGUUUUUCAUUUUUGACCAUUUAUCUUUUUUUGUAAACCAAAAUUGUUUCUUUUUGUAGGUAAACAUUUGCAUAUCAUCUAUGUUUUUUUCAUUUAUAGGAAAUCCAGCUUACGUUAAGUGCCAAGACAAACCAUUUACGGCAUAUCAAUCUAUUGAAUUCUUGACUGGAAAAGGUACAGCAACCGGCAGGUAUGGAUUUACUUCUCGAGUGGAUGUCGAAGAUGUUCGUAGCACCUCUUCAUCUUCUCCUGCUACGCAACGACUCGACAUAGAGAACUUAGGCAAGAAUUUAGAGAAGGUUAAUGACGCAAAUUCAACUUUUCCUACUACUCCAAUUAAAGUAAGUACCCACUAUGAAGGUAGUGGCUCUGGCCACACUUCAUCAAUGAAGAGGCCUCGAGUGUCACCACCAAAUCCUACACUAACUUCAAACCGUCGCCGAAAAGAUGACGGACGAGCGCAAGCAAUUUAUGAGCUCGUUGAAUUGGGAAAAAAAACAGAAAUUGCACAAGCAAUAAUGGAACGUGAGUUACAACCCGGCCAAAAAUUCACUCCACAGGGGAGUGUAUGGAAAGGCUCACCACUGUUGCUCACUUGACUCCUAAUGGUUUACUUGCUGUGUGUGAGGCUCUAAAAGAUGAGCGCAAUAGGCCUAUUUUUAUUAAAUUAACUAGCGAUCUGUUGUGCAUGUGGAUAGAUCGUCAAAUCGCCAUGUAGCAGAUUUAUGCUGGACAAAGGCCUAUUGCACCAUGAUAUGCACCUAUUACACCCUUUUUCACAGCAGCAUCUUCAUCCUUUACUCCUAGACCAUUUUCAGCCUUUCCACCUACAACUGCGGCUUUCCCGCUUGACACGCCCACUUUCCUCCUACAGGACCUUCUGUCCCUUCUAAUUUACCAUCUUUUUUGUCGGAAAGGCCAUCUUUCCUGCCUAAUUAAGUAUGCAUGGAUAGGUGAAGAACAAUUGCCUUUUUUGUGGUUUGGCACUUCCUGGUAGUGCUCUUUAGUACUAAUUAAGUAAGCACUUAUUAUCGAUUUUCUUUGCAUGAUGGCCAGAGAUGUUGCAUGUAUUAACUCAUGUACUCUCUCUUUUACACGUACUGUAUGCUUUUAUAUUAUCUUCUAUUUUUAGUUCCAACUGUAUGUCAACUAUGAAGGACUUGUAGGGUGAUCCAUGUUUUUCAACCUGUAUAAAUGUUACUCUUCUCAACUUGCUUCUUCACAGCAUUUUAUUUGCAGGUCUCUAAUUUAGCAAUGAUGAGCACAAGAGUAGACUGGCAUGAAUGGUAUAAGUUUGCUUCUUUGAGGAUUAAUUGGUUAAAGUUCCUAUAUAUAAGCUCGCUUCUACUCUACUUGCAAUCUGCAUGUUACUAGCCCUGACAGUGAUGACAAAAUGAGUAGCAGGCUUGAAUGGUUGGGGGGCAUUAGGUAUCCUAAUGCAGCCACCUUUCAGACUUGUAGCCUUUAUAAUCUGAGCCAACACAACCAGGUUCUGCUCCAGCAUGUAAUUUGUCACUUAGUCUCUUCAAAUCUCCAGUUAUGUGGUUCAAUAAAUAUUAUUCAAGGUAAGUGCGAGUUGCAAGUUUCAUAUUACAUGAUUUCAGAAGUUUGUUUCUGGAGUUGUAGUAUACUACUUUCCAACUAAAUAAAUUGGUCCAUGGUAUACAGAAAGUUGGCUUUCUCUUCUUUAUCAGGCUUGCAGUUUUAUUUUACAGUGAGGAUUAUAGGUUAACUAAUUAUUUCAUGUCUCUUUUGUCUUGCUUUCAUAUUCGUUCAUAUCUUUUGUUUAUAUAAAUGCAAGUGAAAAUGCAUACCUGGCCAACUAAUUACUUGACAUUGAUUUGUUUACGUUAGUUAUUGCAUCUGCAAUAGUGGAACUUCGAUUGUUUGCCUUACUUCUGUUAACUGUUGGGUUGUACCAUAGUUUUGGCUUCUUAUUUCUAUAUAACCUAAAUCUUUCCAUUCAUGGCCACGUAUAAAAGGUAAUGUAGUUUUACCAAAGUGGGUGAUUAUUUGGUUCAAGUUGACUAUGUAUAAGCUUGCUUCUUCUCAACUUGUAAUACGCACCUUACUCGCUCUGGCAAUGAUGAAUAAAAGAACAAUGGACUUGAAUGGUUUGGGGUGCAAUAGGUAACCUAUUGCAGCCACCGUUCAGACUUGGGCCCUUUGUUACCUGAGCCAACAUAUGAUUGUUCUGCUUCAGUAUGUAUCAAUCUCCAACUCUCUUAGGUAUUGGGUUCAAUGGAUAUUACUCAAGGUAAGUGACAGUUACAAGUUUCCUGUAACAUGAUUUCAAAAGUUUGUUUUUGUGAAGUUGUAGUAAAAUAUUUUCGAACUUAAUCACUUGGUCCAUGAUUUACCAAAAGUGGCUUUUCUCUUCUUUAUCACGCUUGCAGUUUUAUUUUAUAUUAAUUAUUUCAUUUCCCUUGUAGCAUGCUUUGAUAUUUGUUCAGAUCUUUUGUUUACAUACGUGCUUGUGAAAGUGCAACCCUAUGCAACUAGUUACUUGAUAUUUGUUUCUUUACCUCGGUUAUUGCAACUGCUACUGUGGUAUUUCAAUUGUUUUCAUACUUUUGUUCAUUGUUGGUUCUACCAUAGUAGCCACAGUUCUGAUUCCUAUAUAGCCUGAAUCUUUUGAUUCAUGGCCAUCUAUAAAAGGUAUUAUAGCUUUAAAAAAUUGAGGAUUAAUUGGUUAAAGUUGCUAUGUAUGACUUUGCGUCUUCUCAACUUGUAAUCUGCGUGUUACUCGCUCCGGCAAUGAUGAACUAAAGAGCAGCAGUCGUGAAUGGUUGGGGGGCAGUGGGAAACCUCUUGCAGCCAUCAUUCAUACUUGUGCUCUUUAUGACCUGAGCCAACACAUGUUUGAGCUGCUUCCAAGGUGAAUGAUACUCGAGAUGAGGAUAGCUACAGGUUGCAUAUUUUAUGCUAAGCAGUUAACUUCAUUUUGCUACCAACUUCAUUUAAUGCUUUGCAAGCUACUUCAUUUUGCUAGCAACUUGUAGCUUUCUCAAACGGGCAAUGAUGAGCAAGCAAACAGAUGCGUGAAUGGUAGGGGGCAAUACAUGCUGUAUUGCAGCCACCAUGCACGUGUGACUUCAAUUCGUCCUGAGCCAACACAUGUUAAUAACUGUACAGUUUACUUAUAAUUGUACCUCCAAGUAAGCUUGAGCUCACUUUUCGACCUGUGUCUAUGUUAUAAUUCUUGCCAUAUUUGAAGUUCUUAAGCUCAAGUUAUUGAGUAUCUAUAUCUUACAUCAGAGUGUUGUGCUUCAUCUUUUCGGCGAUGAUGAUAUGUAGGGCUCUAGGCAUGCAUAGUAGGGAGGCGUGGAUAAAGACCACUGCAACCACCUUGCAUACUCUUCUGCCUUACUAUCUGAGCCAAUAGAUAUCAAUCUUUAGCUAUUAUUGGGUUAUAAAAGUUUCAUUUGAUCCAAAUGCAGUUAUGGCUGAAGCAAUCAAUCGGCGAGUUUUUUCUUCAACACUUGUUGCCGAUCUCAUGACAUUCUUAGACGAGGAAGAAGACUAUUGGGAAUAAGUGCAUGCCUUACUUAUUGAAGAGGGGGACUUUCCAUUCCACAACACAAUUUAUAGACGGCCUUGUCGAACUCAGCCAUUCACUGGUUAUGAGCUAAUUCAUGACAUAUUGAGUGGACAUCCUGAUAGAGGUUAUCAACAUUUCAGGAUGACCACUACUAUGUUUACAAGACUUCGAGAUGAACUAGUUGGAAGGGGUUUUAUACAAAACACUAGGCAUUUAACUGCUGACGAGCAGCUUGGUAUAUUUCUAUUUGGUACAGGUCAUGCCGUGGCUAAUAGAAUUUUAGCUGAAACUUUUCAACAUUCAGGAGAAACGAUUAGUAGGCAUUUUAAUAAUGUACUGCGCGGCGUGGUUGAACAUAGACAUAACUACAUCCAACUCCCACUAUCAAAUACGGGAGUACACCCUAGAAUAAAAGAUAAUUCAAUAUUUCAUCCAUUCAAGGUGAGUACAUUAGUAUUUGUUAAAACUUUGUGGAAACAAAAUUUGUAAUCUUCGAAGUUAUGAGAUAUUUGAUGCUUACUUUGUUAUUUGACUUUUGAAUUCAGAAUGCAAUUGGUGCAGUAGAUGGGACAUCCAUAUCGGUGGUUGCACAGAAGACUAAGCAGCCAAGAUAUCAGCGUCAACAAGGAUUUACUUCUCAGAACAUGAUGGCCGCAUGUUCGUUUGACCACCAGUUUCUAUUUGUGUGCACCGGGUGGAAGGGUUCUGCAACUGAUAUGAGAGUACUGCGAUGGUGUUGCGAGAGUGGCGGUUUCACAGUACCGGAAGGUAACUUAUCAUUUGCAAGUUUAUGUGUGAUAUAGCUUUCAUUGUUCUAAUUUUCAUAAAGCUUUAUAUUGUGUAGGAAAAUAUUAUCUCGUCGAUUCAGGAUAUGCAAAUACUUAUCGCUUCCUCGCACCCUAUCGAGGGGAACGAUAUCACUUGAGCCAAUUUGAUGUAAACGCACAGACGCGAAGACAUCAAGGACCUCGAGAUUUAUAUAAUCAUCGUCAUGCUCAAUUGCGAAACAUAGUUGAGAGCAAGGUUUUAAGUGCCCAUCGGCACGCACCGUAUCCACCGUACCGUACCGUGCCAACAAGAUACCGGCACGAUACAGACCCCGUGCCGAUGGCACAGCUCAAAACCCUUUAUUCUUUAAAUUAGUAAGUAAUUUCCUCAAUAAAGUUCAAAAGAUGUGAUAAAAAGACAACAAAUAGUUAGAAUAUUUUGUUGCUAAAGAAAAUAAAUAUUUUAUGCUAUUAUGUGUCGGCACACAAGAUUUUUUUGACCGGCACUCAUCGGCACGGCUCGGCACGCACCGUACCGUACCGUGCCGGCAAGUUUCCGACACAACCCCGUGCCACGGCACUUAAAUUCUUGGUUGAGAGAGCCUUUGGAAUCCUGAAGAGGCGGUGCAAGGCGCUCCGACAAGCAACACCCUUUCCCUACAAGGCGCAAUGUCGCAUUGCCCUCGCAUGUUGCGUCAUACACAAUUUCAUCAAGAGGCAACAAGGGACCGAUAGGUACUUCAACAUGCAAAUGGACCCAUUGCCGACGGACGACCAACUUGAUGAAUCAUCACCUCCUACCCAGACGAGUCUCGGAGAGGAGACGCUCUUCGCACCAUGAUAACAGAUCAACUUUGGAACAAUAUAUAGGAGGAAAUAUUGAAAAUGAUGUAAAUUCGUUUUUUAGUUCAUGCUUUGCAUAUGCUGUAUCAACUUAUGUCUCGUGUCUUCAUCUUGAAUUUAUUUCGUGCUAUUUUCCAAAAUGUUGUAAUUGGAUGUUAUCUUAUGUUCGCAAUGAUUACUUUUAGUCCAAAAUUGCUCUGAUUUAGUUUAAUAUAGAAACUUUGUUUUAGUCAAUUGUUGUGUUUGAUAGUUGCAAUUGUUAAAUAAAAUUUCUUCUCUUCAUUAGUUUUUGCAAACUGAUUGUAUUAAAAGAUUUUAAAUGAGUAUUCUACUUUUUUAUAUUGUUGAAUAACAUCUAUACCUAUACAUUAAUCCCCAAAAGAACAUGCCACGUGGCUGUGUUUCCUUUAUUUUUAGGCUUCACAUUGCGAAACCAACCUUUCGCCUUCCCUCCACCCAUAACGGUUCACCCACCUUAACCCAACCCUUCGCCUUCCCUCCACCCAUAACAUCUAAUUACUGGUCCACCCACCUUAACCCAACCCUACGCCUUCUCUCCGCACAUAACGUCUAAUUAAUGGUCCAUUCAUCUUAACCCUAAUCUAAACAAUAGAUAGUAGAAACCCACGAAAAGCCCCCUUCUCUCCCUUCUCUAUUUUCUCUUCCUCCUCCAUGAGCUUCGAGGCCAAAAUCGAGCACGUUCUGUGGACGAAAUAUGAGUUUGCAUACUGCAUUGCCGAGCUUGGCGCUGCUAUCUUCAUCAAAUCGAGGUUUCCUCCAAAUUUUAGGAGUUAUUUUAAAAGAUUUAUAUAUUCUUUAUAUUGUAGCGUUGAAAUUUCUUAGGUAGCUUUAUUCAGUUUUUUCAAGUUCUUUUUAUUUGCGUGGUAUUCGAACUGAUGUGUUUGUUGUGUUGAAGGUUUAUUACUUCUUCUUUUUCUAUCAUUUGUUCUUUAUAUUUUUUUCUUGAAAUAAAAUUCUGUAUUAUAUUUGCUGUAUUAGGUUGUGUUAGGUUAUAUAUCUUUUUUUAAAUAUUUAUUAUAUAACUUUUCAUAUGCUUAUUUUUUUCUACUUUCAUGACUCUUUUUAUUAACUAAUAUAAAAAUGUUUACAAAAUUAGAUUGAUAUAUGAUUUAAAAAGGUCUUCAUUUUCUUGAAGGGAUGAGUAUCAUAGCUUAUAUAAAAAAUGAAGGGAUAAAUAUAUAACUUAUACAAAAAAGUUUAACCUUUUGAUUGUUUUGAUUUGAUUUAUAAAAUAUUAAUUUUUAUUGAAUUUUUUAUCUAAAUCUCUCCCAAAUAGUAUGUCGUUUUUCCACUAUGAGCAUUUUGUUACUAAUCGGCUUCAGCAAAUUAAUAUACUUUUGCAAGAAGCCAAUAUGUUUGGACUAUUUUGAUUUUGAAAAUAAUAGCAAAUUUUUGAUAUAUUAGUUAGAUAUUAAAUUUAUUUUAGUAGUAUGUACCCGCCGCAAAGCGCGGGUUACUACACUAGUAAUUACAAAGUUUCUUCUACACUGUUACAACUUUGCUACAAUUAAAAAGCUGAAUUGAUUUGCCAUAAUUCUUAAUUUCAUUAUCUACUGUUCAGAUAUUGUAACAACCAGAAUUUAAAAUAUAAACAAAUAAAAUUAACAUAACAUUAAAACCAAUUAAAUAAAAUAAUUUAUCAAAUGUUCUAUUAUUGAGUACCCACAUGUAGUUGAUUGUGUUUUAUUAACCAUAUAUAUGAAAGAGUAACAAGGGCAAAUCAGGUAUUUCAAAAAUUUAACCUUCAACUUUUCACUAUUCUCAACUAUUCCAAAAAAUUAACCAAACACAAUUUCAGCUAUUCCUAAGAAUACCAGCUUUACCAACCAAAUGGAAUUUACAUUUUAUUCCUGACUAUCCCGGAAUAACAAGCUAUCCUAGGGUUAAAAAAAUUUAUCCCAACGUUCUUAUCCGCGAACCAAACAGAGCCUAAAAGAAAAAGACAAUAGCAUGACAAAUGAUAGACAUCAACCAAGAAAUUCUCCAAUAGCUAUUGUUAUUAUGUGGAGUUACUUGCAACAGCAACUUAUUUGAGUAAUACUAGAGCACCAAUGAAACAAUCUCCUCGACUUCUUCUACCAUCGUUAGCGCUAAUUAGUCAGUUUACGACGAACUGCCUAUUACAGUACUGAGCUAACCAUCAUAAAAGCUACAGAGCAUAUUCAAUCACUUGCAAAAGCAUAAAAGUCGAUACUUGAUGGGUGUAAUUAAAGGUUAGACAGAAAUAUUUAGAAAUCUUCCAGUGAUUGUUGUCGUCAAGAAUGGGUAUAUCUGGCACACUGAUGAUUAUAAUAAUGCACACUAUUUAUCAGUAGAAUGCUUGUAUAUUACUAUAUAAAGAAGCGAAGAGAUGCUUAGGAUAGAUUGAAUAGCUCUAGAAACGAAUGGAUAAGAUCAAACUGAAAACAGAUAGAUUGUUCAAGUUAUACAGUUAGUUAUGGACCAAAAUUGCUGAAAGAAAGUUAUACAGUGAUUAAGAAAGAAAAUUUGAUCAUUUGAAGUUUGAACUAUCUAGGAUUGACUCAACUUCCAGGCACAAAAAGAUAAAUUAAAAUCAAAUCUUUGAUGUGAAGUAACGCUGCAUCUAUGCACCCUGAAUGAUACAUUCAAUAUACAAAAAAUAGCAUCAAAAUUCAGAGAAAACAUUACAUAAAUUUGCUAACAUCAUGUAAUAAAACAUUUUUGGCACUUUCAAUCUUGAUAUGCUUAGAUUUUAACAAACAAGUGUCAUAAAUGCAAUUCAACAUAGCAUCAAUAGUUCAAUAAUCUUACCUUACAAAUUAGUUCCCCUUGGAAACCACCAGCUACCAACAAACCAUCCUUGACGGCAAGGGUACUUAAUUGGGUUCCUGUAAAUCCUUCUGCCAAACUCCCAGGAUGUUUCUGCAAACCCAACAAAGCUGUAAGUAAUACUAUCACAAAGUAAACAGAAAAAAGAAAUGUCUAGAGGUUGGAAAAAAAAAAAAACAAAACAAAAGGGAAAGAAAAGGAAAUUAAAUGAAUAAUCAAACAAGAAAUGAUUGCCUAGAGAAAAGAAAUAGAAGGAAACCUCCGUAGGAGCCACAUGUCCCGAAAAAUCAAGAAUUUCUGACAUAUUGCGAGAUAGUGAUGACCAAUGAACAACUGAGGAAUUCGACAUAAAAUAUACAUCAUGCUUUGAGGUUGCCCAUACCAAGUUCCUUAGCUACAGAAGAAAUAAAUAAUCAGUUUCUGGCAAAGUAAUAGACUUCACAUGAGAAACAAAGCAAAAUCAUUACAAUUAGUAAGGACAACAAGCAUACCUUCCAUAUUCAUUACCAAACCAUAUAGAAACUAAAGCUGAAAGCAAAGAUUUCUAAAUCACCAGAACUAGCAGUAUUCCACACAAAACUCAUCAGUCUUCAAUUCCUAUUUCAAGCUAGCUAAUAGGAGCAAGUAAAUUUUCUGAAAUUCAGGUUUUCCCCCUAAAUAGACAUGAAAAUUAAUAUAGGAAAAGGUUAAGCAGCUACAACAGGCAAUAGUUCGACCGGUUGGGCAAUUUAACAGUUUAAACUAAUAUGCUAUGCAUACAAUUUGAAUCCAAUAAAAUACGAGUACCAUCCUAUAGAUCAAGUUAUAAGAGGAUGUUCGAAGCAUUAAAGGUAACUCAUCCUAUGUAAUCAUCUUAUAAUAACUUGAGAAUCUUUCUCCAAGUCAUUUGACCAAUCCCCAUAGUUGUAGUUUUUCAUAGCAAGAAUAGCCUGUUGCAGGUUCGAAGCUCUUUUUAACAAUUUCUUGUAAGAUCUUUGUUCAGGAUUGGCUUGCUUUGCUCUCAACGAAGUUCGAAGUGCAUAGAUCUUCUUAGGUGAGAAAAUGACAAGCAUUAGUAGAUGACUUACAUAUUCUCGGUACAUCUACGUCCAUGUUGGACAGCACAUAAGCUAUCCGCCUGCAUUGUUCAAUAUGAAUCCUAUUUGAUGUUUAGUUUGAACUUAAAAAGAAUUGAGAUCUAAGGGUAACUUUUCACCUUAUUAGGCUCCAUGGGAAAACCAGAAACCCAUCAUAAGGUCUUCAUAUGGAAAAAAAAAAAAAAAGAAGGAAGUUUUCUUUAAUGGCUUGUUUUGUAGUAAAAAUUAUUACCAUUUCAAAAAAUAUAGUAAGCUUCUUUAAUGGCUAGUUUCAUAGUACGAAUUAUUUACCGUAACCAAUUAAAUUAAUCCAAUGGCCUUAUAAGGAGAUCGAUUUGUCUACUAAUGAAGCUUCUCCAUAUACUGUAGAAAUCGAAGAGGAAAAACAAACUAAGGCAACAUCCAUAAAACUCUCAACAAUUUUAGAGCAAUAAGAAAUCAGGGCAACAAGCACGGUAAAUCUCCAAAAGUGGCUAAUGUAUAAUGAAAUUUUGCGCCCAACGAGAAAAGAGUUAACAACUUGAUCAUGCAGUACAUGCAUGCAGAUCACAAACAAGCAAACAAAAAAGCCUCGCAGACCUGAAAGUGAAGAAUAAUGGGUUUCACCAUCCUUGAAUUGUAUAGGAACUCAUAAUAAUUGCCGCCUUUCUCCACUUGCUUGCAUUUCUACAUAGAACGAAAGAGCGCUCAAUUAACCAACAAUCAACCGAACGAUCAUUACAAAAUUACGUUUACUGAAUAAAAACCUUCUCCAUAAGCUCGCCGGAAGACAGAACGUUCUCGUAGUUCUUGUACAGCUCUAUACGCGUCUGUCUGUAGCUCUGCCUCGAUAUCUGUAACGUCUCCCAAGGGAUGCCUUGGAUAUCCUUCCCCUUCCGAGCUUCUGCCGCCGAUGUAUCCGUCCUCCUAGUGAGCUGCAAGCAGAGUUUACAGCAAUUCGUCACCCCCAUUACCUACUUCCGGAAACAGCUAGCAGCAGCAGGUAAACUAAUGCCAUGCCGCACGCACAACAUCAUCGUUAGAUCGACCGACGACGAAGAAGAAGAAGAAGAGCGCUAUUCGACUGCCGUAAUACGUUUCUUUAAGCUCAAAUUCUACGCAAUUCAACAGGCCGGCAAAUGGCGUCGCGGGCUAACGUUUUAAGUAGCAAGAACAUGGAAGUCCAUCUCGCACAGAAUUCGAAUUUAAACACGGCAUAAUGGAAUGUUAAGAAAAGGGGAAAUGGAAACCAACCAGAGCGUACUCAUCAUCUGCGUCAUCACCCCCGCCUCCGCCCCCAUCAAAGAACUCUCCGCCCAUCUCAUCCUCCACCGCAAAUCCGGCGUCGUCCGAGUAGUCGACGGCAUCGUCCUCAUCAUCGUCAAAAUAAUAAUCUCCAUUAAUCGACAUCCUCCUCCUCCUCCUCCUCCUCCUCCUGCUCAGCAAGUGACUAUCCUUCAGCAAAUCUGAAAGCGUACUAAUUUUCGGAUUCAAAAUUAUUAUUUAAAAAAAAAAGAGAAAUUUGUGAAAAAUCCUAAACGUACGCAACAAUUAAGAGGAGGAGGAAAAAAAAGAGGAAAAAAAAAAAAAACCGGUUUAUCCUAGAGUGAGCACCGCCGCCGCCGCGUCAAGCAGAAACUUCUAGUUGAGGUAGAUGAGUAGAAUUUUAAAAGGAAAAAAAAAAAAAAAAAGUGAAGAAGAAGAAGAAGAAGAAGGAGAAGGCGGUUUCGUAGGCGGUCUUCUUCUUUGGGAAGGCUGUUAUGAGGAUUUGGUGGGCUGUCUGCCUUCUCGCGCACGGAGGAUACGAGCAGAAAGCCGACUACUCGUUUUUGGUGUGAGGGGGGGGGGUCGGCGGAGAGGGUCUUUGAUUUUAUUUUAUUUUAUUUUGUUUUGUUUUAUUAUAUUUUGAGUUUAUCUCUCGCCCCUUCUGCAACCGCCUUUGCGUCCGAGCGCAUGGUGGGAGGCGAGCACAGCGCCACUCUCUUGUCGUCCCCUGGCCCUGAGAUAAACUCUUCGCCAGCACAUGGCCCACCCCUCUUUCUUUUUCUUGAAUUAAUUUAAUGCACUAAGAGACCCGCGCGAUGCAGCGGGUAGAUAAUAAAAAUAAAAUUUAAAAAUUUUAAUAAAUUUUAUAUUUACGAUUUAUUGAUAUAUAGAAAGCUAUAACAUAUUAAGUACAGUUAAUUUGUAUGACUAAAUUUACAUAGUAAGCAGAGGCCCCCGUGCGGACCGACUCAGCGAGCACUUAUAUAGGUCGCGGCUCGGCUUCGCAGGACGAUGCUUCUUGAAGGAGACAAUAUUCUUCAAAGGCUCUUCUUCUUCUUCUUCUUCUUCUUCUUCUUUGUUAACACAAUGAGAGAAAGAGGGAGAUGAGUGUGGAGUAGGAGAUUAGACGAUGAUAUUUUUUUAUGGUGCAUGUAAAAGAGUUACAAAAAAGAGGGGGUAGGAGAUUAAUUAAUGGAGGAGGGGAGUGGUGCAUGUAAAAUAAUUAUAAAAGAGAGGGAGUGGAAGAUUAAUGGAGGAGGAAAGUGGUUAAAGUUAUAAAAUAGAAUCUUAAUAUGGUGCAUGUAAUUAAAUAUUGCAUGUAAUUAGAGUAAUGAUGAGGUGAGUUAGGCGUUAAGAAAAGAAGAAGGUGGUUUGAUUUAAAGUUGGAUUUAAAGUUACAUAUAAUUAAAUGUUGUAACUUACAUAUAAUUAGAGUGGGGAGGUGAAGAAUUGAGAGUUGAAAAGAGGAGAAGGUGGUUUGAUUUAAAGUUGGCUAUGAGAAGUAAGAAUAACAUGCCACGUGGCAAAAAGUAUUGUGGCUUCAUAUAGGUUUAUAGAUAAUAUAAUAAAUUAUAAAUAUAUUUUUAUAAAAUUUAACUUUUAUAUAUUGUUUAUAUAAAAAUUCUAAUAUUUUUAAAUAUGUCAUUCUGGCUUAUUAUUAUUAAAGCACUGUUUAGUUUAGCCAUCACAAAUAUAUCCCUUUUUAAUUGAAGAGGAAUAAAAAUGUUAAUUCACCGUAUUAAUGAACUAGGGUUAAUUAAUUUUUUCUAACGAAUUUUAAUAAUACGGACAUAUUUGAAAAUAUCAGGACUUUUGCAAAGACAGCAUAUGAAAGAUAAACUUUAUAGGGAUACAUUUGUAAUUCACUAUAUUUGUAGGGACAUGUACGAUUUUAACCUUUUUUUUUAAUAUAAAAUUUCUAUAUGACUAAAUUACAAAAAAAAAAAAGAAACUUCUGUAUAAAUAUUUUUAUUUGCACUUUUUUUCUAACUUUUAAAAAUCUAUAUUUUACCUCAUUAAUAUUUCAAGUUGUUGCAUUUAGCCUCCCUCCGUCAGGGUUCCAUCACUAUUUCUGUCAUUUCUUAUAAUUUAUGGUUAAUUUCAUACAGGUCCUUGCAAAUAUAGUGUAUAACAUGUAUAUUCCUAUAAAGUUCAACUUUCAUAAGUUACUCCCGCAAAAAUCCUAAUGUAUUCAGAUAUAUCCCUACCGUUAAUAGCCGUUAGAAAAAUCUAUUUAACCACAGUUAUAAUACUUAACCAUAAUUAAUUAAUAAUGUGAAUUGAUAUUUUUGCCCUUGUUCUUCUUCCUCUUCCUCUUCCUCUUCUUCUUCUUCUCCUGCUUCUUCUUCUUACUCUUCUUCUCUAUAUCCUCCUUUCCUCCUUUUCUCUUCAUUCUUCUUCUUCUUCUUCUUCUUCUUCUUCUUCAUCGUCGUUAUCGAUGAUCCGAUCGUCGUCGUCGUCGUGGUGCCCGCAUGGGCCAUCGUCACGGGCGCCUCCGACGGCAUCGGCCACACCUUCACCUUCGCCUUCCGCAUCUUCCUCGUC